GAAAAUCUGACUUGGGGUAUUUUAAAUUUUGACUUCUCCAAAAUUACGAUUGUGCCACUUCAUUUAUGUAGAUCACAAUUUCCCCGUCAAAACUCUGAUUUGAGCUCACUACGUGUCUACGGACUCAACUCAACACAAUCUAUGUCAUGGUUCCAUUCGUUUCUCCAAAAUCCUUCUGGAUUAAAAAGUGACCAAAAUGACCCUAUCUUCGAGAGCAAAAUUGAAAUUUCAGAAUUUAUUAAUUUAAUUUAAUUAACGAAUAAUUACAUUUUGGGUUGGGAUGUUACACAUGAGGACGUCAUACAUCAAGAAAUUUAUUUUUACUAUCGUGGUAUAUUGCAUUAAUACGACGUUGAUAAUUAAUCUUCCAACGUGGAUUCUAGUAAAAUUAUUUGACGCUAAUGAACAAGAGUUUAUCCUGUUUAACUAGCAAUUAACACUGCAACAGUUUUGGUAAAACGUUGUCUUUACUUUCUAUAUCGGUAGCUUCAACAGCCAACCAGCAGACGACCACCACCCAACCCCAAUGGCGGCAACCCCUAUCCUCCACAGCCCAACCUCAGCGGCGGUAACUCUAUUAAUUGUUAUUUAUAUUAAACAGUAUUAGAAAAUUAAAAUAUUAAAAUAAUUUUAUUCACAAGCCCCUUCGUCUUCUCCACCACCCACCUCGCAGUGCCAACAGAUAACGAUCCAUAUAUGCCUUCAAUUAUUGUCGUCCCUUUAUUUCAACAAGCACACCCUCCUUCUCUCUCUCUCUCUCUCUCUCUCUCUCUCUCUCUCUCUCUCUCUCCCUUCACAGUGCCGCACCAGAUCUGGAAUCUACAUGUCCUCUGCAUCAAAGAGGCCGUCAAGCUUCAUCGCGAGCUCGACACUCUUGCGCACCGCUUCAUCCCAACCUUGCCUUUUCCCAUGACUGCUUCCUCCAAGGAAGAACAAUCCAUAAGGUUGGUGGACGAUCUGAGUCAAAAAAAACGUAAAUAUGGUCUGUUAGGCUAGAAAUUUGAUGAGAAAGAGGAGGGAAAGGGACGCUUGGCUGGGUUGUUGAGGACAGAGGGUUGCCGCUGCUGGGGUUGGAUGGUAGUCGUGUGCUGGGAAUUUUUUUUUACUUCAAUUUCUUUUGUCAAACAUAUAUUUUAAUAUUUUUUAAUAUAUUUUUUUAAAUAAAGGGAUGAAGAGAGUUAACAAAGUAAAAUUAGUGUUAAGUUGUGUGCCACAUAUCACAAAAUUAAGGAGGAAACAUGGGGCCACAUGAGAUUUGGUAACAGAAAAAUUGGAUUUGAAAGAGAGAGGGAGAGGGUGGAGGAGUUGACAUAUUUAAUUAUUUUAUUUUUAUUAAGAGAAAAUAGAGUUAGAGUAGGAAUAACUCUAUUAAAGUAGCGUUAAAUGAGAUGUCAGGUAUCAAAAAAUUUAGGAAAGGAUGGGGAAUGAUAGACAAAAACAUGACAAGGAUUAAUUACCUUAUCCAAGUUGCUGACUUGGCACCAUCUGGUUGGGAAAUCUCACUAGGGUGGUGAUUUUAUGAUCAUUUUAGACUAUUAAAACUUAAAAAUAUCUGAACUUAAAAAUAUCUGAUUUUGUUGGAGGAUUCCACAUCAACCAGUCUUAACUACCUCAUCAACUAGUCUUAACUACCACCCAAGUCCAAUUUCAUCAAUAAUUACGAGAUCACUUUCUGUUUUGUUGAUUUCAUCAACUUACUUUCCUGUAAUGGUAUUAUAGAGACAUUCUCUAAUAAAUAUUUAAGUGAAUGAUUAGUUACAUCUAAUCUCGAUUGUUGGAUUGCAUCUAAUAAAUUGUCAACACAUUUAAUGAAUGUAAUCCAACGACUAAGCUUAGAAGUAUGUAACAAAUCCUUAAUAUAAAAUACUUAUUGAAAAAUCUCCGGGAUAUUAUAUAGGCUAGCUUAUUGUUUUUCCUUGAGCUGAAUUUAUCCUAACCCAUUCAUAGCAAUAAAGUAAUAUAUUUUAGUUUUAGGAUUCACAGCAACUAGCUCUUGGCUGUGAUUCUUUAUCUGUAUUAAAUUUAUUGUGACAAGCAUUUAAACUGAAGUAUAAAGUAACAUUUUUUAGUUUUUUUUUUUUUUGGUCGAAAACAUUUUUUAGUUAGUAUGGUGGUUUUUCUUAAAUUUAUCGUGACAAGCAUUUAAGGUAAUUUAAAAGCUAAUAGUAUCCAUUAAAUCUGGUUCCUCCUAAUAAUACAAAUCCAAAUGUUAGGUUGAAAUAAUUGAGUAUUUAAAGCUAAUAGUGGCCCCACUUGACAAUAUCAAAUCUCAGAUCUGUCAUCUAUUGUCUAUAUAACUUAUGAGGAAUGAGCUAUUGCUUUCAUCUUAUUUUGCAACCUUCAAACGCCCCUUAGCCUUUUUGUUUAUAGUUUUGAACCCAUCCAAUCCAACCAACCCUGUAUACGGCCAGCGAUGUCUGCGAGUAAGAUUGAAGCCAAGAGUCCGGCGGCAAUACUAGCCAUUGGUCCGACAAACCCAGCCAACUGUCAUUACCAACAAGAUUAUCCUGAUUUCCUAUUCCGAGUCACCAAUAACGACCACAUGACAGAAUUGAAAGACAAGUUCAAGCGCAUAUGUAAGUGGUACUCUUUGUACAACACGUAUAUGCAUGCAUAAAAUUAAUGUAUUAAUUCAUACUAAUUAAUAAAAUUAUAUAAUGCACUAAGUGAUUUAUGAUUUAUUAAUAUGCGGGGCAUUCAGAUUUGGGACCUCUUCCAAAUAUCAUGCAAUAAGUUAACCCAUCUGAAAAUGACAAAGUUGGGAGAUAUAUUUAGUUUUCCUAUACAAUCACAUGGUGCCGCUAAUCCAUGUGUUAUAAUAUGAGUUGAUAAGAAAGUUAAUAUUUCAUGAACACAUGAUACAUUAUUAUUAUGAGUUUUUCUAUUUAAACUCUACAUUUUUCUUUGUUUGCCCCAAUUCUUAAAUUAUUAAGCUCUUAAGUUUUAUUAUUAUAUAAAAAGACAAAAAAAGUCAUCCAACUUAAUAUUUAACCCUAGUAUAUCUAUACACACACACCACCACUCUUCAUAUUAAGUUUUAGAAUAACACAAACUCCUCUACACCCUAUUGCCAAAUUACUUUUCCCUUCCAAUCCAAGAAACCUACUACACUUUCAUCUUCUCUUCACAAACUGUAGAUACGGUAUGCAAAUAGUGGCUUAUGAGUCGUCAAUUGAGGUAUGUAAUGUGAGAUUAUUUCUUGGGUAGUCAAUUAAGCUCUUAAGUUUUAUUUCUGUUUGUUAUCAAUACAUCGUUUCUCUUCGAAAAAAAAAAAUUUGAAGAACAUAAUGCAUAUAACAUCAUUGAGUAAUAUUAUAUUGUUUGAUCAUAAUAUGUUUUUAUGAAGUCCAAAAAAAAUAUAUAUAUAUAUAUAGUCCCCUUUUAUUGAGGGACACCUUUUAGGGUCCCCUACGAAUUUUUUUCAACGAUCCAAACAAUCAAUUUUUUAAGUCUAUAUUUAUAGAUCAUCCUUGCAAAAAAUUAGAUAAAUCUGAAACCGUUUCGACAUCCAGUUGUGUCCUACAUUCAAUUGAAGCUCACUCUGUGUGUCUGUCUGUGUGUGUAUAUAUAUAUCUAUAUCUAUAUAUUGAAUAGUUGACAACAGUGUUUUUAUCUCUUUAAGUAGUGUGGAGUGUGGGGUUGAUGAGUUUUUAUUUUUAUUUUGUGUGCUGGAUGUGUAUUUAGGGCUAGUUUGGGAAAAUAGUGAGGUUUUCUUAGAAAUUAUGAAAAUUUGAAUUACAAGUUGGAGUGAACUUUUAAUAUAGUGAACAAAGAGAAAUACGGAAUUUAAAUAGAAAAACUUUAUUAUUAUUGAUAAAUAUAUUAGAUAUAUAUGUUAUAACAUGAGUGAAAUAACACCGUGAAAAGGCAAUAACAAAAUACCUCAAGUGGCAUUAGGGAACAGAUUUUUCUUCUUUCAUUUUUGAAAAAUGAAGGCCACUAGAGUAGGGUAAUAAAUUUGACGAAUGAAGCCAAGUUAGUAAAAUUAAGUGGGAGGAUAACUGUGGAUACUUUUAUGAAAUUUGGUAAUUAACAGGUGAAAAAUCAAACGUAAAGAAGCGUUAUCUACACAUCACGGAAGAGAUCCUAAAGGCAAACCCAAACAUAUGUCGCUACAAGGCACCCUCACUGGAUCCAUGUCAGGACAUGAUGAUUCCAGAGGUACCCAAGCUUGGCAAGGAAGCGGCAUUGAAGGCCAUCGAAGAGUGGGGCCAACCCAUUUCAAACAUCACACAUCUCAUCUUCUGCACGUCUUCCUGCGUCGACAUGCCUGGCGCCGACUUGCAACUCGUCAAGCUCCUCGGCCUUGACCCCUUUGUCAACAGAUUCAUGAUCUACCUACAAGGCUGCUUCGCUGGUGGGACUGCCCUAUUGAAAUAUAAGUGAUGAGCUGAUGUGAGUUUGAUUAAAGUCCCUAAGCUGAAAUGGUGUAUUCACUUAGUCUCUAAAAUAGGCAAGUGUGAGGCGUCGGUUAGUGUUAAGUGGCUAUAGCCACGUGUAAAGAUCUUAGAAGGCAGUUUUGGAUGUAAGGCUGUGAUUCUCAAGUGAUGUAAGAGAAUCCAGCUAUUUCUCUAACGGGCAUAUAGCACACACUGUGCUUGCCCGAAAGUUUCAGAAUAUACAAUACAAAAAAAUACAGAAGUCUGGUUUUUAGCUAAGCUCUCAGUUUUCUCUUACAUACUGUUUUCUCUUCUUCUCCAAAACCUAUACAAAACUCUAACAUGGCCUCAGAGCCAGGUUGGGUCUCUUAAUCUGGGCGUAAAACUGUGAAGGUCACUGAGCUAAAAUCGAAGCUCAACUGAGCAUCGGAGAAGAGAAGCAAGCUGCUGAGAUUCAGACCAAACGAUGGCUGGAUCUGGAAGUUCUGAGGUACGAACUCUGAUCUUUUCCGGUGAGAACUACGAGUUCUGGAGGAUCAAGAUGGUGACAAUCUUCAAAUCGCUUGGGCUGUGGAGUCUGGUAGAAAAGGGGAUUCCAGUCUCUGAUUCGAAGAUGAAGACCAAGAAAGUUGAAGAAUCAUCGGAGGAAGAAGCUGAAGCAGAGAUGUGUGCUGUGCUCAUGAAGGAUGCAAAGGCACUGGGCAUCAUACAAAACGCUGUCUCUGACCAGAUCUUCUCUCGGAUUGCAAAUGCCGAUUCAGCAAAAAUGGCUUGGACUCUGCUCUACAGUGAAUAUCAUGGAGGUGAUCAGGUUAGAUCUGUAAAGCUUCAGAAUCUUAGACGAGAAUUUGAGUAUAUGAGGAUGCGUGAAGGUGAACAACUUUCUGCAUAUCUUACUCGAUUAAAUGAAUUGAUAAAUCAAAUGAAAACAUUUGGAGAGGUGUUAUCAAACGAGAGGCUGGUUCAAAAGGUGUUAAUCAGUCUUAGUAGAGUUUAUGAUCCCAUCUGUUUGGUGAUUGAAAAUACAAAGAGUUUGGAGACCAUUGAAUUGCAGGAGGUUGUUGCAAUAUUGAAAAGUCAAGAGCAACGUUUUGACAUGCAUAAUGUGGACAUAGCUGAGAAAGCAUUUGGUUCUUUCUCAAUCGAUCAAAAGGGGCAGAACAAGAAUAAUGCUCAGUCUGGUACUGCCAAGUCUCAGAAGAGUUGGAAGUCUAACAACAAACCAUGGGAGUCUAGACAGAAGCCACAGCAAGCUGGCGCUGGACAGACUUCAGAUGGAGCACAUUCUGUGCAGCAAGAUGGGGUGAAGCCUCAAUGCAAGGUCUGCUCUAAAUUUCACUAUGGAGAAUGUAGAUAUAAGGGUCAAUCUAAGUGCUAUAAGUGUGAUAGAUUUGGACAUUGGGCCAGAGACUGCACUGCAAACAAAGGAGGACAGAAAGCAAAUAAUGCAAGCCAAGUAGAAGUAAGAGGGAAUCUGUUUUUUGCAAACUGUGCAAUUUCAGACAAGGGUGAAAAUGGAGAAUGGUAUGUAGACAGUGGCUGCAGUAACCACAUGACUGGGAAGAAGGAGCUGUUAAUUGACAUAAACUCAAAAGUCACAGGCAAGGUGCAAAUGCCAACAGGGGAGCUUGUAAGUAUAGCCGGCAUGGGCACUGUGGUGCUUGACACAAACUCUGGUGCAAAGUAUAUCAGAGAGGUCAUGUAUCUGCAUGGUUUGAGAGAAAAUCUCUUGAGUGUGGGCCAAAUGGAUGAACAUGGUUAUCAUUUGGUAUUUGGGAGCAGCAUGUGCAGCAUCUAUGAUAGUUCUUCUCUUGAGAACCUUGUUAUGAAGGUGGAAAUGAGAAAGAAUAGAUGUUAUCCACUAUCAUUACCCUCAAAUGAUUUUGUUGCACUAAGAGCUGGUGUAGUCAACUCUACUUGGGUUUGGCAUAAAAGAAUGGGGCAUUUACACUUGAAAGGCCUAAACCAACUCAAGGAAAAGGAGAUGGUACAUGGGCUGCCACAUUUGGAAACUGUAAAUGAAGUGUGUGAAGGCUGCCAAUUAGGAAAACAACACAGAGAGUGGUUUCCUAAAGAUCAAGCAUGGAGAGCUAGUACACCUCUUGAACUUAUUCACAUGGACUUGUGUGGACCAAUGCAAAAUGAAUCUCUAGGAGGUAACAAAUAUUUCUUGUUACUCAUAGAUGAUUUUACAAGGAUGAUUUAGGUCUACUUCUUGAGAUACAAGUCGGAUGCACUAAAUUGUUUUCGAAAAUUCAAGUCUAUGGUGGAGUUGCAAAGUGGUUACAAAGUGAAAUGUGUUCGAAGUGAUAGAGGUGGUGAGUUCACUUCUAGUGAAUUCAAUAAACUAUGUGAAGAUGCAGGGAUUCAAAGACAAUUCUCCAUGGCUUACACACCCCAGCAAAAUGGAGUGGUAGAGAGGAAAAAUAGGACUGUGGUAGAGAUGGCUAAGGCUAUGUUGCAUGAGAAGGAGCUGCCCUAUUAUCUAUGGGCAGAAGCUGUCCACACAGCAGUGUACAUCUUGAAUAGAUGUCCUACCAAGGCUCUUAGGGACAAGACUCCUUUUGAGGCCUAUAGCACCAGAAAACCAGGUGUUGCUCAUUUAAAAGUGUUUGGCAGUGUGUGUUUUGUGCAUAAACCAGAGGAGAAUAGACAGAAAUUGGAUGCCAAAAGCACAAGGGGAGUUUUUGUUGGAUAUGCAACAUGUGAGAAGGGCUAUAGAGUGUUUGAUCCUAUCACUAGAAAACUACUCUUAUCAAGGGAUGUUGUAUUUGAUGAAGAAACAAGCUGGAAUUGGAAGGAAGUGUCUGACAAUUCUGUGGUUAUGAUGAACUUUGAGGAGCAGCCUAGAAAUUCUCAAGUGGAUUCGUUUGAGACACCUAUAGGGCCUCAAAAUUCUGGUUUCACUGCUGGAAACUCAGCAGCUUCCUAUGGAGAAUCAAGCAAGGAAAGCAGUAGGUUGGAUGAUACUCAGACCUUCGAUCAUACACCAUUGAAAUGGAGGAAGUUGGAUGACAUUUUGGCACAAUGCAACCUGUGCACAAUGAAGCCUGAGAAGUUUGAAGAAGCUGUGAAGGAGGAAUCAUGGCUGAAGGCAAUGAAAGAAGAGUUGAACAUGAUAGAAAAAAACAAGACAUGGGAACUUGUUGACAGACCUAUGGAAAAACCGAUUAUUGGAGUUAAAUGGGUGUUUAAAACUAAGCUGAAUUUGGAUGGCUCAGUGCAGAAGAAUAAAGCAAGACUGGUGGCCAAGGGAUACUCACAAAAACCAGGGGUGGACUACAAUGAAACGUUUGCACCAGUGGCUAGAUUAGACACUAUUCGAACCUUGAUUGCCCUUGCAGCUGAGAAGGGUUGGCAGCUGUACCAAUUGGAUGUCAAGUCAGCUUUUCUAAAUGGUAUUUUAGAGGAAGAAGUGUAUGUAGACCAGCCGGAAGGAUUUGUGGUAAAAGGAAGUGAAAGCAAGGUUUACAAACUACACAAAGCUCUAUAUGGCUUGAAACAGGCGCCAAGAGCUUGGUAUAGUGAAAUUGAUGGUUAUUUUGCUGAGUGUGGAUUUACAAAGAGUCAAAGUGAAGCUACACUUUAUGUCAAAGCAAGAGGUGCAGAAAAAAUCUUGAUAGUUUCCAUUUAUGUAGAUGAUAUAGUCUACACUGGAAAUGAUCAUGAAAUGCUAGAAGAUUUCAAGAAGGACAUGAAAGAGAAGUAUGAAAUGACUGAUCUGGGACUCUUGCAUCACUUCUUGGGAAUGGGAGUGAUUCAAACACCAACAAGCAUAUUCAUUCAUCAGAAGAAGUAUGCAACAACUCUGUUGAGCAGAUUUGGCUUGAAUGAGUGUAAGCCGGUUUCUAUUCCACUAGUCACCUCAGAGAAGCUAAGUAAAGAUGAUGGGAGUGGCUUGGCAAGUGAAGAACACUACAGAAGGAUUGUUGGAAGUCUGCUGUACCUCACAGCUACCAGACCCGACAUUAUGUUUGCAGCUAGUUUGCUAGCAAGGUUCAUGCAUUGUCCCACUAGCAAACAUUUUGGAACAGCAAAACGUGUUCUUAGAUAUGUGAAAGGGACUCUAGAUUAUGGUCUGGAGUAUGUGAAAGGAAAAGGGGCGGUUCUAAUUGGCUAUUGUGACAGUGAUUGGAGUGGUUCAGUGGAUGAUAGCAAGAGCACUUCUGGAUAUGCUUUCUCUUUUGGUAGUGGAGUGUUUGCUUGGGCCUCUGUCAAGCAAAAUUGUGUUGCACUCUCCACUGCAGAAGCGGAGUACAUCAGUGCAUCUGAAGCAACAACACAAGCUAUUUGGUUGAGGUUUGUCCUAGAAGAUUUUGGAGAGCUUCAAGCAGAAGCAACCCCUCUACACUGUGACAACAUUUCAGCCAUUGCCAUUACAAGGAAUCCUGUGUUUCACCAGAAAACAAAACAUAUCGAUCGGAGGUAUCAUUUUAUUAAAGAUGCUUUGCAAGAAGGAACUGUGGAUCUGAUUUAUUGUCCCACAAAUGAGCAACUAGCAGACAUUUUUACUAAGGCAUUGGCUAAGGAUCGUUUCUGCUAUCUCAGAGAGAAACUUGGUGUGAAAUCAGCUCACAACUUAAAGGGGAGUGUUGAAAUAUAAGUGAUGAGCUGAUGUGAGUUUGAUUAAAGUCCCUAAGCUGAAAUGGUGUAUUCACUUAGUCUCUAAAAUAGGCAAGUGUGAGGCGUCGGUUAGUGUUAAGUGGCUAUAGCCACGUGUAAAGAUCUUAGAAGGCAGUUUUGGAUGUAAGGCUGUGAUUCUCAAGUGAUGUAAGAGAAUCCAGCUAUUUCUCUAACGGGCAUAUAGCACACACUGUGCUUGCCCGAAAGUUUCAGAAUAUACAAUACAAAAAAAUAGAGAAGUCUGGUUUUUAGCUAAGCUCUCAGUUUUCUCUUACAUACUGUUUUCUCUUCUUCUCCAAAACCUAUACAAAACUCUAACAUGCCCUACGUCUUGCGAAGGACGUCGCAGAAAACAACCCUGGUGCACGCGUUCUGGUGGUGUGCUGUGAGAUCACAGCUAUGUAUUUUCAAGCACCCACUGAGAGCCAUGUGGAUGCUUUGGUAGGACAGGCUUUGUUUGCAGAUGGUGCGUCAGCUUUAAUUGUUGGUGAUAAUCCUGACCCCAAAAUUAACGAACGCCAGGUGUAUGAGAUUAUGUCAACGAGAGAGACUAUUGUCCUAUACUCGGAGCAUGGCGUGGUGGUACACUUCCGUGAAAUGUGUUGCGAGUAUUAUCUUUCACCAGAUGUGCCAAAGUUGGUUGGUGCAAACAUUGAGGAGAUUUUGGUAAAAGGGUUUAGAGAAAUUGAUGGGAUAAAUAAUGAUUGGAACUCGUUGUUCUAUAGCAUCCACCCUGGUGGACCGGCCAUUUUAGACAAGGUUGAAGAAAAACUGGGUCUGAAUGAGGGGAAGCUGAGAGCAACCAGGCAUGUAUUCACUGGCGGACCUAGAAAUUUUUUAGCGAAGAUGCAAAAUUGACUCUAAGUAUGAAAAAUGAUUUUUCAGAAUAAUCAUUUUCUCAAUUUAAUUUUUGACAGCUUUUAUUCCUUACAUAUCAAAUAAGAAAACUUGAUUUUAUGGGAUUUAGUAUGAAGUAUAUAUUGACUUAAUGAGCCAUCAUUUUUAGCCUAAAUCGUAUUUUGCACUAAAAUCGAUUUUUCAUAUUUUGAUUUGGUGGGAAUUUGAUUUUCUAGUAUUUUUAUUUGAAUUCAAAUGGGAGGUAUACUUUCAUAUUUAUAUUGCAAACUUAAGUAAAUGGAGUAAUAUAAAAAUAAGAUAAUUUGUAUACUAGUUGAGCAAAGGGGCAAUUUGAAGCACCUACAAUGUUUUUCCGGUGACAGAAGGUGCAGCACCUCCUUGCUCCUAAAUGGGUCCGCCUCUGCAUGUAUUGAGGGAGUAUGGGAACAUGGGAGCUCCAUCUAUUUUGUUUAUUCUCGAUGAGAUGAGGAAGAAGUCGUUGGAGGAAGGAAAAGCCACGACUAGUGAAGGGCUGGAAUGGGGUGUUUUGAUUGGGAUCGGGCCAGGGCUAAUCGUGAAGACUGUUGUACUACAUAGUGUCCGCAUUGCUGCCUGCUAAUUAAGUCCUUAAUUACUGAUCAUUGAUUAAGGGCAAGUUUGGUAUUACAAUCAUGUUAAAAUAAUCUCUCUCAGAUUUGCUGUGAGAGAGAGCAGUUUGGUGCUUGGUAAACUUUUUGUUAUAAGUGUUGUUUGUAUAAUAAUCAGUUUCUGAGUGUUUGGUAAAUAUUUGUGUGAAAGUGUUGUGAGCUGUGUAUAAUGACUAAAAAGGGCAUUAUGUUGAAAUGACUUUUCUGUUCAAGUGUUUGGUAAAAGAAAAAACACUUUCACUUUAUAUAUAUAUUGUAUUAAAUAUGUUUCCAUCACACCCUAAAAAUUAUUUUAAUUAUAAAAUAAAUAAAGUAUUCCAUUAAAAAUAAAUAUAUUGUCUAUAAUAUGGUCAUAACAAAAAUUAAGCUAGUCAUAAACAAGCAAUCAUAUGUUUAGUCUUCUGCAGUUUCAGCAUACUCUCCCGAUGACAAAGUCGAGAGUUAAAUGACCGGGCUGGACAAAAUGGAUGAAUUAUUGUUAUGUUUGUUGUAUCAUAUGGUUUUGUACAAGGAGUUUGUUGCAUACAAGAAUUGUAUACUACAUGAAGGUGAGAGUUAAGUUAAAUGUUUACAAAACUGUAUUGAAAUGCAGGUGUUCGUUUAUUUUCUUUCUAACUUCUAAUUAAUUUUACUUUUAUUAUUCAUAAUAAGCAAUUACACAUUAACUGAGUGAGAGCAUUGGUUGCUGUAGGGAUUUGGGUCCUCCUCAUCUGUAACUCCUUGUUAGUUGGGUUCCAAGUUGUAUAUUUGUUUUCUAACUAUCUUGUAAUGCUUAAUUGGUGAUGUUGUUACCAUCCUUGUAUUGCAAGAACCUCCUUUUGGGGCUGUGUUCUUACUGUUGUAUUUUGAUUUUGUGCCAUGUACUUCAAUUAAAUCUCUACUGUUUCGCAAAUUAAAUAUUAAAAAAAGGGGGGGAGGGGGAGGGGGGGUUCUGGCGUGUUUUAAUAUUCCACCACCAUUAAUUCAUGAAUCGAUUAUUGACACCAUGUUGAUGUAAUUUGUAGUAUUUAUUUUCCAACGAAUCGAUAAGAUGUUUAACCUAUAAAUAACAUGAUCAAUAAAGCAGUGAUGAAAUGAUGGAAAUAUAAGUUGGCCCUGGCUGGUAUUUUGGGAAUUAAAAAAAUGAAUGAUGGUAUUUUGGGAAUUAAAAAAAUUCAUUAAAAGUUCAUCUCUGCUUCUUUUGAAAGCUGCUUUGAAAAGAAACUCAGAGUCUGCUUUUAAAAGCUGCUGUCAAAAGGCCAUUACUUUUAAAAUAAUUAGGAUAUUUUAUUUUUACCAAACACCUUAAACUGCUUAACUUUAAAGUGAAGCAGAUUUUUGGCAAAAAAAAGCGAUCCCAAACGGGGCCUUAAGCUAGUCAUAAACAAGCAAUCAUAUCUUGUUGAGUCUCCUGCAGUUUCAGCCAGUUCUCUCGAUGACAAAGCCGGGAGUUAAAUGAUCGGGCUGGACAAAAUGGAUGAAUUAUUGUUAUGUUUGUUGUAUCAUAUGGUUUUGUACAAGCAAUCUGUUGCAUACAAGAAUUGUGUACUACAUAGCCUGUUGUAAAGUCAUGCUUACGGUUUAAGUUAAAUGUUUACAAAACUGUAUUGAAAUGCAGGUAUUCAUUGUUGGAAGUUUGAAAGCAAAUGUCCCACAUUGGAGAAAACAAAAAGUUCCAUAUGCUUUAUAAGCAUGAAACCUUAACAUCAAUUAAAUAAGGAUUGGUGGGCUGAUGGGCUUGGUAGUGAAGAUUAUCAUGGUUGGCUUGCUUGAUUAAUAUUAAUAUUUAAAUAAUCAAGACUUGGCCUUGGGCCUGGGGUCUCUGGAAAAUAAAAGAAAUAUACCUAGCCCGAAAAUAAAAUAAUUAUUUUUUAUUUUUCGGAUUUCUUUGGCAGAAGUUAAAUUCAAACCAGAAAGACUUAUCUUUUUGUUUGAAUUUGAACAAGUAUAACGGAUACUAACUGCUAUUUUGAAGGGGUGUAAUUCUAUUAUAAAACCACAAGUCCUAGGCCAUAAGACGGAUCUCUUUUUCUUAAAAAAAAAAUAUCUCAUAUUAUUUUAAAGUUAUCAACUGUAUUGGAGAGAAGCACACCAACGUUCGCCAGAAUUCAAGGAUCCGGUGCUGGACCCUUGAAUUAUAGAUAGUUGAAUCCUGGGAGAUAGACGCCUGUUGAACUUCAAGCAUUGAGAAGAGGCGAAAUUCUGUCUUUAGGACAUUGCAAAUACGCAAGCCUCUAUCUUCAAUAAAAGUCAGUAUUCUGUACUUAAUUUAUAUAUUUGCACAUUUAUACAGAUUUCAUAAUUUUGCUACUGUUUAUAUUUUAAGAAUUGUGCAAUAAUAUAGUGAUCCUAUAGCAUACAACAUUUACUGAUUAUUUUUCUAACAAUCAUUUAUUUUCUUUCUAACUUCUAAUUAAUUUUACUUUUAUUAUUAAUAAUAGAGCAAUUACACAUUAACUGAGUAAGAGCACUGGUUGCUGCAAGGAUUUGGGUCCUCCUCAUUUGUAACUCCUUGUUAGUUGGGUUCCAAGUUGUAUAUUUGUUUUCUAACUAUCUUGUAAUACUUGUGCUUAGUUGGUGAUGUUGUUAUCGUCUCUGAAUAGUAAGAACCUCUUUUUGGGGCUGUGUUCUUACUGUUGUAUUUUGGGUUUGUGCCAUGUACUUCAAUUGAAUCUCUACUGUUUCUCAAAUUAAAAACAAAAAACAAAAAAAUGGGGUUCUGGCGUGCUUUAAUAUUCCACCACCAUUAAUUCAUGAAUCGAUUAUUAAUACCAUGUUGAUGUAAUUUGUAGUAUUAUUUUUUCAACGAAGACAUAAGAUGUUAAACCUAUAAAUAACAUGAUCAAUAAAAGCAGUGAUGAAAUGAUGGAAAUAUAAGUUGGCUCUGGCUGGCAUGCUGCUUGGGCUUCAUAUAGAAGAAGUAUACGUACUGCAUGCGCAUGAGAAUAGUAAGCAAUGAUGAAAUAAAUUUCUUUGCAAAACACACGUGCAAUUAGAAGGGUGUUGAGGGCGCAACUCUGUAGAAUGUGUCAUGGUACAAAAGGGAAAGUUUCAUAUUUGGAUGAAUAGUCAAACACGGAAUAGUGUGAGUAGCUGCAAAUUCUGAUCGCAUGUCCUGACCAAAUGGGUCAAAUUUUGAAAACAAUAUAAGUUUGUAGAUUGUUAACAUUUUUGUGCAUAAUAUAUGUGAUUUCUUUUUUCUUUUUUUAAAAAUACUCUUUCGACGUUUUCAGGAGAUAAUAGAUGUACAUUCUUUUUUCUUUUCAAAAAUACUAUACGGUCGAGAAGAAUUUGGUUUCGCUGGCUCCAUUAAAGAUUUUAUGUUAAGUUGGUUAAGGACUUCCACUUGUAGCCAUUAGAUUGCAUGAACGGUAUAUUUUAAAAAGUUAUUUUCCAAUAAAAAAAUAAAAAUUAUUAAAAAAUGUGAUAGAGAUCUCCUCCAUUAUAUUUCUAGUUUAAUAACUUAAGCACAUAACUCAUUAGGCUCAUGGGUUGGUUUAGGGUUUCAGUUAUGUUGGGUAUGUUAUUUGAGCUUAUGGUUAAUUGUGACGUGACCUAGUUGUUUUAGUGUGGCUUUUGUCCGUUUUAGUUUUGUUUUUAACAUGUUAGUUUGUCGCCCUCUAGGGAUUGGAACUUUCGAUGUCGUUGAUUGUACUGCUGAAGUUUAUCUUUGAUCCCAAAAAAAAAAAGCACAAAACUUAUUAAAUGACGUGAGAAAAAAAUCGUGGAAAUUGGGGAUCGAGAUUUUCGAGUUUAAUUUCCGUCAAUAGAGGAGUCAUUUCACAAUUGAUAUUGAGAAUGAAUUUGUUCUUUCCAGUAAUUUUUGUCAUUUAGCAAAUUCGAAGUACAUAAAUCCAAAUGCUAAAAUUAUUAAUUGCCAGAUUUAAAGUAUGGAGAUUUAAAUUCCGUCAUUUUAGAAUUCUAUGAUAUUUUCAAUUCUUUCAUCCAAACGGAAUUGAUUUUAUACUUAUUACCAACUUGGAUUGGAUUAUAUCAGAAUAAACUUGAAUCGGAGCAUACUGAGCAUGAGUCAAUCUGAACAUUCCAUAAUUGAAGUGUAAUUAUUAAUACUAUGAAAUCAAAAAUGAAAAUGGAGCAAAUUAAACGGCUUCAAGGAAAGCUUAUUAUUGUGGGAAGAAACAUAGCUGUUAAAUAAAACAUUCAGAAAGGAAGGCAUAUUUUUUAAUUUAAUUUAUUUUAUUCAGUGGUAUUUUGUGGUACGUACUGAGUAAUGACUUGGCUAUGAAUAUAAAGUAUUAUUUCUUCAAACGUAGUGAUAUUUUGAUGAGAAAAUAAGAACGUGAGGAAUUAAUGAUGAUUUUCAGAUGCAUGCUAGUGAUUGAACAAGUAUAUGGCUAGCGUAUGGGUACACCAAUUAUUUAAACUAGCCUCUCUGCACGCGCUUCCGCGCAUGCGAGAGAUUUUUUUUAUAAAAAAUUUAAAUUUAUUUUAGAAUUAAAAAAGAUAAUGGAUAUUUGUGUUCCAUAAAAAUAGGACCCAUUAUCUGAAUUUUCUUUUAAUUUUAAUUUUUUUAAUACGAAAAAUUGUGAAUUUACCAUAUUAUCUUCAUUUAAUUAAUAAUUUCAAUUCUUAAUGUUUGCAUUAACCAAGGACAUUUUCUGGUAUUUUGAAUGUUUCACCGUUCUCUAUCUUUUGCUUUAUAUAUAUAGAUAAAUGCUAAUUUUGCUAUAUAUAAAAAAUAAAAUAAAAACCGGCUUAAUAAGUUUCAACAAUCCAGCCAUGAUGUGUAAUUUGGAAUUACUAAAUCGAUGCACUGUAAUUUAUGUCUGGUAGGUAUUUUGGGUGCUUAGGGUUGAUUCAUAAAUUCAUAAAUUCAUUAAUUUAUUGACAAGAAAGGCGCAACUGGCCACUGUCAGGAAGAAGAAAGGCGCGCUUUUUCGAAACAGGCUCGACGUGACACUUGGGCUAAGGGGAACUACAGCCUACCCAUUUUUACCGUGAGCUUGCUUUUUCUCUUUAGCCGUUCAGAUAAUUUGGAUGGAUGGAUUUGGUUCUCAUAUAACGUUCGCACAUAAGCGUUCUCACUAAAUAACCGCCCAACUAUUAUUUACUUUACCUAGAUUUCGAUAAUACCACUAUGCCUACAACCAAAAAAAAAAAAAAAACAUUGAGGAGAUUUUGGUUAAAGGGUUUAGAGGAAUUGAUGGGAUAAAUAAUGAUUGGAACUCGUUGUUCUAUAGCAUCCACCCUGGUGGACCGGCCAUUUUAGACAAGGUUGAAGAAAAACUGGGUCUGAAUGAGGGGAAGCUGAGAGCAACCAGGCAUGUAUUCACUGGCGGCCCAGAAAUUUUUUAGCGGAGGUGCAAAAUUGACUAAGUAUGAAAAAUGAUUUUUCAGAAUAAUCAUUUUCUCAAUAUAAUUUUUGGCGGCUUUUAUUCCUUACAUAUCAAAUAAGAAAACUUGAUUUUAUGGGAUUUUAGUAUGAAGUAUAUAUUGACUUAAUGAGCCAUUAUUAUGCAAUUUCAUUUUUAUAGCCUUCACCUCACCAAGACCUAGGUACAAGUACACUUAAUAAAUCUUGACACUAGUACCUAAAGUAAGCGUCUAGCAUGAAUAAAUCUUUUCCCCAUUCUACAUGAAAGAGUAGGACUAAAAAUGCAGUUUUCUUGAUAUUAAUUAUGCUUUCUUUUAUAGGUGCACAUAUCCUUUAAAAUUUCAGCACAAACAUGAACUUAUUUAAUUGCAUCCAUAGUCUAAAAUAUCGAUAAUAUCGACGAAAUAUCAAGGAUAUUAUCGUUUUUUCGAAUCACGGAUAUUUCGAAACUUAUCCAUGCACAUAUCGUAUAAAUAUCGAUAAUAUCGGAAAAUAUCAACGUCGAUAAUUUUGCUCACACUUUAGCAAUAUUUUGUUACAAUAUUGCUAUAAUAUCGCUAAAAUAUCGAAAAUAUCGAAAAUAUCGAUGUGAUGAAAAAAAAAAGGGAAAAAAACACAAAGGGGAUUCAAGGUGUUUCUCUUGUAAAAUUAGUCAUCCUUGGUUUGCUUUGUAUUGUGGCGUCCAAGUGGUAAGUUCUUUUUUCUUCUAAAUAUUGAGACAUGGACAGAGAAGGAAUGAUGGACCUUACAUUUCUUACGUUGACAAAGUUCAGAAGAUGAGGACCAUGAGAGUAGGCGGGAAGGACCAGGAAUUGGUGCCAUAGGGAAGGACUAUACUUGUAGAGAAAGAGGCAAGGCGAUUUUGUCAAGUCAAGAAGAUGAUUCGUUAUCUAUAACUUCGGACUCUGUUGGAAUGGGAAGUAGUAAUUAUGGUUAUACUCAUAACCAACCAUUUCUCUACCCUUCAUAUCCCAUUCCUUUUGGGAAGGAAUCGAGCAGCUCAUGGAAAGAAUCCGAGACUCAAUCUUCAAAUGAUUUUGCUCAUGGACAACGUCAAGCAAUCUCGGAUCUAUAUGGGUGGCAUGUUAACAAUUACACACAAAACUAUUUUGGGGAUUUAUCAUUUGAUGACUACUCUUCACAAUACACUUAUUCUAGAUGAUGAAGAUAGUGAAAAAUUUGAACCUCAUAGGAACUCUAUGUGGUACUAUGUCACUUAUGUAUCUUACCAUGCAAUGUAUAAAAUGUAAAAUAAUGUAGUAAAUCAUUAUAUAUAAAUGAUUGUGGUGUGUUUAAUCUUCUUUCAUUAAUUACUACAUAUUUUCUAUACUCACAGUGUUUGUCAGCUCGCUAUAUAAUCAACUUAAAUUAGUUAAAUCCAUUAUGCAAUGCAUUUCAUUCCAAUUUUUUGUGAUAAAUUAAUAGAUAAUUGACUAAAUAAGCAUCCUCCAAAGUUUCAAUAAAAAUUUUCAAGUUUUUCUUACAAUUUCUGUGGUUUUUAUUCAAUUUUUAUCAAUAUCGAUAAUAUCCCGAUAUUUCCAUCGAAAUUUCUGUGUUUUUGGACUACCGAUAUUUCCGAUAUUUUAAACCUUGAUUGCAUCUAACAAUAGAAUAUUAAUUUUUACAUGUUUAAAAAGAUCCAAAAUUCUGGAGUUUUGACCAAUUUCUUUUGAGGAAGCAAAUAGUGUUGGGGAAAAGUAUUUUCGACUCUUAAUUUCUUUUGUAUAUUUAAUAGCCAAAAUGUUAGUUAACUUAGAAAUUUGACUCUUAAUUAGAAAUUUGACUCUCUUAAUUUCUUUAUUUUCUUCAAAGAAUUGACUAAACAAAGAAUCAUACAUUUGAGUUUGCUUUUGGGGCUUCUGCAUUAAAAGCUUAAAGAGUACGAUCCUACUAAUGGUUUAGAAUUAAACGAAUUAGCUUACAUAAGUCGACUCCCAAAUACUUGUCAAAUCACACCCCAACCUUGAGUUUUGUGAACCAAAAAAUAAAAUUUUAGUUGGAAUUUGUAAAAUAAAUAUAAAAAAAUCAAGUUUGAAAUAAAAAAAAGCCGAAAACUGCACCUGAAUUAGUGUAAACUGAACCAGCCAGUUUCAUAAUUUUUUUCACCAAAACUAGACCAAAUCACACCGAUUAAAUAGUACCAAUUUCAAUUCCAAUGUAAGAUGGAAACUGAAUUGGACAGGACCGCACCACCCCUACUGAAAAGAACUGGCAGGGCCACAGCUGCGAGAUGGAGUUUCUAGCUCCAACAAAUAUCCAGUUUGCAUACAUUUUAGUAGUAUAAAUAUUUUUGUUUUUGGGACAUGUGCUACUCUUUCUAAUUGGCUGGGCCUUUACUCGACUGCCCCCAUGCCCUUCAAUCUGACCCAGCCCUCCAAUAUCGACUUCUCUCACUCUAAUUUAAUUUAUUUAGUUAUUUUUAUUUUGUCAAUUUUAUUUAGUUAAUUUAUUAGUUAAUGUUUUGUUUAUUUAGUUUAGUUUGUUUAUUUAACAUAAAAUGAUUAUAAAAAAAGUACUUCACACAAGACAAAAUGUUAAAAUAGUCCAGUCCUUAAAAAAUUAGACAAACAUGUCCAGUCAUUGUCCGACAGUGAUAUGAAAUAACUCUUAUGUUAUUGUCGGAUAGUGACACGAGAGUUGUUCAAUGUCACUCUCAAUGAGUGAUAUAAAAGUUAUUUCAUGUCAAUGUCGGAUAGUGACUGGACUGGGUUGUCUAAUUUUUUAGGGGUUGGACAAUUUUGUCUUAAUGCCCUCCUAUUUAUCCUUAUAUGGUAAAGCCCCUUUAUUUAAUUCGUUUAGUUAGUGUUUUAGUUUCACUAAGUAGUUUUAAUUCUUCCGAAAAUAGCUACUUUUUAAAUGAUUAACUUCAUUAAUUCAUAAUAGUUGAUGACUAGCGUUUAUUAGGAAUUCCUCGUUGAAGACCAACAAUUGUAAUGAUCUAUAUCAAUCACGAUGAAAUUUCAAAGAUUAUCCGGGCCUGUCAGCCAAGGUUAUAGACUCGUUGAAUACAUCAAUGUAAUGCAUAUGCGUCCUAGAACAUCUAAGGGAAACUAACUCCACCAUUAAAUGCACAUUUUCAUGACCAUUUUGUCCAAAUUAACAAUUUGGAACUACAAUAUAUAGUAGCAGAGGCGGCCUUAGGCCAGGACUACAGCUCGGGGCCCACAGCUAGGGGGGCCCAAAUAUUUUUUUUAAACCUAUGUAUAUAUGUGUAUAAAAAAUAAAUAAAUAUUAAAACAAAAGAAGUUGCCGCCUGUACCUGUCAAUGAAAAGGGAAGCCAAUCAGUCCAAUCAGUCUUUAUAUACUCAAUAUCAAGAAGAACGUAUUGAGUAAGGAAGUCCCUUAUUAAUUAUAUAAUAUAAUAUAAAACAAAUCAACAAAUAUGGAGAAUCAAAACAGAUUCUUAGCCACAAAAAGAAGGAAAAACCCUUCAACCUUCUCAGUUCAUGACGCAAAGCAAGCAAAUUUUUUUUUUUUUUUUUUUGGUGGUGAUUCUCCUCUUCUCCAACAGAGUUGGAAAAUAAAUCAUCCACAAGCUAGACCAAUGCCUUUCUUUGAAGGUAAUUUUUUUUUCUUCAGAUACAUAUAGAAUCUAGAUGUAUAAAUUUUGUAAAUUGUAAUACAUAUCUUUGUUAACUUUUUCUUAUUUAUUAUUUGAUUCAACAGAAAACUUGGCUGGGAUUCGUGUUCUUUAUAAUUUGAAGUUUCAAGUGGAAGAAAAUAUGCUCAAAUCCAGGUUUUAUUGUUCUUUGUUAAUUAUUUUUAUUAUUUUUUAUUGUGUUGUGUUUAUUAUAAAAAUUAACAAAAUAUUUCCUAAGAAACAACUUUCCGGAAAUCUCAAGAGACAAAUAAAGAAAAAAGAAGAAGAAAUUGUUCAAAGUUUAAGAGGAUCUUUGAAUAAAUAUUUUGUUAAAUAAACCAAUGCUUCACUUGAAAAUUUAGAUGAAGAUUUACCAAAUGAAUAUGAACAACCAAUUCAAUUGGAAGAAUUAGUAGAAAAUGAGAAUAUGUAGUUUUCAUUUUUUAAUGCAAUGUUUACAAUCUGGGGUACUCUUUUUCCUUCGUUUGGGGUUUUGUCCCAUUGGGUUUUCCCUAAACAAGGUUUUAAUGAGGCCCCAAAUUGUUCUUCCUUAUCUUUUGUAAAUUCUUAUAAUUUUAAUAAAAUUAAUUAGUUGAUAAUUUAUUUAUUUUUGUUUAAUUUGUAUAAAGGGGCACACUUGAGAAAAUUUGCCCUGGGCCUUAGAAAACCCAGGACCGGCUUUGUAUAGUAGUAAAUGCAUCCUUUUUUAAUUUAAUUUGAUUCAUAUUUCUAACAUGGGUAUAAUUAAACAAAGUUUAUUUUGCUUUCUUACACAAACCAACACAUGAAAAAUGAAUCUUGAACCUUCCACUUCCAACAAAUCCUUUCCGCGAACUAAAAAGGGCCUCACUUUAGACAAAGAAAGAUGUUCUAAUGUGCUUUUAUUAGUAUAAGUAUUUUUCUUUUUUUGUUGAAUAUUAUUCAACAACAUUUCAUCUUCUAUUUAGGAAAAUAAGUAGACACUCGUCACUGGAAUAGUCGAUAAAAAAUACUAUCUCCAAAACCCACAUACAAAUUUACACUGCAAUGACCAAUGUAUUGAUCUAAAAAAUCUUCAAAUAAAGAAAUUUGAAAGAUAGAAUUGAGAGGAAAGAUUGAAAAAGCAUGGUAAAUGUUAUCUUACAUGGCAUUGAAUAUUGUAAUUUAGUGUAUAAUACAAAAAUAAAAAUUAUCUUAAAUAUGAGUUAAAGAAUGAUUGGGUUUAUGUUAAAAUAUAAUAAUUACAUGGACAUUUCUAUUAGCAACUCCUAUAACUUUUUCUGUGUUGGAGUGAUAGUACAUGGUAUCUAUUUUAGGCACUUCAACAGUGAAGAAGACAAAAAAUAGCAGAGAAGUGAAAGCAGUCAGAGAAAGCUGGCAAGCACUCGCAUCUCUCGAGCAACACAGACCACUAACCAGUCCAUUGAAAAUUGAACCAUCUUUGCAGAGAUUCGCGUGACUCAAUAUAAUGACCUUGAAGAAAUCAAAGGCCACAACCCCUUCACAAACAGCACAAUAACUUUGUUUGUUCACCACACCCAUCUGCUUAAAAACUUGAAGAAUUCCAAAAGAUAUUGUUGGGAAAUUAUCUUCGUCUCAUACACCAAGUUGGGAAACUCCAACCAGAAAAGAAAUUCAGGUAGUUUUAUGUUGCAAUACAUGAAUUCUUUUUCUUUAGUUUUUAACGCUUUCAUGCUAGAAGGAAGUGAAAAAUAUUGAUGUCGUGUUUCUUGCAGUUGAAGUGCACGGUAUCAGUUUCAGUGGGUUAGCAGAAAUUUAAGGGAAGGGUCAGAUUUUGAUUGAUGAUGUUAACCAUUUGUAAGGGCUUUGCUCUUAUAUAUGCAACCAACAACCUCCAACUUCCAUUUCAAAAAGAUAUGUUGUUAUUUAUGGCAUCAGGAGAGCGUUUUGGAAUGGGCGGUUUCGGAAAACAAGAGGUAUUAUAAGUUUCAACCUUAUGAUUCUUUUUGUUUUGGUAUUCAAAUAAUAAAUAAUUGUUAUAUGAAUUUUUUAGUGAAUAUUGUUAUCUAUUUGCUAAGUAUGAAUUUAUUAUAGAAAAUGGAAUUUUGUUCCAUUUUGUUUUAUCUGUGCUUUCAGUUUUUUAUUUUUUAUUUUUUAUCUGUUGAAAAUUUGCACUUUCAAAUUUUGGUUUCAUGCAUUCUGGAAUCUGGAUGACAAUGAAUAUUGAGUUUGAUUUAAAAAAUAUACAUAUAUAUAUUUAAAUGACCAGUUUUUGUUUUGGGAAAUAAGCUGAUAUAAUCACUUUUCACAAGUGGUAUUCUGAAAUAAUCAGGUUACAAAUUGUGUUCUGAUAUAAUCACUUGUGAACGUGAAAUGACCAAACUGCCCUCCAUAUAAAAGCACAUGUAUCAACCCGUUAUUGGCCUUUGAUUGGCGACCUAACGCAUCUGGCUUCUCUCCCUUUCUCAGCGCUCAGUCACGGUUCUCUUCCUCUCUCGGCGGUUUCUGUGUCCAUCGACCACCACCACUCUAUUUCUCCCUCUGUCACGAAAACCUAAGUAACACUCUGUCGUUCUCUCUCUGCAGUGAAUGUUAGGGUUUGCUGAGGGGGCUCUUGACGGUGAAAGAGAGGGUUUAAUCGUGAAAUGCUCUCUCCCUUAAACGAUGUCUCAGUUCCCUCUAAGUUCGAGUCUUGAAUCGACGUCGUUCUCUUCUUCUCUGCUCCUUCAGGGCCUAAAAAAACCCUAAAUUUUGGUUUCGGUUAGGAAUUUGUUCACAAACGUCCUCCUCCUUCUCAAUCCUGUGAGACUCGGUUAGGACAAAAGUCGCGAUUUGCUGUAGGUGUUGCUGGGAAUUCGAAUUCUGUUCUGUGCAGAGAAGGAGUGAUUCUAAGGUGGGUUUUGUAUUUGUUAUUGACUAGUUUGUGUUUUUGUAUGGUUAUCAUUUGAGAAGGAUAAUUUCACUAACCUGUGACUGAAUUUGUGAAGUUUAGUAAUUAGAGAUAUUGCAAUAAUAAUGUAAUUUAACUGUGAAGUAGAUCAUGCUGGGAUGAAACUUGUAUUGGUGUAUUGAUUUUGCUCUAUGGAUGAUGCAGUGCCUCAAAUUGCUAUUUGUCAUAUAGGAUUGGUUCUAUGGCAAUGCUUGUUUUCACUUCCAUUUUAUGAGUCAUAUUUAGUGUGGGAAAUUAUUCUGGUGCCAAGGGCUAUUCCAUUAUAACACACCAUUACCUCAGUAGGCCCUGAAUUAGGUGUUGAGUAAUAAUGCACAAGUAAAUUUGUUGGUAUCAUUGGUGUUUCAGCACGUAGUAGCAUAUUUUGCACCCUUCCAGUGUUAAUGGUUAAUUAUGUGAUUUUGAAAUACUAAAGUUAGUUGCCGUGGAAAUUUUCUGUUCCCUGUGGUAUAAAACGUGCUAAAUUGUGUUGUUAUUCCUUGCUUGCAGCUUGUGAUAUAUGUCUGAAAAUGGUAUUUUAUGGGGCUUUAGUAUCUGUUUAGAAAUUGCAUGUUCAUCCAUCUAGGUUUAGCAGUUGCAGUUGCAGUAACAUUUUGACGUGUCUAGUUUGCACACAGAGUCCAUAACUGUGAAUACUGAUGUUCCAUGUGUGGUACUGUAUUGCAUAUGAGCAUAUUGUAGUAGGCAUUGAUGCAUUUGGAGUAAUUUGUGUAGCCAUUUCAGCCAAACCCUGUAUGAAGUGGAUCCGUGGUUGAUGAAAUUGUUUUCAGACUUGGGUGGUAUUUGGUUUUUUGAUGGAAUGGGAUGUACAUUUGGCAGAAGGGAAUGUAGAUAAGAGGAGAGUGUGGAGAGAGUUGGAGAGUAGAAAAGAGGCUUAAAAACAUUUAUGGUUUUAUCAAAUGUAUAUACAUAUAUCAAAAUGGGUUGAAAGUAUUAGUUUGAGUAAUGUACGUAUGAAAUAUGGGUAACCAAUGAUCCAUAUGUAUGAUGUUGUUGUGCAGGGAACUUGAGAAUGGCUUGUAAAGCAAAGCUUAUGAUUCCUGAGGAUGAGAAGUACGAAGGAAAGCCAUAUGCCCUUUCACACACAAGGACUGCCAUUACAACAAUAAAGGCGAAGUUGAAUACGCAGCAGUUACAGAGGUUCGAGGGAAGUUGUUUUGGUCAUCUAUUACUGAUAGAGGACCUGAAGUGGAAUUCACAAAUUGUCCACGGCCUGUUGAUGAGGAAGGCUGAUCCUAAGACAGUUACACAGGUGAACGGAAUAAAAUUCAUUGUGGGUAACAAGUUGAUACAAUUCACAGCCCAACAAUUUUGCCUCAUCACGGGGCUAAGGUUCGGAAAGCUCCCUUUCAUUUUGAAGGCGACAAAUGAAAAUUGCUCGUUGAAGCGAAAAUACUUCAGCAGCAAUAAACCUGCCACCCUUUCGGACCUACACACCGCCUUCAUCGAGUGCACAGAUGAUGAGGAUGCGUUAAAGCUUGGAAUGGUCUAUUUUGCCAAUUUUGUUCUAUUGGGUACUGAAAAGCAUGUGCUUAUUGACAUGCGCUAUUUGAAGUUGGCUGAAGACCUAGAGGAGUUUGACAAGUAUCCAUGGGGCGCAGUGUCAUAUGCAAUGACAAAUGCUUCACUGUUGAGGGCAGUUUCUGCUGAAUACCAACGAGUCAAAGUGCCUCAAAAAAGAAAAAUGCCCAAACAACGUGGAAAGAGAGCGCAGACAAGAAUGCGAAGUGGUAGACCAAGAGAGUACAUCAUAAGGGGGUUUGGCUUCGCUCUUCAGGUGAACACAUAUCCAGCAAUUAACUAUUUGAUGUAAAUACAUUUACAGAUAUUGAUGUUUCAUUGUUGUGAACAGAUUUGGGCUUUUGAAGUGUUCCCAGCAUUGGAAGCAUUGCAUUUCACGGUCCAUGAAGACAAUAGGCACAUCCCUCGAAUAUUACAUUGGAGGAGCAACACGGUGGCCCGUUUUCGGGAGGUUAUGAGUCAGGUUUUUGAAAACUUUGAGGUUAGAUCUGUUUGUAUCAGUGAUGUUAUGAUUAGGAAAAAGUACAAAGUUAACUGAUUUUUUUUAUGUGUUUCAAUUGGAGGUUGAUGUGCAACUUCUCCGGCCAACAGAUAUUGAGAAGCAACAACCUUACUGGAGUUGGGGUGAUGAUGACAACGAAGAAGCAAUGGUUGAAUUAUUUGGGGAUGAGGCCGAAGAAAAAACCGGCACUUCUAGUGAAGAAAAAGACGCGGAUGUUGAGGAAACAGGCACCCUUCCCUCCUCUUCUAAGGUGAGCAUGACCUUUUUCCAAUGUUGUGAAAAUAUAGCGAAUACGAUAGGAAUGAAGUGGAAAUAGUUUCCUAGUUUUUUGUAAGCUUUCUAAAUGUUGCAUUAUAACUGUAUGCAGGCCAAAGGGUCUGUUAAUGACGUUCGCAGUUUGAAGCAUCAAUUACGCAGCACUAAGGAUCAGUUGGCUAAGCUACGUAGUUCAAAUCGGGGGCUUAGGAACAGAGUUCGUGACUUGGAAGCUAUUGUACAGAAGAACUGUUUGAAGCAUGAGAACGAGUGUGACAGAAAUAACAAGGCUAUUCGGGAUUUGACCCUAAAAAUUGCUGAAGUCGAACAUUAUUUGAAGUUGGAGAUGGAGGAGUUAAAAAAAAAUUAUGGUGGAGAAGGCCAUGAGGAAGUCUGUACUGCUCAGAUGAAUGAAGGAGGGCAGAAUGAUUUGUCACCCGUAAAUGAACCUACUAGUCCGACUACAGCAGCACCUAAAAUGGACACUCAAGUUCCAGCUGAUGGAGUAGAACCCUUCCCAGGCAUGCAUACAGAACGGGGUGAAAUGGAAGCAGCAGUCUGUGGUGAUGGAGUGGAACGCUUUCCAGCCUCAGAUCAAGAAGGGGCUGCAAGGGAAGCAGAAGUCCCUGCUGAUGGAGUGGAACCCUUCCCAGUCAUGGAAGUCAUAGACACUGAAAUUGAAACUUCAGUUCGUGAGAGGCAAGUGGACCAACAACCUCACAAGGUUCCUACCUCUGAAGAUGUGAAGCUUCCUAGUGUUGAAGAUGCCCUCCUUCCUACUCCGGAAGAUGGGAAUGGGUAUAGAGUUAUUUGUAAAACAAUGUUACAUUUGUUACAGGAUUGGAAGAAGACAGAAAGUGAGGGGGUGGGAUGCAAGGUCAGGCCUCCCAUGAAAUGUAACAUAACUCUGGUUGGUGAUGAAGGGGACAACGAGGCUACUGGCACGGUUCGGAAACCAGAUGGUGAAGGCAAAGGGUGCAGACUUAAGCGGGCUGCGACACCAUUGUUGAGUCCAUUCACCGAUCCCUCCAGGAAAAAGAGGAAGGUUACUGAUUUGCAUGCAGAGACACCUCAGCCCCGUUUUGAUCCAACAAAACCCGUGGCCAUGGACGAUGUUAAGGCUAUCAUACAACUUUGCAGGGCUUGGAAAACUGACAUCAGGUUAGGAUUUGUAUCUUGGCAAAACCAAUAUACUUGUUUUUUGAUGUAUGCAAACAAUUUAUACACAGCUAUACUAUACAUGUGUGUGUCAUUGUCAUAUUAUACAAGGUGUUCCACUUGUCUAUUAUAUUUGAAUUUACCUUUGUAAGUGUUGUUUUUGUAGUGCGGAGCUGGAGCUCGAACCAUUUGAAGUUGGGGCAGAUUUUUUGUACAAACUGUUAGAUGAAACUGCAUGGAUGAGCUCGAGGGUAACAAUUUGAACCCGGCUUUAUUUCGAUCAAUCUCUUAUUUGAUGACAUUGACUAUGUGUCAUUUGUUGUGAUCUUGACGCGGUUGUUGUGUUCUGAAAUAGCAGCACCUUGACAUGGCCAUGUUUCUAAUACGCAAAAGACAACUCUCUCAUCCGCAACUAUUUGGAAGGGAGUGGACAACCGCCGAGUUUUGUCUGCAGGUAAUUUUGUAUCCAUAUUAUGUGUCACUGCAGUUCUUGCAUUGGUAGGAGUCAUGUAGGUCUCUCCUUUUGGUGCUUUGGUUUGGGUUUAUGUAACGUGUCUUUCACACUUGGUUGCAGCAAUUUUUACAGCCGUUUGCAAUGCCAAGUGGGAAACGAGUCACGAGGAAACAAUCUGCUGCAACGACCGUUGACCCUCCCCCUAACUACCUAAAAAAUGUACACCACUUUGUCAAUGGGUCAUGGCAACAUGGGUAUGCGCAAGCAUGGACGAAAGUGCGCAAGGUCUAUCUCCCGUAUAAUGUUCGACAGUCCCAUUGGGUGGCAGUAGAAGUCGACUUUGUGCGACAUACUGUCACUGUCUAUGACUCGUAUUCUGAUUUUACCUCCCAUAGUAUGCUUGUCCGAUUCAUGGAGCCUAUUACCCAUACGCUUGCAAAGGUGCUGCAUGAAAUGAGGUUUUAUGAGAAAUCGGAGGUUGAAGCGGUGAAGAGAAAGGGGACUGACAUGUCAAACUUUAACCCAUUCACAAUUUGCAGAAUUUCCGAUGUUCCUCAACAAACUGAUGGGUAAGUUGUGUUCUUUUAAAUCACUAUACUCGGAUGUUAUGAAUAGGUGCACUUCUAACUUGUGUACUGCUCGGGUGGACAGUACUUCAUGUGGCAUUAUGACAGUCAAAUAUAUUGAGUACCUUAGUGCCGGCAUUCCUUUACAUACCAUUGACCCAUCCAAGUUUGGCUACUACCGAUUUAAGCUUGCAAUCGAGGCUUUCAGGGGGGAGGCCUAUGUAUGAGGUAAAAGUCCUAAUCUGACCUCAUUGCUGCUUUAUUGUUAAUUACUGCCUUUGGAAUUGCGUUGUUAUUUACUUCAUUCUAGUUACGUCGUAUGUACUCACCUGUGAUGUCAGUGUUCAUUUAAGAGAACUUACAUUAUGUUGGGAACUUGUCCAACUGUGAUCACUAAAAAUGGCUACUUUUGUUCUUCAAAGUGUAGGGUACUGGGGAUUUGAACACUAUAGAUGGUAAUGUCAAUGUUUCGCAACUGGCAUCUGAUUUACGUAUGUCAUAUGUUCUAAACUCCGACUGUGUGUAAUCCAAAACUUGUUUCAUGUUCUUUAAGAAAGGUUCAAACAAUUACUUCUUCAAAUUGAACAUGUCUUACGACAUCUCAUUUUCCCUUUAUAUGAAUGCUGAAGUGGCACAUAUGUCCUCCUUCUGCAGGUGGUCCUUCCAGCUUCAUACCCAUAUUGACAUCUCAGAUUCUGUACAUGUAUGUGAAAGAAGUUGCAGGAUGUUUUGUCGUAUUGUGAAUAUUGAAACUGCCUAAGCAGUUUUUGCGUAACAUGGCACAAUUUUUGACAUUUUGCUCACCACGCGAUAAAGUGGGGUGAUUUUGUAGUAGGUUGCAGGGUGUUAUUUAUGUAACGGAAUUCAACUGUACUUGUCUUUCAUGGUAGAAGGGCUGUAUUCACUUUCCUUUGUUAGAACUAAUUGUUGACAUUCUGUGCUUAAGAAAUUCCUGUAAAUCCAUAAUUUGGCACAAGUUGCAGCGAAAUGCAAUUUUUUGGGGCCACCCACAUUGUAGCUUUUCCCAUUAUUUUAUUGCCACUAUAGCGAAAUAUUCGACUCUCAUUUGGCAAUAUAUUAGGGUGUUCAUUUUCGUGACAGUUGAACGUAUAUAUUCGGUGGCUAUGUCAUUUUGAACUUGUAAACUCCCAACCAUAUCAUACUUUUUGUUUGAGAAUAAUGCUUGUUAAUUCGACAUAUUUUUGUAUAACUUUGUUUACUAAGUUUAGGGCUUGCAUAUUGGAUAUGGAUGAGUUUUGUUUAGAACCAUAUGUGCUGUAAUAUGAGUUGUUUAAAAGUUUGCUGUUUUGUGCUUCAUCAUUGUGUGCUUAAAAGAAAGCGGGAAAUGAGUGAAGAUGGGAACCUACCACCAGCAGCUGUGGUUUAGAGAAAUGGGGACAUUGAUUUUGCUAUAAGCUAACUGUUUAAGCUUUUGCUUUUGUUGUUUGUGUAUGGAUACUUAGAGAACUCUGUUUCUGAGGAGAACUUAUAAUUUUGUAAUUGUACAUGUCUUACAAACAUUUUAUACCGUUUUGAUGGUUUAUUUAUGAAUUUAUCUUUGAUUUUUUGUUAAGAAACAACUGAAGGGAUGGUGCCAAUUUCUUUCAUUUUCUUACAUUUGAAAGGAGGGCCAUAGUAGCGUCAGUACUGUCGUUGCCACUAAUUCAUAGGAUGUUCCAUUACAGUAACUGCCGAGUCGUUUUUCAUUUCAUGUAUUUGUCCGUGGUAUUUUGUUCCCCAAUAUUCUGAUUAUGGUCAAUAUGUAAACAUUACUGUGGAGCUUAUUGUAUGUUUUCUUUAUUUUGUGGCCAUGACUUAUUUUGUGGCCACCAUACCAAAUUGACUGCCCCUUGAAUUGCACUUGACGCUACCACAAUUGUAGGGGUGGACCUUGGCCAGGGUCUGCGGGAAUGGAUAUUCAAAAGUACAUAAAGGUUGAGAAGGUUCCUGGUGGCCAGUUGGAAGAUUCAGUGGUUUGCAAAGGAGUAAUGAUUAACAAAGAUGUUAUUGCACCUGGAAAAAUGAGAAGAAAGAUUUUCAACCAACGCAUCAUUCUUCUUGAUUGGCCUCUCGAAUAUAAGAAAGGCGAGAACCAAACAAAUGCUGAGUUGCUUAAAGAAGAAGAUUGGGGAGUCCUGCUACAAUUGGAAGAAGAAUACAUCGAGAGUCUAUGUGUGCAAAUAUUGAAGUUUAAACCAGAUGUGGUUAUGACAGAAAAGGGGCUUAGUGACUUGGCAUGCCAUUAUUUUAGCAAGGCCGGCGUCAGUGGAAUGAGGAGGUUGCGGAAAACAGAUAAUAACAGAAUUGCCAAGGCUUGUGGGGCUGUAAUUGUUAACAGACCAGAUCAAUUGCAACAGUCUGAUGUUGGUACAGGCGCUGGGAUAUUUGAGGUUAAGAAAAUUGGUGAUGAGUUUUUUGCAUUCAUUGUUGAUUGCAAAGAGCCUAAAGCAUGUACUGUACUCUUGAGAGGUCCUAGUAAGGAUCAGUUAAAUGAAGUGGAAAGGAAUUUGCAGGUAUAAUGGUUUUACUUCUUUGUCCCCAUUACGUAGAAUAAAUAUAUUAUGCUGAAAUGUCUUAUUUACUCCCUUAUAUCUGGUCAUAGGAUGCCAUGUCUGUAGCAAGAAACAUCCUCAAGAAUCCGAAACUUGGUCCUGGUGGUGGUGCUACACAGUUAACUGUAUCUGCUACAUUGAAGCAAAAGAGUUCAUCUGUGGAAGGUAUAGAAAAGGUAAAAGCUCCUUUCCUCAGCCAAAAGUUUGGUAUUUCUUGUGUAAAACUCGUCCAAGAAUAACUCCUUGUGGAAGUAGAAAUCUAAAUUCUGUGAAUAAACUGGCUGUCACUUCAAUUCACAUGCUCCUUGACAUACUUUAGAUUAAGAAUUAGUUGUGGUUUCACUUUACAUGCAUUUUAUUGGAGUUUUAUGGCUACACCUGUUUUUAUGGUAAAACAGUGGCCGUAUGAAGCUGCUACUAUAGCUUUUGAGGCUAUACCACGUACUUUCGCUCAGAAUUGCGGGGUGAAUGUGAUUAGAACAAUGACGGCGCUGCAGGGAAAGGUUUGAAUCUGUUUUGUAUGGCUUUGUUCAGUUUUGUUAUGAUUUGUCAUUUCUAUUUACGUUCUGCUGCAUCAUUAUUAUUUUGGUCAGAAUAUGAUGCAUCAUUUAGAUCCUAACCACAAUUUUUUUUCCAUAGCAUGCAAAUGGUGAAAAAUCAUGGAUUGGCAUUGAUGGUAACACUGGUGUGAUAACUGAUGUGAAAGAGAAAAAGAUAGGUGGAUAUCUUUUUGGCUUACUAUUGUUGCUCUCUUUUAUUUCCUUCGCUAUCUCAAUAUUCAAAUUUGUUGGGUGAUUUAUAUUUGCUGAAAGCUCUGAAAUAGGACUUUUAAUGUAGUAUUGUUCUCAAAUGUAUCCAUUAUAUGUCCCUUUAUUUAUAUGGCAUAAGUGUCAAUCUUCUGGUUUAUAUUGUCGAUUUGCUUCAGUAGUAGUUCUAGUUUAGAGCUUCUCCCAAUAUAUUUCGACAGCACUCAUGUGAGGGGAAGUGCUGUUGUCGUGGUUAUUACUAAAUUUCCCAAUAAAUUUAUUUUGUUGGUAAGGCUGUUCAUUUUUAGGAAUUAUGAUGUCAGAUCUGGGAUGCCUACAAUGUGAAGGCCCAGAGUUUUAAAACGGCCAUAGAAGCUGCUUGCCUACUUCUCAGAAUCGAUGACAUUGUGAGUGGGAUGAAGAAGAAGCAGCCUCCUGGUGCCAAAGCUCCUUCCAAGCCUCAAGUUGAGACAGAAGGCGAUGCAGAUAAUGAGCAUAUAAUUCCGGAGUGCUUAUCGAGACCACGUGGUUAUCUCAGUUUGAAUGAAGUUUUGCUUUAAAGAAGAAAAUAAGGAGCAUUAUAAGUUUGAUGAGGAUAUUUUUUAGGUUUGUAAUGUCACCUUAACUUGGUAGUGUGUGUUUUGUCCCUCUUCUUUCUUUCUCAAUCGACAAGGGGUUGGAAAGAAGAGAAGUCUUCUUAUUGGAGAAUGCUAAUGUUAGUUUCACAUGUCAUCUGUGUAUCGAACACAAUUUCUUUGUUCAACUUCGUGGAUUGGCACAGUGGAGCUUAUUUCUACCAUUCUUCUGAAUGAUUGUUAACAGUCCAAACUUAGUUAUUGACACAAAUAUGUACUUUUCUAAAAGUAAGAAAACAAAAAGUUUUUCAUGGCCAAGCAUCAAUUUUAAUAAGCCAGUGUGGCACCUAAAACACACAACGUACGGCACUGUACACAAACUUGUGGAGGAAAGGAUUCAUAUUGAGCAUCUAUUUUAUCCACUUAGGGAGACUAAGAAUUGAUCUUGUCACUCCCAUAUUCAGCCAAUACGCCACGUAUUGAUUCAAAGCAGAGCUUAAAAAUGAAACAAAAGCAGAUAAAAAACCCUAGACACGGCCAGCUGAUGCAACUGAAAUUGGCAAAUAGCAAAGAUGACAUGAAGUCUGGGACUUCACAAGCGAGGCUGAACGAGGAUGAAGCUGUGAGGGUUGCAUACAAGCAUGGGACGCCUCUUGAAGGAGGCAAAAUUGGUGAUUCUGAGCCUGUGGAUUUAUUUUCCAGUCCUCAUCAUAUUCCAAAGUAGGGCAAUAUGCCUACAAUACGAAGGCAAUACGAAGGCAAUACGAAGGCAAUAUGACCACAAUAAAUAUACAAUACGAAGGCAAUAGUAGGGCAAUAUGGCCACAAUAAAUAUACAAUACGAAGGCAAUAGUAGAGCAAUAUAAGUACAAUAUAAAGGCAAUAUUAGGGCAAUAUACAUACAAUACAUGCCAGGGCGGUCCCCUGGGUAACUCACAUGCUCGUUAGGAGGGCGUACAUCUGACAUGUUGAAGUAUUACUGGGGACAAUUCACAGCUGUUGCCUGCAACCAAACAAAUAGAGGUACAUUAAGUCUCCAGUUGUAAACGACUAUAUGGUUAGGUUGAGUGGAGAAUAUUUGCCUUUCAGUUAGACUAAUUACCUUUCCCGUUAAGAAGGUGCCUCUGUUGCAGUUCUAUAUAGGAAUGUUCAGUUAUAUGUACGAACUGAUAUGAGGUAAAUUGGGUUUUGUGUUGGUGCAUUAAAUUGAUGGGAUUCAAAACUACACCAUUAACUCCUUGGCUGUAAGUUACAGCAGUACAACAUGACAUUAACAACAAUAAAAUUGGCGUCCAAACGACAAAAAACCAAACCUUUAUGGGAAAUAGGAAAUUGUGGAUUGGAACCAAAAAUAGGACUAUGUAAGUAAGCAUUUAUUGCGAAUUUCAGAACACAAAAUAGGAAAAUAGGAAAAUGGCAAAACACGAAAAUUGGAAAUUUGGAAAACUGACAACUUAAAACUUGGAUAUGGGAAAUAAGGAAACUUGGAAAAUUGGAAAUUGAAGAAAAGAAAAAUUGGAAAAACGGAAAUACGAAAAAAUGGAAAGUUGGAAAGUUGGAAAAUUGGAAAAAGGAAAUAAGGAAAAAUUGGAAACAGGAAAGUAGGCAAUAGGAUCAAAUGAUAGUUGGAAAAUUGGAAAAUUGGAAAAAGGAAAAAAGGACACUUGGAAAAUAGGAAAUUUGGAAAUUGUAGAUUGGAAAAGAAAGCAACUUGGAAAAUUGGAAAUUUCGAAAUUGGCCAAAAGGAAACUUGGAAAAUAGGAAAAUAGGAAAUAGGAAAUAGGAAAGAAAGGAAACUCUGAAAACAUUAAAAUUUGAAAAUUCGAAAAAUCGAUAAAUCAGAAAAAAGGACACUUGGAAAGUAGGCAAAUAAGCAAAUUGGGAAAUUCAAAAUUGAAAAUUGAAAAUUGGAAAAUUGGAAAAUUGGAAAAUUGGAAAAUUGGAAUAUUGGAAUAUUGGAGAACUGGAUAAAUGAAAAAUAGGAAAUAAGGCAACUUGGAAAAUAGCAAAAGUGGAAAUUGAACAAAAGGACAGUUACCAAAAUGAUAAAUUUGAAAUAGGAAAAAAAGGAAACUUAGAAAAUAGUCGAAUUGGAAAUAAAAACAUUGGAUAAUUGGACAAAAACUUAAAUUUUUAAAAUUGGAAAUAGGAAACAGGGACACAUGGAAAAUCAGAAAACUGGAAACGAAUUGAAAUUGUGGAAAUGGGAAAUAAGACAAUUACCAUAUUGGACAAUUUUAAUUACUGUCUGAAUUAGGCAAAGUAGGCAACUUUUUAUAAGUACAUAAUGAGGGGAAAAUGGGAACAUUGAAAAAUUGGAAAACUGGAAAUAGAACAAAAGGAAACUUGGGAAAUUGCACAAUACGAAAAUAGGGAAUAGGAAAAAAUAAUGAAAAAUUGAAAAAUUGGAAAAUUGGAUGACACAUGGAAAAUAGGAAAAUAUGAAAAAUGGCAAAAUGGCAUACAUCAAUUGAGAUUGGUGAAAUGAGAAAUAAGACAAUAACCAUUAUUGGUCAAUUCGAAUGAGUUGGUGAAUUUGGCAAAUAGGCAACUCCCUUAUUUCAAUGACAUAAUGGGAAAAUGACCAAGUUGGGAACGUCCAACAUACAUAUUACAAAAAGGCAUAAAGUCAACCUGGGUAAUAACUCCCGCCCAUACUAUCCCGCCCAAUACUAUCCCGCCUAACACUCCCGCCAAUCCCUCCCGCCAAUUACUCCCCCUAAUCCCUCCCGCCAAUAACUCUCUCACUUACUGGUUUGGUCAUUAAAAUUUGCAGGUAUAUUAAUCAACCGAGCUGUUUGAAAUGAAAACUUCCAUCACAUUAACUGCUGCUUACAGCCACUACCUUCCCCACAGAUUUAAGUCACAUCGCAUUUAGUCCCCUGUUGUUCCAAUUAAGUUGUACACCAGCCAACAAUAAAUAUCAAAGACCAUGGACCAUAACCUCACACCAAACCCAACGAUUUCAAUUACUGAAGGAGGGGAGACUGAAACAGAAGCCAAGUGACCGAAUUCACUCCCUGCAGACUUGGUCCAUGGCAUACAGCAAUGUCAACGCAAUACCAUGUUUUGGAAAAAUCUUCAUGCAGACAUAGUUUCAAAAAUUGUGGAGGGCCAAGCUAGAUGGGGUGUCAUCAAAAACCGCACAAUUCGCUGUCGUUAUCAUGCGCGCAUGCAUCUCCUACAUAUAAAGAGAAUGAAAGAAAAAAUUGAACUUGCCCCUGCCACUGCAAUUAUGGUAUUCAAGGAAUCAGAAGCAAUGGCCAAGUUGAAGCAAGAACAAGUGGAAAGGGGAUUGGAACUAUUUCGUAAAUUUGCAAUAAUUGUGGAUCCGGCAGGAAACUGGGCCAAUAUCACUGUGGCUGGGGUCAUGAAUUUCAUGGGUCGCGGUCACCGCACUUGAAGAGUAUGCAACUUCGAAUUUGUCAACAGCAGGGAAAUGGAACUAUGAGGUGGCGUAUUUUUGUAUUAUGUAACCAUAGGGUGGCCUGUUGUUGUAUUAUGUAAGUUUGGAAAUAGGAAUGUAUGGAAUGAUGAAGCCUCAUUUUGUAGGGAAAUGGAACUAUGAGGUGGCGUACUUUUGUAUUAUGUAACGAUGGGGUGGCCUGUUGUUGUAUUAUGUAAGUUUGGAAAUAGGAUUUUAUGGAAUGAUGAAGCCUCAUUUCCCUUUUCUAUUUCUGCGUAUGCAGUUUAUCGGUCUCCAGUUCUGUGGCGAUAUAGCAGCAAUAAAUAUGCAAUAAACAUGCGGAUAGUGGCAAUAUUAUGUCAAUAUCAGUACAAUAGAGUGGUGAUAGAGUUACAAUAUGAUCCUCUUAGAGGACAUACUGCAUCAGAAUAUGUUUUAAAUUAUAUGGUCCAAAAAUAUACUAAUAAAUAAACAAAAAAGUAAUUACAACCUGGAAAAAGGAUGAAUUAAACAUCCCUUAAAAGACAGAUGGCCUACAGUACAGACCUUCAAAAUGAACUCUAUAUAUAUAUAAAAUGCAUGCCUUGUAGCACCAUCACAUCCCCCCCUAAAUGACACAAACAUGACACCCCAAAACCUCAUGCUCCUUCCUCUUUCAACCCCUAAAUUAUCCAUUGGAUGCCCAAUACUAGAUCACUGCUUGGGGGGUGGGAUACCCUGCAAGUCCAUAACAGAAUUAGUAGGGGAGAGUGGUUCUGGGAAGACGCAGCUUUGUCUCCAACUUACGGUACGAGCUCAGCUCCCACCCUCACAUGGCGGACUAGGGGGCUCCUCCGUCUACAUAUUCACAGAAUUCAGCUUCCCAUUUCGUCGAUUGCAACAACUAGGCAACCUUUAUCAUGCAUCAUACCCCAACUUAAUAAGGUUGGAGCCAUUGGAAGACAUAUAUGUUCAUGGUGUUCAUGAUGCUCACGAACUCAUCCAUGUCCUUCGAGACAUAGAAGCAUUUAUUGCCAUUGAUCACACCCGCCUACCUGUGAAACUCAUUGUCAUUGAUUCCAUUGCUGCAUUGUUCCGAUCACAGUAUCAGACAACUCCGGCAGAUUUGAAACGGCGGUCUGAAAUGUUCUUCAACAUAUCUGGGACAUUGAAGGGUUUAGCAAAUAAGUAUGGGUUGGCGGUGGUUGUCACCAACCAAGUGGUGGAUUUUAUUGGGCCAUAUCAUGGAGUGAAUGGGGUGAGGUUGGGAAACUUGGAGUCCCUGCACACAUCAGGCAGACGGGUGAAUCCAGCUUUGGGACUGGCUUGGGCACAUUGCAUAAAUUCAAGAGUGUUCUUGGCAAGACAUGAGCAAUCUAUUGAGGUUGACAUUCGUAAUGCUCCUUCAACAAGUAUAUGUAGUCAAACACAUAGGACAUUUCACCUUGUCUUUGCCCCACAUCUGGCCUAUGCAUCGGCCGAAUUUGUAAUAAAAAAAGAAGGUAUAGUCGGAGUAUCACAGUAACUGUGUAAUAUAGGAAUUCUAAGAACUUUAAUGUUUUGGAUCCAUUUGGAAUUACAUUCAAGUCCCUUUAAUUUCGCACUGAAAUUAUAAUUGCAAUCAGGAAGCAAUACCAGUACAAUAAAAGGUCAAUAUAAUGGCAAUAUGUCAGCAAUACAGCAUGCUGUAGCAAUGCAACCCAAAUAAUGCAAAUUUAAAAGAAUUCCCAUUCAACAUAACACGAAACCCACCACAAAUAAAAGUUGAGUUCACAUGACCUACCAAAGCAACACAAAUCUUAUUGUCUAAGAUACAUUGCGCAAUGGAAUAUUGUUUUUACAGGUGCUUUUAUUGUGGCCUGCGGAACCGCACCUUGAGCACUUUCUUCUAAUGCUGCCCUCUCCUUGCGAGGGAAUUCUUAACUUCUUUCGUCUGCCUGGCAUGACCCUUGCCAUGGGAGGCAGCACAACUCGACUUCGAACAUCUUCAGGAGUAUCCCACAUUCCGUGAGGUUGUACCGGGUAGAUGCUAUCCGAAUAAGCAUCCAUCCAGGUUUUCCGAGUGUAAUACCGAGAAGCCUUUGCGUAUACACUUACUUUCAAGAAGCGGAAAACUAUAACUCAUUUCACAUAAUCCCACUGAUAUUAACAAAAUAACCAUGAACACUACCUUUUCGGGGUCGGCAAUCCACUAGAGCUUCAAGGUUGCAAGCAGCUAUUCAGAAGACAUAGCUAAAGGGAAGGGUUCGCGAUUCCAAACAGAGACCAACAGAUCGAAUAGGGGAGAAAGAGAUAACGAAGCUACAGAGAGCAACAGAUCGAGUAGGGGAGAAAGAGAUAACCAAGCUACAGAGAUAAACGGCUGCGCUAUGACAAAGAGAGCAAAGAGAGAGACAGAGAGUUGUGCUAGAGAGAGAGAGAGAGAGCCAAGAGAGACCCACAGAGCUGUGAUAGACAGCUACCAAAGAGAAAGCCAGUUGUGCCAGAGAGAGAGAGAGCUGUGUGACCUAAGAGAACAGAACAAAUUUAUGAACUUGUGAAAAAUCAGCAAUAAGGGUACAAUAAUUUUAUAUUUAUAGGUGAUAGUUCCAAAUUUUAUAAAAAAGGGUGGUAUUUUCAGUUACAAUUAAAAAAUUGGUGGCAUUUUGGGCUAUUUCCCAAUAUUCUAUUGUUUGACGUCAUUGAGUAGUAGUUUUGGGAGGUCCCUCACCGUCUAAUAUUUUGUUAUUUCUCAUGUUUACGUGGAAAAAAUGGUCUGACGAUUGAGGCUGCAUCAGACUUUAUACCAAAAUACCUGAGCCUGGGGUUAUUGCCUAUGCCGUUUGUGUUUGCCUUUUCAAACCAAGAUGAAACCACAAUAGAAAAUGACCAUCUCUGCCUUCACUGAUUCAGAAUAAAUAAAACCUGUUCCAUUACAUCCAUAACCUAACCAACUUUAACCUGCCAACUGUAGAUGACCAGGAGUCCUAUUACAUUUGGAAAACAACAAAUAAAUGACCAUUCCAACCAAGAAAACAGAUACCCAAAACCAUGGGUUUUUCAUCUUUCCUUUUCCAGCGUUUUUUUCUUCUUCCAGCCGGUUUAUUUUCCUAAGCAAGCCUGGAAUGAUGUGCUUCGAUCUGGCACACAUCUCUGGGUCAGCCCAUUCCCAAAAUGUACAUCCAUUCCUCUGCACAAACGGAAGCAAUGUUUUCAAACAAAGACAUCUAGCAUCAGAUUUGGAAUACAGACAAUUCCCACAUGUCAGCUAAAACUUACACAUAAAUAAACUUACCCUUGCACAUACUUGAAACCUCCUUCCAGGAUGAGAAACCGUCCACGAUGUAUGCGUUUUGACAACGUUCCCACAGUAGCACAGCCGUGAACACACAGAACUCGCAGCUUCCAUUUCCCAGCGAGAUCUUGAAGUCGCGUCUUGACCGGCCAACCGAGACGUCACUGACUCACCCUCACCGGUACGGGGGCUCCUCCUACUCAUCUUCUUGUUUUGGAGGGUAUGAAUUGUUGUUCACGUUGUGCAAUAUUUAGGGUGCUGAAGAGGGUCAUCCCAAAUUCAAAGGGUUACACUUGCAUGUGCACAAUGUUUCAGUAACAUGGUGUGAGUGCACAAACAUGAAACCUGGAGUUAAUGGGGUGUUUUUAAAAAGGAAAAAUUUUUUUUUUCCAAUAUUUACCAUUGCCAACAGUAACUAUAGAUUGGGCCCAAUGUUAUUCAUAGCCUUAGUUUAUGACAGAUACGGCAUGGUAUACACUUGCAUAUACAGUACAUUCCAUUCUUAGUUGUUUUUAUAUUGGGCUAUUUAUGACGUAUUGGUAGGACAGUGGUAAUAUAUUGGUAUCAUAUUGUAACUUUAUUGCAUCGCUAUUGAUUUGUAUUGGUUUUAUAAUGCCCGAUAUUGGUGUUAUAUUGGCAUUCCAAUGUAACCUCAGCAUUAUUUGACAUUGGUACAGCUAUUAUAACAUUUUUUAUACUGUCUUACGUAUUGGUUUUGCAAUGUCAAGGAACAAGUCUACAAAUAUGGACGAUGUGGAAGGUAAUUACGUUAUAUCGAAUAUGAAAUGAAUGCAGCCAAACUACAUCAACUGCAGUUAUCAAAGUUCCUGCAUUCAACACAAAAGAAAGGCACCUGAAACGUACAUAUAAUACGAAGGCCACCUCAACCUGGCAGCAUACAAAAGCCAGGUGAAACUUACACAAGACAAAAUGUACAAAGAGGUGACCUCAAACUUACAGAAUACAAUCUUAACAAAGACGGCACCUGCAGCUUACAUUAAACAUAUGUACCAACGAGGCCCCCUUUCCCCAACAGAAAACAAAUGAAACAAAAAAAAAAGGGCACCUCAUACGUAUAUAUUACAAAAAUAGGGGACGUCAAAAAGUCCACUGUACUGGGUUUGUCCCCAAUAGUAGCCAUGGUAAUAUUACAAGGCAAACCCUCUCGCUGUGGCCCAAUUUCGAGUUGCAUACCCGUCAAAUGCGGCGACCGCGACCCAUUAAGUUCAUGACCCCUCCCACAGUGAUGUCCCACUUUCCUUCUGCAUCCACAAUUUGUGCAAACUUCCUAAAUAGUUCGAAGCCGGAUUCCAGUUGUUGUUGCUUCAGCUGAGCCAUUUCGUCUGAUUCUUUGAAUGCAAUAACUGCACUGGCAGGGGCAUUUUCAAUUCUACCUCUGACAGCCUUCAUAUGUAGGAGAUGCAUCCGGGCUUGAUAACGCGCCCGAAUUGUGCGCUUUUUUAUGACACCCCACCUAGCUUGGCCCUCUUUAAUUUUGCUAACUAUGUCUGCAUGGAGAUUUUUCCAGAACAUGGUAUUGGCUCGACAUUGCUGCAGUCCAUGGACCCAGUCUUCAGUGUCUGCUAUUGCUGCUUUGGCAGGUGUUUCAGUGUCCCCUCCUUCAGUAAUGGCACGGGUUGGGUUUGGUGUGGGGUUGGGGUCCAUGGGUGUUGGGUAUUUACUGUGGGUUGGUGUGGCCAUUAGUUUGACCAAACUGCCAUUCAUUGUGAUGUAGGUGAAAUAGCUGCGCAGGCAGGGGGGGUUUGAUGGAGUAACUGUGAUGGAAAUGUUGGGUGGAUGCAGCUGGGUUACAAUUAAAUAGUGGGAGGUAUUAAUGACCAGGAGUAAAUGACUGUCAUGAAGAGGCGGGAGUUAUUGGCGGCAGUUGUUGGGUCCAAUUUUAGGCGGGAGUUAUUGGCGGGAGUUGUUGGGCAACACAUUUGACUUCGCCUGUGCAUAAUAACAGCUGUAUAUAACUAUUCUUUACCAUUGGUUGGUGGUUGUUGUAUGGGACCCAUGUUGAAUUUGAAAUUUAUUCCUUUUGUCCUCUUUCCCCAAUUUCCCUCCUGUACCAAAACUACAAAUUGUCCCAAAUAUAUGAGUACGGUAAUUUGACAAUUAAUUGGCCAAUUACAAAAAUGGACCAUGAAAGUAUUUGUAGGUGGAUUCAUCCCACCUGACGUUGAUAGGUGUGUAUUUUCGUAUUUGGUCCGACUGUAAUGGGCAUUUUACAAUGCUGGCAGUGACAGAGAGGAGUAAUGACUGAAGACUGAUUUUGUAAUGUAGUCAUUGAAAGCAAUAUAAAACAGACAACUUCUUCUAUAUAAGAGGGUCUAACCUACUCAUUCAAUUCCAUAUAUAUCAUACACGAAAGCUGUACUAAAGCUCACCCUAUUGUUGGUAACGAAAAGGAAGCUCUAGAUUGAUUUUGUAACGUUAACUGUUUUUCAGGGUGCAUGUGUGCAUUAUCCCCAUUUCAAGUUGAAGAUGUCAGACGUAAUCCCUCCAAACGAGGUUGUUAGUUACCCAGGAGACCAGCCAUGGCAUGUCCCUUUCCCAUCUCCACCUGGGACUCCAAAUAACGAUCCCACGUCAUCCGGAAGUGAGGCAGACAACAUUGAUCCGCUAAAGAAAAUAGCUGAAGUGAAGCAUCACCUCCAAUAUUUGUGUACGGCAACGGAUUGGUGGGAAACCAAAUGCGAUAUUCAUGGCCAGGUGAUGGGCAACUUGACGAACAAGCUGAACAAAGCAUUUGCUAGAGAAGUUAAGCAAACAAUGAAAGCCGAAAGUCGAAGCGCGAAGUUAGCCUCGUUGACGUUACAAUUGGAAGAAACAAAGAAAGAUGCUGUCCAAAAAUUCACUGAAUCUGAAGAAUUUAACCAUGAACUGGUUGAAUGUUUUAACAAUGGGUUCGAGAUGUUCCGGGAUUAUGCUUCCGUCGUGUCACCAGACUACAAUUGGAGCGAAAUAGAUGUUGGUGGUGUCUGGCAGGUGCUGAAUAAGGGUGGCCAGGGAAUGGCUGAUCAUAGCCUUGUGCAUGCAGCGAGGAAGAAGACCAAAGAAUUGGAUCUAUUCAUGGACCUGUAAACAUGGUGAUUUUGUGGAAAGGUUUCUGUAGCUGGGUCAGGGUAAGUACGGGUGGAAUCAUUUUGUAUGUAUCUGGUGGCUUUUGUAUGAAUGUGGUGCCUUGUUUACGCCUUCCUCUUAUUCUCACCGUUGAGUGGGAAAUUACUUAGUUUGUAUACAUAUGAAGUACUGUAACGUGGAGGUGUGCUUAUUAAAUGUUUAUUGGCCUCAUAUUAGAAGCAUUACGGGUGUAUAUUGUGUUUGUAUUGUAUAAUUAUUGACACAUAUUGUAAUCGUAUUGUGCUUAUAGUACUGUUAUAUUGCUGCUUUAUGGAAAUACACCUCAUAUUAUAGCCUCUACAUCUGAGUAGUUAUAAACAGUGACUCUAGCAAUGGUCGUGUAUAUGGAGGGUUUCGGACAGAUCGAUGGUUAUGACGCGCGGAAUAUCCAUGGAAAUAUGGGACAUGUAUUGAUACCUUCAGGCAAUUGGAUACAAACCACGGACACUGUGCCCAACAAUAUAGAACACUAAUAACUGACUUUGUUAUUUUGCAAAACAGGUUGGAUUGGAAGAGUUUGUUCCUCUGUGUGUGUGACUUGAAGUGAAUAAUUAACUAUUUGAAAAGUCCAUAUGACGAUAGUAGUGCAGGAUGUUCACCAUGUGUACCUGCAUGGAUAGUUUCCCAAAAACUAUAUAUAGUUUGGUCUAUGGCAAUCAGAACAAUGAGAAAUCAUGAAGUACAAUGACGCUCUCAGUAAUUGCGUAACAUUUGCAUUUGAAUUACGUUUCAACAAAGGUACAAUACAAUACCAAUACGAUGGCAACAAGGGUACAUUACAAUACCAAUAUGAUGGCAACAAAGGUGCGAUACAAUACCAAUACGGUGCAUAUAAAGACAGGACAUAACGUUGUGUAGGAAAGGAAACCAAGUGAUGCCAACGUGACUACAAUCACAUUUCACAACACCAAAUCGAAUUCAAUUUAAAUGAAAAUAAAAGGUACAUCACAAACGAAUAGAAAUGCUAAUCUGUAAGACACAUUGGCCAGUGGAACAGUGUAAAAGUAAGCAGCUGGUUUCAAUAAAACAGGUAGAACUGUAUGUUAACAAAUUGCUACUAAUAAUAGGCUCUCAUUGCAAGGAACUUGUUACCUUGUUCCAUAUGCUUCACAUGACCGUUUAAUUGACGGACUUCCAUCCCUGCAGCAUCACCGAACCUAUUCAUGAACUUCACAGUUGAUGACAAGUGAGGUACAAACUGAACAACUGUGCAAUAUGCGCAAUUAGACACUUCAGUUCUUGAGAGGGACAGAUUGUUUGCAUGUAUUUCGGUAGUGGCCCUUCACACCACACCUUGAGCAUUUUUUUUGCCGGGAGUCCUCUCCUUUGGAAGGUACUCUUUGCAUUUUGCGACGGCCCGGCAUAACCUUACAAACAGGAGGAAGGAUUUUGACAUUGUUCAAAUGUUCGGGAAUAACCCAUGUGCCUUUAGGUGGUACAGGAUAAAUAGAUUCAGCAUAUGCAGCUGCCCAUGUAGCUCGUGUAUAAUAAGAAGAGGCAAAGGAGUAGGGGUUCAAAUUCAAGUGCCGACAUACCGCAAUAGCAUGCUUGCACGGGAGUUGCUCCAAGUCAAACUUCCUGCACGUACAACUACGGUUUGCCAAGUGCACCAGACCGUUCAAAUCACCAUCCAGAACAUUAUACUCAACAUCAUUGAUUUUGACCACAUUCAUCCUUGACGCAGCGUCUAACCUCUUCCUUAACUUCUGUUCACCCAAAUCAGGGCACAAUGUAGAAUGACAUUUCAUUGCUAAAUCUCGACGUUGACUAAACCAAGUGAGAAGUAAAUUUGUGAUUUCAUCGAUCAAGUGUAGGACCGGAAGCAUCCUUGCAAAACGAAGAACUGAAUUAAUGGACUCCACAAUAUUCGUUGUCAUCACAUUAUAGCGUCGUCCAUCACAGUGGGCCCGUGACCACUUCUGAACGCCUGCACGUAGUAGAUAAGUUCGCACUCGCUCAUUGUUUAUCAUCGAGAAGUGACGAUUGAACUCCGCUAGACGAUAAGACUUCGCUGCCCUUAUAAAAUACCCCAAUAUCGGAUCCCGUUGCUUCAAGUGAAAUGAGGCUUUCAUAUUGCCCUUCAAGUGAUAAAAGCAAAUACCAUGGCUUGCCCCAGGAAAAACUCUACGCAACCCAUGUUGUAUGCUAACAUUGCGAUCAGAUAUGACAACAAGAUUCGAGCAAUCACCAAUUGCACAAUGUAAUUUUCUCAAAAACCACUCCCAUGCUGCAUCCGUCUCCAAAUCUCCAAUCCCAAAGGCAACAGGAUAUAUGUUGCGAUUUCUGUCAAAUGCGGUCGCAACAAACAAAACACCUUUAUACUUGCACUUCAAAUGGGUAGCAUCAACAGCAAUCACGGGCCGCAUUGACGACUUAAAUCCUCGUAUGCAUGCACCAAUUGACAUAAAAAAAUAUAAGAAGUGGUCGGCUGCAUCAGUCUGAAUGUAUGUCAAAGUUCCCGGAUUUGUACGCUCCAACUCAUAACAAUAGGAAGGGAGAAGGGAAUACGACUCUUCUGCAGACCCUCUCAUUGUUUUGAAAGCUAACUCUCGGCUUCUCCAAGCUGUAGAGUAGCUUAUGCUGACACCAAAUUUUUUUUUCACAUCUGUCUUUAUAUCAGCUGCAGUAUAAAUGCUGCGUGAAUCCUGAAAUCUCCAUUUAACACAGUCAGACACCAAUUCGGCCGUAGCUUGAGGAUGGUGACUGCUUACAAACCUCAGAUCACAUUCAUGAAGUGGAUCGUAUUUAACAACCUUAAACUCAUGUAAUCCAACUUUAUAUGCCCGAAGUUUCCAAGGGCAAGGCACCUGCCAACAGCGAACACAAAACCGACGCUUCCCAGAUUGGACUGUUCUGAACCGAAAGUGGCCUCUAAUUGCUGCUAAACUGAUGGUUUUUAAAAGGGCAAUCUUAUUUGGAUACACUCGGCCAACCUUCAAAUUUGCUUCCCAAUUUAUGCACGAAAGUCCUCCACCAUAACCAAUAUAUUCCACACUCUCACCAUGCUUCGAAUCAACCCGAAUUGUAUGCAUUUCACUCGAACUUGAUUGCCGGGGAGGUUCAGAUUGCACCUGUCUACACUGCACAGUGGAGGGUUCCGCACUGCUGUCCUCAUGAGGAUGCAGAAUUGGUGCAGAGUACGGUUCCUCUUCAUUGCUAGGUUGAUUGAAAUCAGCAACUAUGUUUUCACCGCUUUCAAAAUGAACUUCUUCAACCCAAUCACUCCAAUUAAAACCAUUCCCACCAUUUUCAGUUUCAUUGUGCGAAAUUGCCACAUUUCUUCGUUCCACAACAAAGGUAGCAGGAGCAUUGCUACUCUCCACGCUUACAAUGCCAUUACACCCUUCAAUACCAUGCCCUUCGAUGUUUUUGAAGCUUGCUACUAAAGGGGUUACUUUAGAGGCCAUAACAUCUGUGUUGUACUUGAGAAAAUAUUGAACAUCAUCAUUGUCUUCAACCCUUAUCUGCUUACUGACAGAUGCGGAUACAGGAACUGAAUACUUCAAUGUGACACUAUAUUUCGUGGGCUCUGCAUCCAUGAUCUUAUAAAUGCGUUCAACAAGUUCAGAAAACGUUACGUUCCGUGACACUAUUAUGCCUUUAGCCUCCCCACCUUCAUAACUCUCAAUGUUAUCCUUCUUAACCCAAUUUCCAUUGUAGCAUACCAAAAUUCCAACUGUAUCCAUUUCUGCAAAAAACAUAAAUAAUUACUACACCGAUUCAUAACACUAAAAAAAUACAAAAUAGAUGAAUAAAAACAUGCACAACAAUCAUUCCACUACACAUAUCAUCUUCUAAAUCCUCAAAUCUUCAAAAGUUAAUUGUAGCUGCUUCAACAAUUAACUUUUAUUCCUUUUUGUUUUUUCUCUGAUUUAGAAGAUGAUAUCUGUGGGUUCCAAGUUAUUAACAAACUAACAUACACAUACAAUGGCAGAAAUAUGAACCCUCUAACCCUCCAAGUCUUUUGCACAAAUGUAAACACCUUCAACAAAAGGAUCAGGGAAGCAGAAAGCGUAUAAUGUAGUACAAGCUGAAUUACCAAAUUCGAAACCAACACACACAAACUAUACUUCUUACCAAAACAAACCCAGAAUGCCAAUAAAUUCCCCACAUUAGCAUCUAAAUUGAGCCUAACACUAGCCGUAUUUACAAAUUUGUAGGCCAGACAAAGUUAACCUAUGAUUUGUCUGUGUGCUGUUAUUUUCACCAUUAUCAAACACAUUGCACUACAUUAUACACGCAUUCAGUCAAUUUUAAACAAAAUUCAAGUUCACCAGACAGCUCCCACUGCAGAUAAUAUCACAAACUAUGAAUUUCAACAUAUCACAACAAGUGCAAACUGAAAAUUUAAGCUUUUAUGCCCUCUGUGGUGAAAAGGGGCUGAACGAUUUCAUAAUACACAUACACUACCAAACCAAUAUCACAACUCACAUCCGUUCACAACGACACCGGAAGUCGCCACUUUCCCUUCUCUCUGGAAUCGCAGCAGUCAGCUCGAUCUGGAGGUCAACAAUGGAGGCCGUGCCUUCCGGCUUCGCUGCGCCCAAACUAGGGUGCCAAGUUUGAGGACAUCUGGGUUAGGACGAUGGAUGGGUUGCGAACUGGAUUGCUCAGUGGGAACAUGUCUCGCAACCUGGAGUUCCCCCAAUUUUUGCCAACCUUCCAACACAGAGGAGAGAGAGUUGAGCUGAGUUCAGACAAGUUCCCUUUCAGAAAAGGGGUGGCAACGGGUUGAUACAUGUGCUUUUAUAUGGAGGGCAGUUUGGUCAUUUCACGUUCACAAGUGAUUAUAUCAGAACACAAUUUGUAACCUGAUUAUUUCAGAAUACCACUUGUGAAAAGUGAUUAUAUCAGCUUAUUUCCCUUUUGUUUUAGUUAAUUUAGGGAAUUCUUGUCCUUGGUCAUGUGUGAUGUGUGUGCAUUAAUUUUCUAAAAGUGUAGGAUUAGGAGAACAGAAAGUGAUUUAAAAUUUUUUGUAUUUAAUUUUAGGGCUCUUUAGUUUUAACCCAUAAAAAACUUAACUAAUUUGGAAGAAAGAUAAUUAAUUUUGCUUAAUUAAUAUAUAACCAAAGCCACCUAAUUUUACCAAAAGGACAUCCAACAACCCUAAAAUUACUACAUGUGCCAUUAUGCUUAACUGUCAAAUACAAUUUAUUUAAUUAUAAAUCAGAACUUAAAACUAUCAAAACGACAUAACAUUCCCACAAAACACAACACAAAACGACACUACUCAAAUUUAAUCACUUCAAAAACUGGUUUCGUGCGACCUUUCAUAUCCCACUGCAAACCUACAAACUAUUCUCCAAAAACGAAGCCGAUGAGCAGCAACGGGGACGACCAGAAACGAAGACGACGACCAACGACGACGAGCAACGACCACCGACGACGACCCAAGCUAAACUGUAAGAAAAUGAAUCAGUACUCUCUUCGAUUUUAAGUUUUACACCGACGACGGUUUCAGUACUGUUUCUUUCUUUUGGUUAAUUCAAUUUCAGAGUGCUUUUUGCUAAGGUUUAUGGGAAUGUUAUAACUGCUCAUGAAGUUAAAUUUGUUUUGAUAUUAGUUUCAAUACUGUUUUUGCCUUUUGGUUUCUGGUCGUUUGUAGCAGAUUUUGACUAGAAACUGCAAUGCAGUUUCUGGUUCCAUAAUUCAAUUUCAGAGUACUUUUUGCUAGGGUUUAUGGGAAUGUUAUAACUGCUCAUGAAGUUAAAUGUGUUUUGAUAUUAGUUUCAGUACUGUUUUUGCCUUUUGGUUUCUGGUUGUUUGUAGCAGAUUUUGACCAGAAACUAGGGUUUAUGGGAAUGUUAUAACUGCUCAUGAAGUUAAAUGUGUUUUGAUAUUAGUUUCAGUACUGUUUUUGCCUUUUGCUUUCUGGUUGUUUGUAGCAGAUUUUGACCAGAAACUGCAUUGCAGUUUCUGGUUCUAUAAUUCAAUUUCAGAGUGCUUUUUGCUAGGGUUUAUGGGAAUGUUAUAAUUGCUCAUGAAGUUAAAUGUGUUUUGAUAUUAGUUUCAGUACUGUUUUUGCCUUUUGGUUUCUUUUCACAUCAAAUUUUGAGCAGCAGUUUCUGGUUGUUUAUUGUAGAUUUUGACCACAAACUGCAGUGCAUAUCACAAAAUGGAACAGGAAAUGUCACCACAAAAGAAUGAAGCUGAAAACCAACCAAAGCGCAGAAUCAAAAUGAUGGCUCAAAAGAGUAAACCAAAGCCAAAGCCAAACUAUGAUCGGAAAGCAAAGCACCCGGACUAUGUCCAAUUUCGGUGCAAUGCCUAUGCUUUCAACAGCAUCAUUAGAGACAUAAAGGACAAGCUCAAUGAAAGGCAGAAGAAGCUUCUCAAGAAAACCCCUUUUCUGGAACUUGAUCGAGCUGUUUUACCGCCAGAGAAUUGACAUGAAUAACAUGAAUAAGUCGGACCUUGACUUAGUACAGCUGCUUAAGAAAUUUGAUCCGGAUACAAAGUCCUUCAAAUUUGGAACCAAAUCAUUCCAAAUCACAGGCAAUGCAGUGACUCAGAUUCUAGGACUGCCAAAUGAAGGCAAAUCUGUCAAACUUGUCAAUGAUAGGUACACUGCUACCUUCAGAACAAGGCACUUUGGAGAAAAGGGAAAACCAUCAAAAAACCAGGUAGAAGCAGAAUUACAAAAGACAAUUGCCUUGGCAAACCAACCGAAGAAAGAAAAGGCAAAGACAGAGCAAAAGAAAAAAACGAACAAAGGAAAAGAAAAGAAAGAAGCUGAAGAAGAAGAAGAAGAAGAAGUUGAUUACGACAAGGAGGUGGUCAGCCUAAUAUUGAUUCUGCUGUGCAUGACAUUUCUUUUUGCCAACUCUUCAUCUACUUUGCAUUGGUGUGAAUCCUUGACCGCAAAAGCAAAAGCAAAAGCAAAGAAGGGAGGAGAAGCCUCUAUAGGAGCUGUUUCGGGUUGCACUAUCCUAAUAUUGGUAAGUAAACAGUGGCUUAUGCAAUGCAUUUUGAGUUUUUGGCAAUGCAGUUUCCAUUUAGUGCAAUGCAGUUUCCAUUUACUGCAAUGCAAAAAUGGAAACUGCAACGCAGUUUCUGUUUUAUCCUAUGCAGUUUCCAACCUAAUUUCUGAUAUAUCUUGUUUUUGAACUGUGCAGUUUCUACUGUGUGAGAGGACAAACAUCAUACAACCAAUCCUUGGCAAGGAGAAAGAAACUCCUGCCAUUCUUAAAUAGAGUCUUGUGGAACUCCACACAAGAUUCAACCAAAUAAAGGACUUGAAUGACAUCGAGGUAUGCAAUUUAUCGCAUGUUCUGUUUUAAUGUAUCUUGAAUGCGAAUCCAUGCUAAAUCAUUCUCAUUGUACAGGGUAUUUUCAAAACUCCUAAAAAGCGAAAAACUACCAGGGAAGAGGAAGACACUGUUGAGAAGGUAAUUGAAAUCUGUAUACAGUGCAUUGCAGUUUGUGUUUUCUACAUUGCAGUUUGCAUUUUAUCCAAUGCAGUUUCUGAAUCAUUCAAUCUCAUUGUACAUGGUAUUUUGAAAACAUAUAAAAAGAGAAAAACUACCGGAGAAAAGGGAGACCCUCUUGACAAGGUAUAAGAAUCUCUAAACAGUGAAUUAUGCAUUUCAGUUUUCGUUUCCUCCAAUGCAAUGCAGUUUCUAAUUAGUUUCUGUUCAAUAUGCAGGAAAAAGAAAAAGAAGAUGAUGAGGGACAACAAGGAGAAGCAGAGGAAGCAGAAAACCAAGGAAAACCUGAUGAUGCUGAUCAAACUCCAGAAUUAAAAGAGGUUGGAAAGAAGAAAAUGUUUGAGAAUGAAGCUGGAAAAGAACCUCUUGUAAUUCAAGACCUCUUGGUGAAGUCCAUGACAGACCAAAUCAACUACCGCCAACAACAAGAUCCUAGCUUCGUUUGCCCGGAAAGAUUACAACUGUGGAAGGAUGAAAAAAAUGAAGACAGUGAGAAGAAAAUGAAGGAAUUGUGGGAUAUAUUUAUCCAAGCAGAAAAGAGAUCAAAGGAGUUGGAAGUGGAGUUGGCAACAUACAUAGAGAAAUUAGAUAAUGAAGAAUGUGUGACUGCCACCAUGACAGUGGAAUCUACAGUUCAGCUUAAUGAAAUACAAAAUCUGAAAAGGAGGAUUGCAGAAUUGGAAGGCAAGGAAACUCGUAUUGACAUGGAGAAGAUUGCCAAGAAAAAGGAGAUUCAAGGAAAGUACAAGGCAGAAAUUCAAAGCUUGUUGUCAGACCCAACAAUCUUUGAAAUGGAGAUGGAUCUGCUUACAAAACAACCAACACAACCAGUUGAAGAGAAAGAAGAAGAAAAGAAAGAAGAAAAGAAGCAACAAGAAGAGAGAGAAGAAGAAAAUGAGAGAGAAGAAGAAAAUAAAGAACAAGAGAAGCAACAAGAAGAGAGAGAAGAAGAGAAGAAGCAAGAUGCUCCAACACCUGAUGUUCCUUCAAGAGUACAAAGGGUGAAGAACAGAGAAAGAAAAAGGCUUCAAGCAUCUUGCUAUGUGUACGAAAAAAAUAAGAAAACAAAAAAGGAGGCAAAAAAGGAUGAUGAAGAACUACCACAAUUCAAGCUUAUCUCUUCCGAGGAGGUAUGCAAUUACUGCAGUUCAAGCUGCUGUUUUUUCUAUUUUCUGCGUUGCAGAAACAGAAACUGUAAUGCAGUUUCCGUUUCCUGCAAUGCAGUGUGUUAUCUGCUUUACAGAAACAGAAACUGCAAUGCAGUUUCCAUUUCCUGCAAUGUAGUGUGUUAUCUGCUUUACAGAAAUGGAAACUGCAUUGUAGUUUCUGUUUUAUCGAAUGAAGUUUCUAAUUAGUUUCCUUUCAAUCUGCAAUUAACACAAGAGGCAUCUCAGCCCGAUGCCACAAAUCCAAUUCCUGAUCCCCCAAAAGGAACGAGCCUUCAUGAUUCAAUACCUGUAGAUAUGCAAUAAUCAAGUGAUGAAGAUGAAGGACAAAAAAAGCCAACAAAGAAAAAACUAGGAUGGGGUCAGAGAAAGGUGUGGCAGAAAAUUCCAAAGGCGGACAGGGAAAGAAUUGAAAAACACUACUUAAGUACUCAACCUCGGUAAUAUCUCUAUUUCCAAAAAUAACAAUUCUUUCAUCUUUUAAUUACAAUUAAACUAAAACUAAUCUUGUGAAUUUCAUGUAUUCGAAUCCGCAGUGAUAACUUUUGGGCAGGACUCAAUGAUGAGAAAGUGACAAACCAUGAUCUCAAAGAUAUUGUAUGGGACCUGGAACUGUCACAAAAACGUAAGUAUUUACCAAUUCUAUAACACACACUGCACUGUAUUUUUUAUUUGUGCUACCUAUAUUACCCAUUUAUAAUUCCAUUUUUCUCCAAUCAAUGUGAAACAGGUUAUUGAGGCCUAUAUCCAAAUAGAGGAGGAUAAAAUAGAGCCCAUACAGACAGAGAGUCCACAGUACAUGUCCACAUGGACUUGGGUAAGUAUUAUUUUGAAAAUUCAAAAUUGUUUAAACAGACAAUGCACUGCAGUUUUCGAAAAAUAUAUACUAACAAAUUGCCAUUCUAUGAUAUCAGGCUUACAUGCAAAGCUUCCAAGAGCCAUCUUGGCACAGGUUCCUGUAUGAACACUUACUUGAAAAACUCGGGAAAUGCAGUGUUCUUUUCUUCCCGAUUAUUUCAAAAGAAGAGUUCCACUUCACACUUCUCACAUUUCACAAAAAUGAACGAAAGUGGAGACACUACAAUCCACUUAGAUCGUUGGGACGUAGAAAAGAAAAAGGUGCAUUAACAUUGCUCAAAACUUUGUAAGUGGAAUGAAACUGUCUUAAUUUCUCAGCACAAACACAAACAGAAACUGCAUUGCAGUUUCUGUAUUAUACAUACUGCCUAAUUUCAGACCAAAACUAUAAUAUGCAUUGCACUGAUUACCAUUUCUUUUUCUCUUUUUUUCUUGUUCUUUAAACAAGUUAAUAUUGUUGAAGGGUGGCUAGAAUAUAUAAGACCUCAAGCACGAGUGUUCAUAGAAACUAAAAAAAAAACCAACACUUGUGAAGCAAAAGGAAGGGCCCCUGACACUUGUACAAAAAGAUUUGACUCCAACUGAAGAACUCACUCUCAAUUGGAUUAUGCAAAAUCCAUUGCAGUUUCCAUUUGAGGAUGACAUGGAAUGUGCUCAACAAAGUGUAUCUUCGUAAGAAUAGUGUCUACUCAACUAUUCAUUACAGUUUGAAAUCAUUCAAAAGCAAAAAAAACUAAUCUCGUAUUUCAUUUGCAGAUUGGAUUGCGGCAUGUUCGUCAUGUUCUAUAUGGAUAAAAUAGCACAAGGAUAGCCCAUUCCAAAAAGUGUGGACAAGAAAUUCAUGAAUGAAUAUCGAGCACAAUAUGUCACAAAACUCCUACACCACAAAAACUGUGUAAUUAAUCGUCUCUAGUGAUUUGCCUUUCGUUAACUCAAGACAAUAUGUAUCUUAAUUCUUGUGGAUGUUUGUAAAUAUUUCUAAUUAUGGUAUAUGAGAACAUAUUUCCUAUACAUAUAAACUGUAAUAUAAUCUUGGAACAGGAUGCAACAAAACGAAAAGGAAACAAACAAACUGCACUGAAUUUUCUGGUCAAAAAUACUGAAACAAAUUAAAACUGCAGUGCAGUUUAUAUAAAUAAAUAAAAAUAAAAAAUCAGCUCAAAAAAUGUGAAAAGAACCCAAAAGCCAAAGCCAUAAUCAAAGUACUAAAACUUUGUUCAAAACACAUUUAAGUAGGUCAACAUUGAAAUGUAGUUUCUGCUCAUAAUCUGCAACAAAUAAACAGAAACUGCACUGCAGUUUCUGCAACAAAAUCUGAAAUAAACAGAAACUGCAAUGCAGUUUCUGCAACAAAAUCUGCUCAAAAUAUGAAAACAAGCAUUGAAUGGCAGUCGAAAACAAAUAUCCACUCAUUAAACAAUUGUAUAAUUUUCAUUAACUUCAAAAAAGAAUCACAAUAUCCAAUUAGAAGCUGUGUAGCCAAUUACAAGCAACUAAAACUGCAAUACAGUUUUUACAAAAAGUUCAACGCAGAAACUGACUAUACAUUCGCUAAACCAUAUCUAAAAUAAAAAAUUGUCAAAAGAGAAGGAGUGUUCAUAUAAUAGCCUUGCAAGUCUUCCUAUUGUGCCCAGCAACACUGCACCGACUGCAUUUCAAUGGCCUUUUAAAUUCACCAAAAACUUUGAUCCUCUUUGUUGGUGGUCUUUCGGCUGGCCUCUUUGUAAUUGGCGGAAGCACAACUCCAGCUGCAGAACCAUUGCUGCCCAAUCCUUUCCCAAUAUCUGGAAUAGGAAAAAUAGGACUCUCAUAGGCUUUUCGAAAAAAGUCGGUUUUGUAGUAACACUCCACGUAAUCAUAAACUGAAUCUCUCUUUGCUAGGAUUGUAGCCACCGCAUGUGUGCAAGGAAAACCGUCAAUUUGCCAAAGACGGCAAGAACAAGUCCUUUGCUCGAGAUCAACCAUCACAGAAUAAUCAGCAAAUACUUCAAAAACAGUGCAAUUAGAACGACGAACUGCCCAAGUCCUACCGGCCUCCGCAUUUUCACAGAGUCUAGUUUCCAUCUCCGGACACAAAACUGUUGUCCACUUCUCCGCUUCAAUUCGUCGUUGAGAAUUCAAUACCAUCAAUUUCUGUCGAAUCCCUUCUAUCAAAGGUAGCACCGGCAAAUCUCGAAACACACCAACCCAAUUAUUAAAGGACUCCGCUAAACUGUUUGCCAUCUCCCCAUAACGCAUUCCUUUGAAAAAUGCGUUGGCAUAGUGAUCUCUAGACAAAUCAGAUAUAAAUGCCUUCACUUUCGAACUCCCAACAAUCACCAACUCCUCCAUUGCUACCUUAAACUCUUCCUCCGUAACAGCAUAUGCGCAUCUACUACAUAAAUUGAUACCACGGUCUUGGAGCAGUUUCCCAUAACCUGACUUCGGGUACUUUGAUAUCAAAUUCUGUCUGAGGUGAUAAUAACAGUAAGAAUGAGGCCAUCCGGGAAACACAAACCCCAUUGCAUUUAACAAACCUUGAUUGCGGUCCGAGAAAAAGGUCACCACUCUCCCCAUCGGUAGCAAUAUAGAAGCCAAAUGUUGAAGAAACCAAGUCCAAUUCUCCUCUGUCUCAGAAUCAACAACUCCAAAAGCUAGAGGAUAAAACCUUGCAAAACAAAACCAAAAGCACAAGUAUAAGCAAAAAAGGGAAACUGCAGUGCAGUUUAUGAAAACAAAUCUGCUCAAAUAUGAAAGGAAACCAAAAGCCAAAUCCAUGAUCCAAGUACUAAAACUAAGUUUAAAACACAUUUAAGUUCAUGAGCAGUUACAACAUUCCCACAAACAUGUAAAAAAUAUUAAUAAAAUCGAAUUAUGAAACAAGAAACUGCAAUGCAGUUUCUGCUAAAAAUUGCAACAAAUGAAAAUCUGCAAUACAUUACAGUAACCAUACCUUGAUUUCCAUUCUUUCUCGAAGCACAGAGAAGGUGCCCCUUGUACUUGCUCUUCAAAAACGUAGCAUCAAUGAACAACAAGGGUAUGCAAUAUUGAAAUCCAGCAAUGCAACCGCCAAAAGACACAAAAAACCCUCGAAAGCGAUUAAUUCCAGCUUCACAAUCAAGAGUGCAGAGAGAACCAGUGUUAGUUUCCUUUACGGCGUCCGCAUACCACACUAACUCGUUGAAGGACUUUGACUCAUCACUGUGAACGUCCAAUUUAGCUAACUCUUUGCCAAACCAUGCCUGGUAGUAUGAAAUGUCUAUACCAUAAUAAUCUUUGAACUCGUGUAUAAUCUCAACUGGCUUUAGCUCUGGUUUUGCACAAAUUCUGUCCACAAUGAGGGAGGACACCACACGAGACCUCAUCAUCUUACUCUUUGAUUCCCGUAUCCGACCCGCACAUGUAUGAACAUUAUUUAACGUCCGAAUUACAAAACUGCCAGUAGCUUCACAACGAGAAGCAUAAACACGUCAGCUGCAACCCUCCAAUUUCUUAUUCGAAUAAACAGCAACCACCCGCUUCUUGUCAUUGCCGGCAUAUAAAAAAUUAAAUCCUACUUCAAGAGCGUACUUGCACAAUUUCAACCGGAACUCCUCUGCACCACCGUCAAACUUCUGCCCCACAUGAUGUAUGUAUGUCUCCCACUCAUUCGACAACAAAGGCUUAGCACUUGCUCUCUUCGACCUGCCCAAAAACCCGUUUCUGUCUUCGACAGUACUAGAACACGACGACUCGCCCUUUUCACAUGCUAUCAACUCCUUAUUUACACAAAAAUCACCACUAUAUUCACUGCUCCCGCAUAAAUCCUUCACUAAAAUAUCAACAGUCUUCUCAUUUGAUAUCAACAAAAUGUCCUCAUCAAGUCCAAAUCGCUAUCCGUUUCUAGAAAACAACUCGGAUAACUGGGCACUGAAUACCGUAAUGUGAAACAACCCAACUGCAAACCCCUAAACCUCAGACACAAAGUCUUCAAAAUAUCAACCAUGGAUGACUCUGAUGAAACUGAAAACAUGAUGGUUUCCGACUUAUAUGUGCACUUGGCAAUGACACACACCUCCAUUAGCCUUGAAAAUGCAAACAAAACAACAAACAAAAACAGAAAAUAAUUAAAAUCACUAAAUAAUGUACAUGAGCAGUUGUAACAUUCCAAUAGAAAUCCAAAUAUUAGUAUGAAAUCGAAUUAUGAAACAAGAAACUACAUUGCAGUUUAUAGUCAAAAACUGAAAUAACAGAAACAACAUUGCACUUUAUGUGAUAACAUACCCUUAAAUUUGAAUAGAAACCAAAAGAAAACCAUGUUCAAAGUACUAAAACUUAGAUAAAAACACAUUUAAAACACAUUUAACUCCAUGAGCAGUUGUAUCAUUGCCUUUAUGAAACCAGAAACUGCAAUGCAGUUUUUGCCAACACUCCAACAAACAGAUGCAGUUUAUAAAAGAGGAGGCAAAACAAAUCGAAUAGAAACCAAAAGGAAACCACGUUAAAAGUACUAAAACUAAUAUCAAAACACAUUUAACUCCAUGAGCAGUUGUAACAUUGCCUUUAUGAAACCAGAAACUGCAAUGCAGUUUCUGCGAACACUCCAACAAACAGAUGCAGUUUAUAACAGAGGAGGCAAAGAAAAUCGAGCCACAAAACUGAGCCACAAGAUCGCGUCACAAAAUCGAGCCACAAAACUAAGCUCGAAAAACUCAAAACUGAUAGAUUCGGCAUGAUAAUCGAACGAAAGAUUAUCCAAUUAGAAGGAAACAAACAAACUGCACUGAAUUUUGGAACAGGAUGCGGCAUGAUAAUCGAACGAAAAAGAUUCGCCAUGAUAAUCGAACAAAAAAACUGACAGAUUCGGCAUGAUAAUCGAACGAAAAAGGAAGAAAUAAAAGGAAAACCAACCAGAAAAUUGAGCUCCAACGGCGAGAACGAAAACGAAAACGAACGAAAUCUGCCUGCCAAACGAACGAAAUUUGCCUGCCAAACGAACGAAAUUUGCCUGCCAAACGAACGAAAUCUGCUGCCAAACAAACGAGGACGAAAACGAAACAGAGAGAGAACAGGCUCGCGCCUUGUUUAAACAUUCAGGGGCAAAAGCAUCAUUUACUUUGUAGGUUUACAAAUGGGCCAGGCUUUUCAAGAAGAAGGGUAGAAUUGUCUUAUCAGUUGUUAUUUUUUACCUGGCCUAACGAAUCUGGGCCUCUAUUUGGGCUAAUCCAAAAUAGUAGUUUUUUCCUAGGUAUUAAAACUAAAACCAAAAUAUCCAAUAUCUUACAAACUAAUUAAUAAAGUUAAUUAUGUCUAAAACCUAAUUUUUCUUUAAUUUUAAAUUAAAUUUAUAUAUACUAAAACCUGAUAUAACUAGCCACUAUUCCUAAGAGCAAUUCCAACCUCAUACCAAAUUUUAUGAAAGAUCAAGUUCGACUGAUACGGAAAUGGCAUUGGCUAGUAGGUGGAAAGUUUUGAAUAAAGAGUUAGGGAAAUGAAGAGAUGUGUGGCAAAAGCGCGGGACAACCAUCAGAGUAAAAUCUUAGCAAUGGGGUAAAUUAUUUGUAAUUUAUGUUUUAUUAAAUUUAAUGUUCUAAUUAUUAUUUUUUUUAAUGUUUCUUGCAUUUCCAAUUUUGUUUUUAAUAGAUUAUGCAAGCACAAAUGUGGUUCGAUGCCAUUGGCCAAGGCAGAAAAUUUUUCAACCAUGAAUAAUGUUGGGAGGUGGUGAAAAAUUGUUCACGAAUCAGAAUUAUUCUCACGGGUCUGACUGUUAUGUUGAACGAGAUGCCACUCCAUGAUUCAACGGCAUCGGAUUUCCCUUUGGAUUCCCCGAUGAGUCAAGACUCACCAAUUCAAAAGGAGUCGAGGCCUAUUGAUCGAAAGGCGGUGAAGGCGAAGAGAGGGAGUGCUUCUAGCAAUUAUACUGCAAAUUUUUUGGAGCAAAUUGCAAGGAACGGCAACAUGAGAAUUGAGUUAGACAUGAAAAAAGAUGAGGCGGAGAAUGCAAUGAAUGAAAAAUAUGCAAGAUAAAUUGAGUAUAUAUGCAAACAAGACAUUGGGAAGAAGGAUCGGGAAACCAUAACCAUGGAUACAAGCCAUAUGUUCCUGAAACAAAACAAUUUUGGAAGCUAGAACGAAGGGAUAUUAUGAGAAAAAGACUUUUCCGUGACGAUUGACCUAGCUACACCGAUUGGUUAAAUGAUAAAAACUAUUAAGUUAGUUUGCUUGCCUUUUAUUUAAUUGUAUUGCUUGUUUUGUAUUAAAGUAGUUGUAAUUCUUGUCUUUUAUUUAAUUAAUAGUUUUUUUUAAUUAGUUGUGUUGCUUUUUUUUUUUUUAAGUGAAUAAAGAAAUCAUUCAAUAAAAUACAUUUUUAUUCAACACAUUGUAUACAUCAAACAAAACAUAAUUAUAAUUUUUUUUUUAAAAAAAAAAAAUCACAACCAAAGCAUAAUUCAAAACAAAAUACAAAUAAAACAUACAUCAACACAAAGAAAAAUUAAAAACAAAGCAUCUUCACUUCACUUCAUUCACCGUUAUUACCUCUUACUGCUCAUAAGUGCUCCAUUAAGUCAACUUGACGCCGUUCAUAAAUAUAAGAUGAUUGCAUCUCCGUAUAUUGAUCAAUCAUAUGGUUCAUGACAUGCUCUAGUGGUUGUUCAUUUGCUCCCAUGUGCCUUUCAUAAAUUCUUGUAAAGGUGGUGUUCAUAAGAUCGGGUUCGAACAUGUCUGGAGCAUCAUAAUCAUACUCAUCUUCUAUAAUCAUGUUAUGGAGGAUGAUGCACAUCAUCAUAAUGUUUCGCAACACCUCCUCAUCAAACAUACACGUAACACCCCUAAUAAUUGCCCACCAAACUUAAAAGAUACCAAAACACCUUUCGAUAUCAUUCCUGUAACCCUCUGGACAGACAAAAAAUAAUUUUUAGGCCUGACUAUACUAUUCCACCAUGCACUUGAAUACUGAAGAAGACAAGAAAUAGCAGAGAAGGGAAAGCUGUCAGAGAAAGCUGGCAAGCACUCGCAUCUCUCGAGCAACACAGACCACUAACCAGUCCAUUGAAAAUUGAAACAUCUUUGCAGAGAUUCGCGUUACUCAACAUAAUGACCUUGAAGAAAUCAAAGGCCACGCCCCCUUCACAAACAGCACAAUAACUUUGUUUGUUCACCACACCCAUCUGCUUCCAUCAUACACUUUCCUUUUCUAAUUUUUGGAUAAUCUUUCUGGCUUAAAAACUUGAAGAAUCCGAAAUUAUCUUCGUCUCAUACAUCAAGUCGGGAAACUCCAAUCAGAAAAAGAAAUUCAGGUAGUUUUAUGUUGCAAUACAUGAAUUCUUUUUCUUUAGUUUUUAACGUUUCAUGCUGGAAGGAAGUGAAACAUAUUGAUGUCGUGUUUGUUGCAGUUCCAGUGGGUUAGUAGAAAUUUAAGAGAAGGGUCAGAUUUUGAUUGAUGAUGUUAACCAUUUGUAAGGGCUUUGCUCUUACAUAUGCAACCAACAACCUCCAACUUCCCUUUCAAAAAGAUAUGUUGUUAUUUAUGGCAUCAGGAGAGCGUUUUGGAAUGGGCGGUUUCGGAAAACAAGAGGUACUAUAAGUUUCAACCUUAUGAUUCUUUUUGUUUUGGUUUUCAAAUAAUAAAUAAUUGUUAUAUGAAUAUUGUUAUCUCUAUGGAAUUUUGUUACAUUUUGUUGUAUCUGCGCUUUCAUUUUUUUUUUUUUUUUUGUUUUAUUUUGUUUUGUUUUUCUUUUGAAAAUUUGCACUUCCAAAUUGUCGUUUCAUGCAUUCUGGAAUCUGGAUGACAAUGAAUAUUGAUUUUGAUUUUAAAAAUAUACAUAUAUAUUUAAAUGACUAGUUAUUAAGGCCUAUAUACAAAUCGAGGAGGAGAAAAUAGGGUUUACAUGGACUUGGGUAAGAAUUAUUUUCAAAAUUCAAAAUUGUUUAAACAGACACUGCACUGCAGUUUUCGAAAAAUAUAUACUAACAAAUUGCCAUUCAAUGCUUGCUGUCUUACAUGCAAACCUUUCUAGAGCAUUGAAUGACACAUUGCAGUUUCUGUAUUAUACCUACUGCCUAAUUUCAGACCAAAACUAUAAUAUGCAAUGCACUGAUUACUAUUUCUUUUUCUCUUUUUCUCUUCUUCUUUAAACAGGUUAAUAUUGUUGAAGGGUGGCUAGGAUACAUCAGACCUCAAGCACAAGCGUUCUUAGAAACUAGAAAAAAACAAAAACUUGUGAAGCAAAAGGAAGGGCCCCCUACACCUAUACAGAAAGACUUGUCCCUGAAUGAAGAACUCACUCUCAAUUGGAUUCUGCAAAAUCCAUAUCAGUUUCCAUUUGAGGAUAACACAGAAUUUGCUCAACAAAGUUCAUCUUCGUAAGAAUUGUGUCUACUCAACCAUUCAUCAUAGUUUGAAAUCAUUCAAAACCAAAAACUAAUCUCGUAUUCAUUUGCAGGUUGGAUUGCGGCAUGUUCGGCAUGUUUUACAUGGAUAAAAUAUCCCAAGGAUAGCUCAUUCCAAAAAGUGUAGACAAGAAUUUCAUGAAUGAAUAUCGAGCUAAAUACGUCACAAACCUCCUACACCACGAACACUGUGUAAUUAAUCGUCUCUAGUGAUUUGCCUUUUGUUAACUCAAGACAAUAUGUAUAUUAAUUCUUGUGGAUGUUUGUAAAUUUUUCUAGUUAUGGUAUAUGAGAACAUAUUUCUUACACAUCUAAACUGUAAUAUAAUCUUGGAAUAGGAUACAACAAAACGAAAAGGAAACAACAAACUGCAUUGAAUUUUCUAGUCAAAUACUGCAACAAAUGAAAUCUGCUCAAAAAAUGUGAAAAGAACCCAAAAGCCAAAGUCAUAAUCAAAGUACUAAAACUUUGUUCAAAACACAUUUAAGUAGGUCAGCAGUUGUAACAUUCCAAUAUACUUGCAAAAAUUAUUCUGAAAUCGAAUUAUGAGACAAAAAAAACUGCACUGAAUUUUGUGGUGAAAAACUACAACAAACGGUAGUGCAGUGUAUGCAAAAACAUAUGCUCAAAUCUAAUGUGAAAAGAAACCGAAAGGCAAAGGCAUAAUCGAAGUACUAAAACUAAUAUCAAAACACAUUUAACUCCAUGAGUAGUUGUAACAUUCCCAUAGACUAGCGAAAAUUAUUCUGAAAUUGAAUUAUGGAACAAGAAACUGCACUGCAAUUUUUGGUCAAAAACUGCAACAAACAAACGGAAACUGCAGUGCAAUUUAUGAAACAAAAUUUGCUCAAAACUGAAAACAAGCAUUGAAUGGCAGUUAAAAAUGAAUAUCCACUAAUGAAACAAUUGUAUAAUUUUCAUUAACUUCAAAAAAUAAUCAUAAUAUCCAAUUAGAAUUUGUGUAGCCAAUUAAAAGCAACUAAAAACUACAAGCACCGACUGCAUUUCAAUGGCCUUAUAAAUUCACCAAAAGCUUUGAUCCUCUUCGUUGGUGGUCUUCCGACUGGCCUCUUUGUAAGUGGCUAAAGCACAACUCCAGAUGCAGAACCGUUGUUGCCCAAGCAUUUCCCAAUAUAUGGAAUAGGAAAAAUAGGACUCUCAUUGGCUUUUCGAAAGAAGUCAGACUUGUAGUAACACUCCAUGUAAUCAUAAACUGAAUCUUUCUUUGCUAGAAUUGCAACCACCACAUGGUACAAGGAAAACCAUCAAUUUUCCAAAGACGGCAAGAACAUGUCCUUUGCUCGAGAUCAACCAUCACAGAAUAAUCAACAAAUACUUCAAAAAUAGUGCAACUAGAACGAUGAACUGCCUAAGUCCUACCAGCCUUUGCGUUUUCCCACAGUCUAGUUUCAAUCUCCAGACACAAAAUUGUUGUCCACUUCUCCACUUCAAUUCGUCGUUGAGAAUUCAAUACCAUCAAUUUUUGUCGAAUCCCUUCUAUCAAAGGUAGCAUCGGCAAAUCUCAAAACACACCAACCCAAUUAUUAAAUUACUCGGCUAAAUUGUUUGCCAUCUGCCCAUAACGCAUUCCUUUGAAAAAUGUGUUGGCAUAGCGAUCUCUAGACAAAUCAGAUAUAAAUGCCUUCACUUUCGAACUCUCAACAAUCACCAACUUGUCCGUUGCUACCUUAAACUCUUCCUCCGUUACAGCAUAUGCGCAUAUACUAAAUAAAUUGAUAACAUAGUCUUGGAGCAGUUUCCCAUAACCUGACUUCGGGACUUCGAUAUCAAAUUCUGCUUGAGGUGAUAGUAACAGUAAGAAUGAGGCCAUCCAAGAAACAAAAACCCCAUUGCAUUUAACAAACCUUGAUUGCAAUCCGAGAAAAAGGUCACCACUCUCCCCAUCGGAAGCAAUAUAGCAGCCGAAUGUUGAAGAGACCAAGUCCAAUUCUCCUCUGUCUCAGAAUCAACAACUCCAAAAGCUAGAGGAUAAAACGCUGUAAAACAAAACCAAAAGCACAAGUAUAAGCAACAAACGGAAACUGCAGUGUAGUUUAUGAAAACAAAUUUGCUCAAAUUUGAAAGAAAAUCGAAAGGCAAAUCCAUGAUCAAAGUACUAAAACUAAGUUUAAAACACAUUUAAGUUCAUGAGCAGUUGCAACAUUCCCACAGACUUGCACUUCCAAAACGUAGCGUCAAUAAACAACAAGGGUAUGCAAUAUUGAAAUCCAACAAUGCAACCGCCAAACGACACAAAAAAUCGUCUAAAGUGGUUAAUUCCAGCUUCACAUUCAAGAACGCAGAGAGAACCAGGGUUAGUUCCCUUUACGACAUUUACAUACCACACUAACUCAUUGAAGGACUUCGACUCAUCACCGUGAACGUCCAAUUUAGCUAGCUCUUUGCCAAACCAUGUGUGGUAGUAUGAAAUGUCUAUACCAUAAUAAUUUUUGAACUCAUGUAUAAUCUCAACUAGCUUCAGCUUAGGUUUUGCACGAAUUCUGUCGACAAAGAGAGAGGACACCACACGAGACCUCAUCAUCUUACUUUUUGAUUCCCAUAUCCAACCUGUACAUGUAUGCACUUUAUUUAACGUCCAAAUUACAAAAUAGCUAGUAGCUUCACAACGAGAAGCAUAAACACGCUAGCUACAACCCUCAAAUUUCUUAUUUGAACAAACAGCAAUCACCUGCUUCUUGUCAUUGCUGGCAUAUAAAAAAUUAAAUCCUACUUCAAGAGCAUACUUGCACAAUUUCAACCGAAACUCCUCUGCACCACCGUCAAACUUCUGCCCUACAUGAUGUAUAUACGUCUCCCACUUAUUCGACAACAAAGGCUUAGUACUUGCACUCUUCGACCUGCCCAAAAAUUCAUUUAUGUCUUCGACAGUACUAGAACAUGAUGACUCGCCCUUUUCACAUGCUAUCAACUCCUUAUUUACACAAAAAUCACCACUAUAUUCACUGCUCCUGCAUAAAUCCUUUACUAAAAUAUCCACACUCUUCGAAUUUGAUAUCGACAAUCCUCAUCAUGCCCAAAUCGCUUUCUGUUUCUAGUAAACAACUUGGAUAACCGGGCAGUGAAUACCGUAACAUGAAACUACUCAACUGCAAACCCCUAAACCUUUGACACAAAGUCUUCGAAACUUCAAUCUUGGAUGACUUUGAUGAAAUUGAAAACAUAAUGGUUUCCGACUUACAUGUGCACUUGGCUAUGAUACAAACCUCUAUUAGCCUUGAAAAUGCAAACAAAACAACAACAGAAAACAGAAAACAAUUCAAAUAAGUAAAUAAUGUAGAUGAGCAGUUUCUAGUCAAAAACUGAAAUAAACGAAAACAACAGUGCACUUGAUGAGAAAACAUAUCCUCAAAUUUGAAUAGAAACCAAAAGAAAGCCAUGAACAGUUGUAACAUUGCCAUACACUUCCAAUGAAGUUUAUGAAACUAGAAAUUGCAUUGCAGUUUCUGCUAAAAACUGAAACAAACAUAUGCAUUUUAUGACAUAAAAUCUAAACGAAUUCAAGUCCAUCCGCAAUUGUAACAUUGCCAAACACUUCCAAUGCAAUUUUUGCUAAAACACUGAAACAAACAGAUGCCGUUUAUGACAGAAAUUCAAAAAACUUCGAAUAGAAACCAAAAGGAAACUAAGAUAAAAGUACUAAAACUAAAUUCUAAAAACAAAUAAGUUGAUAUAAACGAAAAUAGGUUUUUAAGUACUCAUACCUCAACACCUAGGACUGCCAAAAAUCCCCGCAAAUAAACAGCAGCUCAAAAUCAAAUAUGAUCGCAAAAUGAAGAAGACAGAGUUUAGCAUUGAAUGCCACAAGAUCGCGCCACAAAAUCGUGCAACAAAACUGAGCUCGAAAUACCUGAACUAAAGAGAACAGAAAUCACCCAAAAUUGACCCUCAUUCCGUAUGCAAAUCGAACGUAAACGUAGUAGAAAAAAGAAAAAAGAAAAAAGAAGAAAAACGAACAAAAACCUACCAACAAAUUGAAGCUCCAAUGGCAAAAUGAGAACCAGAGCUCCAAAACCUCAAAGUCAAAGGAAAACGAAAGAGAAACCAAGACCAAAUCAUUUGUAGUUUAAAUAGCCAGGGGUAAAAGAGUCAUUUAAUUUGUUAGGUUUAAAGAUGAGCCAGGCUUUUUAAGAAGAAUGGUAGAAUUUUCUUUUCCGUUUUUAUUUUUGAGUUCGCCCAACGAAUCUGGGCCUCCUCUUUGGCCUAAUCUAAAAUAGCAAUUCUUUCCUAGGUAUUAAAACCCAAACCAAAAUACCCAAUGUCUCACAUACUAAUUAGUAAAGUUAAUUAUGUCUAAUACCUAAUUUUUCUUUAAAUUUAUAUACACUACUAUUCCUAAUAGCAGUUGCAACCUCAUGCCGAAUUUUGUGAAAGAUCGGGUUCGACUCGUACGGAAAUGGCCAUCGAAGUGGCAAAAUUUUUAGCAUUGAGGUAAAUUAUUUGUACAUAAUUUCCGUUUUUUAAAAUUCAAUGUCCUAAUUUUUUUUAAAAAAUGUUUCUUGCAUUUUGAAUAUAUAUUUGUUAAAUAGUUUAUGUAAGCACAAAUGUGGUUUGAUGCCAUUGGCCAAGGCAAAAAAUCUUUCAACCAUCAAUAAUAUUGGGUGGUGGUGAAAAAUUGUUCGCGAUUCAGAAUUAUUCCCACGGGUCCAACCGUUGUGUUGAACGAAACUCCACUCCAUGAUUCAACGGCAUCAUAUUCGCCUUUGGAUUUCCCGAUGAGUCAAGACUCACCAAUUCAAAAGGAGCCGAGGCCUGUUGGUCGAAUGGCUGUGAAGGCGAAGAGAGGGAGUACUUCCAGCAGUGAUACUGCAAAAUUUUUGGAGCAAAUUGCAAGGAACGACAACAUGAGAAUUGAGUUAGACAUGAAAAAAGAUGUGGACAAGAAGGCAAUGAAUGAAGAAUAUGCAAGAGAAAUGGAGUAUAUAUGCAAACAAGACAUUGAGAAGAAGGAUCGAGAAACCAUGGUCAUGGAUACAAGCCAUAUGUCCCUUGAAACAAAACAAUUUUGGAAGCUAGAACGAAGGGAUGUUAUGAGAAGAAGACUUUUCCGUGACGAUGGACCUACGUACACCGAUUGGGUAAAUGAUCAAAACUAUUAAGUUGGUUUGCUUGCUUUUUAUUUAAUUGUAUUGCUUGUUUUGUAUUAAAGUAGUUGUAAUUCUUGUCUUUUAUUUAAUUAGUAGUUUUUCUUAAUUAGUUGCAUUGAUUUUUUUUUUUUUGAGUGAAUAAAGAAAUCAUUCAAUAAAAUACCAUUUUAUUCAACACAUUGCAUACAUCAAACAAAACAUUAUUAAAAUAAAACCACGACCAAAGCAUAAUUAAAAAAAACACAACCAAAUCAUAAUUCAAAAUAAAACACAAACAAAGCAUACAUCAACACAAAGCAAAAUUAAAGACAAAGUAUCUUCACUUCACUUCAUUCAUCGUCAUUACCUCUCACUGUCCAUAAGUGCUCCAUCAAGUCAACUUGACGUCAUUCAUGAAUGUAAGACGAUUGCAUCUCCGUAUAUCGAUCAAUCAUACAGUUCAUGAAAUGACCGUCCCUAACCAACGGUUCAUGCUCCAAUGGUUGUCCAUUUGCCCCCUUGGGCCUUUCAUAAAUUCUUGUCAAGGCCGUGUUCUUGGGAUUAGGUUUGAACACGUUUGGAGCAUCAUAAUCAUACUCAUCCUCCACAAUCAUGUUAUGGAGGAUGAUGCAUGUCAUCGUAAUGCUCUGCAGCACCUCCUCAUCAAACAUACUCACAGCACCCCUAAUAAUUGCCCACCGAACUUGGAGGAUACCAUAACACCUUUCGAAUCUUUUCUGUAACCCUUUUGAUAGGCAGAAAAUAAUUUUUCCUUCUCCGAUGGAGGAUGUGGAAUUGAUUUGACGAAUGUGGUUCACCUUGGGUAGAUGCCGUCUGCUAAAUAAUACUCAUUCCAUUAGACGGUAUUGUUGAUUUUUUAGGUGAUAUUUGGGGCUUCACCUCCCAAGACAUCAUUGAAUACUGGGGAUUGACCCAACACGUUCAGGUUGUUUUGAGAUUCGGCAACUCCGAAAAAGGCAUUCCAAACCCAUGUAUCGAAUCCAGCAACGGCUUCGAGAAUGAUACUGUUUUGGCCUUUCCUAUUCCCAUAAUCCCCUUGCUAGGCAGUUCGCCAAUUCUUCCAUUACUAGUGCAUACUGUUGAUGCUUCCUAUGAUGCUUGGAAAACCUCGAGCUUUUUUGUAGAAUUCUUUGAAGGUCCCUAUGCGUAGGUUUGCGGAGGUAGUCCCUGAUGUAGACAGUUUCGAUUGUAUCACAGAAUCUGACCAAGGAUUCUAGAGUAAUGGACUUCCCCAUCCUAGAAAUCUCAUCCACUUGAUCAACAAAGGCACAUACACCAACAUUCAUUUAACAACUGUAAGCUUUUGCUUCGAAAGAAGCCCCAAAUCCCCAGCAUCAUCACACUUAUGAAAGAAGUAUGCAUCGUAAUUGCAAACAUCAUGCAUGACUUUAUUGAAAAAAUGGGGUUGCAUUCUAUAUCACCCUCGAAAAUCAACAUUAGAGUGCACAUAAUUUGGGAUAAAGUAGUCUUCCAAAAGAUUCUUACCUCAAGAAUGCCUAUGUCUGUUCACGUUCGAGCCACGACCGACUUGUGAACCACGGUGGCGGCCUUGACUUGAUAUAUCAAGCAUACCCAUUGCCAUGUCAACUUGUUCAUCAUCUUAUUGUUGCACCUUUUUUUCUUCAGCUCAUCUACGCAUUCUUUCUUUAAUUUCUCGCUCUUGCCUCUCCAAGCAUCUCCUCAUGUCUGACAUUGAGAGUGGAGUAUGAAAUCUAAAAUCUGAGAAAUGAAAGGAUAGACAAGAUCUAGUGUGAGAGGUAUGAGUUGAGCCUCUGGUUUUAUAGAUAGAUAUAGAAGAUAGAGAUGACAUGUGGCACGAUUUUAUAGGGUAAAAAUCUUAUCGAAAAUCUAAGAUUUGUAUUUUAUAAUAAAUAUCGACAAAUGGCACCCGAGAAUCUUAUCUUAAAAUAUUAUCUGAAAUUUGAGAUUUGUAUUUUAUAAUAAAUGUCGACACAUGGCGACCGAGAAUCAUAUCCGAAAAUUUUAUCCAAAAAGUUCAUUCAAAUUAUGAGAUAUGAAUUUUAUAAUGAAUAUUGACACUUGAGAACCGAAAAUCUUCUCCAAAUUAAUUUUUUUAGGUUUAAAAAAAACACUAAAAGUGAAUAGUAUUUCCCCUUUGCCAUGGCAAUGAGUGGAAACACACCUUGCCUUUUGCAAGGGCUGCCCCUAAUCACGUGAAUAGUAACAACCCUUACCUCCCCUUGCCCUUUAACAUGGCAAAUAGGUGGAAGUGCUCUAAGCAUACUGAAAGGAAUUAAUUGCCCCCGUUUUACUGUUCUUCACCCCCUUUUUUGUCUUAGAGCACAGUGAAAUGACGAAAUUACCUUUCUUAAAACUUUUGUGUCUUUCCUUUUUUAACCCAUUCCCCUUCGAAUCCCUUCUGCUGCAACUAUUUCAUUUGCUCUGAGAAAGCACUAAUUUCUGACCAGGCUGGUUGGGCUGGUUGGGGUUCAAGAAUGGAAGAUCUUGCUUCAUUGUUGAAGAUCCAUCUAAGACCGUUCAUUUCUGUUUUUGGCACUUGCUGCUAAUCGGACUGUCCUUUUGGUCUUCAUCUGAUCAGUUUUCCUCUAAGCUAUAUUACAUUUGAGUGUUUCAUCUUUCAGUCAGUUCCAGCUAGGCUUCAUCCUUCCUCUCAUACCACCGGGUAUUAAUAUACAAUUAAUGAUAGAUAGGUUAACAAUUAAAUUCCAGAUCAUGCAUAUUUACUACUAAAUCAAUGAUAGAUAGGGUAACAAUGAUAGAUAGGGUUCAUCCUUCCUUUCAUCCAUGAUUAAUUAUUAUUAUGGGUUUAACUCAAAGGGAUUUAUAAGUUUUCUUCAUUUGUUUGAUCUCUCUCAAAUAUUAUUGCUUUUUAUUAAUUUUAAGUUAGAAAAAAAGUUGAGAUUAAAUGGCUCUUAAUCUCUAUCCCAAGCUGAGAUUAAAACUAUAUCCUUUUUGGAAUCCACCAAGUCCUGUACAGUUUAAAAACCCUCUGUAUCGCUCAGGCACCCUCACUAGUAAAGUCUAUAUGGAGGAAUUAAAGUCUAACGUGUAACUAAAAGUCUAGACGCGAAGGCAAUGUAAAAGAAUAAACGGUCCACAAUUGUGCCAAACCUAAUUCAUAAGGCUGUCAUUAGGUUUUAUUACUGCAUAAUUGUCAUUAGGGUAUUCUUUUACAAGAUAAGGUCUUCAAAUCAGUAAGAUAAGGGUUUUUGUGUUGAAAUAUAAAUGUUUUAGCUAAUAUUAUUCUGUAUUUAGUUUAAAUUUACAGAUUUAAAUGUGAGCCCUUGGAUUACGGUCCAAGUGGACAGCUAAGAUGUGAUCUUAGAAUAGAAGAAUGGAUGGCUAGAUUUGGAUGAUGUAAUGUGGGAAUAUUCUGUUCCCAACAGUUAAGUGUGCACAGUGCGUGUGUGAAUUAGAAUGAGAAUUCAUCUACUUCUUCCUCAAGCUCUCUCUCUCUCUCUCUCUCUCUCUCUCUCUCUCUCUCUCUCUCUCUCUCUCUCUCCAAAAUCUAUCAUGGUAUCAGAGCCAUCCUUCAUGAGCACCUCUGUGAGAGUCAUCUUCCCAGCAUCGCUUGAUUCUUCUUUUUCUUUCUUCUUUGCAUCGGAUUCACCAGCUCAUUUCAAAUCUGAGCACUCUACUUCCUCAUUUCGAAUCUGAGCGCUCUACUCCCUUCUCAACAAACUCCCAUAACCCAUGAGAUUUGAAGAUGGUUUUCAUUCUUAUGCUCAGAAUUCAUAGUUCUCACUGUUGAAAAUUGGCGCUCUCAGCUCCCCACCAGACCCUGCCAUGCUACAAUAAGAAACCAGAGAAUUAGAGAAACCAGUGUAGCAGCUCAAGUAUGCUACUCAGGUAGAAUCUACACCCACUAUGUUUUAUGCUAGUAAUAAAUCUAAUACUAGUGUAAAAGAAUAUGAGGAUGUAUGGUAUGUAGAUAGUGGAUGUAGUAAUCAUAUGACAGGUAGGGAGGAUCUACUUGUUGAUAUUGACAAGAAUGUGACUGCAAAGGUUGAAAUGGGUACUGGACAACUUGUUGAAGUUACUAGUAAAGGAAAUCUGGUGGUUGAAACUAAAUUAGGCAAGCAAUACAUUAAGGAAGUUAUGUUGGUGCCUGGACUGAAAGAAAAUUUACUUAGUAUAGGUCAAAUGAUGGAGCAUAGCUACUAUUUGGUGUUUGGAGAUCACAAGCUCGAAAUCUAUGAUGACAGCUCAUAUUCCAACUUGGUUUCAAAAGUACAAAUGAGAGGAAAUCGAAGUUUUCCAAUGAAAUUGCAGUCUGGAAUACACACUGCCUACAAGGCUAGUGUAUGUCACUCUACUACUAUGUGACAUAGGAGAUUGGGGCAUUUGAACAUCAGUAGUUUGAAGUUGAUACAAGAACAAGAGAUGGUGGUAGGUUUACCAGAAAUUCAAGCAGCUAAAGAGGUAUGUGAAGGGUGUGUUCUUGGUAAACAAUGUAGAGAGGCAUUUCCAAGGGAAGCUACUACUAGAGCAUUAACUCCUCUAGAAUUUAUACAUAGUGAUAUUUGUGGUCCAAUGCAGAUUGUUACAAAGGCAGGUAAUAGGUACUUUCUCACCUUUAUAGAUGACUGUACACUACAAGAAAAAUAGCUUUUGACAACAUGCCACUAACAACGUGCGUCUAUUUCACGUUGUGGAAGUAUACUUUUGACAACAUGCACCAAGUGCACGUUGUAGUACGCUACUUAUAACAACGUUCCUUUAAUACGCGUUGUCAAAAUGAAAUUUAGAAAAAAUUUCGCAACGCAAACAUGCGUGUUGUGAUAUCUUUAAGUUCUACAACGUGCAAACCAUGUUGUCAACUUGUUUCAUUUUUUUAAAGGAAAUAUACGCAAAAAUUAUGCGGGAGAACUCCCUCUCUUUCAAAAUAUUAAAACAUUCGAAAGUUUUUUAAAACCCCUCUUUUUUCUGAAUAAUAUUUCACAGCCCCUCUUUCUUUUGCAAAUCACUCUCACACUGCUAAACCUAGGGAAAAAUCCAAUAUCCCAACCUCUUUUGCUCCAUCCCAGCCAUCUCUCUCUCUCUCUCUCUCUCUCUCUCUCUCUCUCUCUCUCUCUCUCUCACUCAUGGAUCCUCUCUUUGCUCAUCAUCCACUGCCUCUGUCAUUGCCAACUUCACAGCCUCUCAAUCUCUUAUCGCCGUCAUCAAAUCCCUCAAUGCUUUGCUCUCUCAUCGCGAACCACUACUUCUUUUGUCUUAGAUCUACAAUUCUUAAGGCCAAUCCUAAUAUUUGUUGUUCUUUGCAGGUAUUGGCCUUCAUCACCGAGCCCACCAGCAUCUUUCCACCACUAACUUGCUCAGCCUCAUUUAGGAAAAAAUUGAGUGGCCUCCAGGUACAAAAUUUUAGUGCGAAGGUUUGAUUUUUGUUGGAUUGUUCAUUUGAUUUUGGUAAUAUAAUAUUUGGGUUUAUAUUACUAUUUGGAUUGUUUGGUUUUGUUCACUGUUUCGAUUUUGUUCACUUAAUAUAUAUAUUUUUAUAAUAUACAUUAAAUAGUGUGUUUAAGGCUCUUCAUGUGCUUAUGAAUGCCUUUUUUCUAUGAUAUAUAUAUAAUUUAUAUUCCCUCAAAAUUUUCUGAGUGGAUAUGCCUUCAAGGAUUAAUUUUAACUUUCAUCAGAUUCCUUCAUAUUACAGGUUUUGAUACUGGUUUUGUGCUGAUUACAUGUGUUGAUUUUGGUUCCCUUUAACAAAUGGGUAAGCUUUCAUCUUUCAAAAGCUGUCCCUUUAAUAGGGGUGAGUUUCGGAUUUUUCCUUCAACUUCUUUUGCAUUUUGUGUGUUAAUUUUGACAUAUGUUUUUGUUGGGUAUCUUGUCUUGGUUAUGAAUAAUUUCAGUUUAGGCCAGAAAACUUGAGUAAGGUUUUUCAGUGCAAACAGAUAUAAGAUCAUAAUAGUCUUCUUGUACAUACUUAUUUUCAAUUGUUUUAUGAAAAUUUCAUGUCUGGCUACAAAGCAAUUUGCAUUUUGUCUUCUAAUUUUUGCCAAUAUUGUAGCUAUGCAAUUUUGUCUUCUAACGAAAUAAUUUGCAUCAUGUAUGAUUGUGAUUAUUGUUUGGCUUAGGAAGAAGAAAAUAGAAGGAAAGGGCGCAUUAAGGGUCCUCCCGUUGGACAGAUAUUGAUGUUAACCUUUCCUGUACGUCUCUGCAUUAAACUUGCUGUAUUAUGAUAAUAUAAGUACAAUAAUUUUUUCCCCUGAUAUGUUGUAUAUUACUCUCUAAACUACCAUAUCUUUGAUUGAGCCUUGAGGGGAUUGAUUGUUAAAGAUCUUUGUUCUCUGUUCUGUUAUGCAUUUUCUCUAAUUUAACUUCCUCUCUUACUAUAGUUCAUCUCAAACUUAGAGAAAGAUAAGAACAUAGUUUAGUUGGUUGGAUUGAGUUAAUGGCUAAUCAUAGGUUACUAGUUUUGCAAACUUUCUAUUCCUAAAUUUGCAAUUUCUUAACUAUUAAAAUUGUCUUGUUUGAUUUUUUUUUGUUCAGAACUUCUGUGCGACCUUAAGAUGGAUAGUAUGGGUGCUUCUUGGAAUGAUAGGUGCACAUUGGUUAGAUAAUAUUCCGCAAUUGGACAAAGGGUUUGAAACACAACUAAUCAGGUUUCUUGAUAAUGCUUUACAAGGAUUUUAAAUUGUAAUUAUACUAUGCAUAGUUCAAUUUCCCUUCAUAUGGAUAAAUGUAAGUUGACAAUGAAUCUUUCUAUGGAGUUAUUUUUUGAAUGAAAACUCUUUAUUAUGGGUUACAUUAUGAUUUUUAUUUUAUCAAAGGUUAUAUUAUGAUUGGGAAGGAAGAAAAUAGUCACACUUAACUAAAGCUUGAAUUUAUGGAUCAACUCUAUUGUUAUAAGGUGAUUAUGAAUAUAAUUUUUUUUUUAUUAUAAAUAUUUAUUAUCACAACGUGCAAAGACUGUUGUUAAAAUUGAAACAACAACAUGUCUAUGAACGUUGUCAAUAAGACAUACAACAACAUGCCGAACACGUUGUUGUCCAUUGAUUCUACAAUGUGUGCACGUUGCCGUUAAUGGCAUGGACAACGAGCACUUAAAUCAACGACCACAUGCAAAGCCUGUUGUCGAAGGGCCUUGACCUUUUAACGACAUCGGCUUCCACAACAUGCGCCGUGUGUUGUCAAUACCCUUCAACAACGCCCAAUGAGCGCUGUGAAAGGACUUUUUUCUUGUAGUGGUACUCGGAUGUGCUGGAUUUAUUUUUUGAGAUACAAGUCUGAAGUAUUCAGUGUAUUUAAGAGGUUUAAGGCUACUGUUGAACUGCAAAGUGGAUAUAAGUUGAGGAAAUUGAGAAGUGACAAAGGAGGAGAGUAUACAUCCAUUGAAUCCAAUAGGUUCUGUGAAGAAAUGGGAUGGAAAGGCAACUCACUGUGGCAUAUUCACCACAGCAAAACGGUGUGGUUGAAAGGAAAAAAAGGACCAUUGUGGAGAGGGCCAAGUGUAUGAUGUUUGAGAAGAAGAUGCCACUAGAAUUUUGGGCUGAAGCUGUUAACACUACAGUAUAUAUCCUAAAUAGGUGUCCAACUAAGGCUUUGGACAAGAAGACUCCUUUUGAAGCCUAUAGUGGUAGAAAGUCAAGAAUUAAGCACUUAAGGAUGUUUGGUUCUUUGUGCUAUGCAUAUGUUCCAAGUCGACAGAGACAGAAGCUAAAUUUGGCUAGCACAAGAUGUGUGUUUCUGGGAUAUGGAAGCUGUGAAAAAGGCUACGGGCUUUACAACCUCGCAUCUGGAAGAGUAGUUAUUUCUAGAGAUGUUGUAUUCAAUGAGGAAGCAGGCUAGAAUUGGAAUAUGCGAAAGGAAUGCAGUAUCUCAGUUCCACUCACUGAUAUGCUUACUGAGAAAGAAAAGGAGACUGGUGCAGCUAGCUUGCCUCAAGUAGAGACCUCAGAAGAAGAACGUGUUGAAAUUGGUUCAGGGCCACAAGAUAUUGAUCACACUCCUCUGAAAUAUAAAAGUAUUGCUGAAAUAUAUGAAAGAUGCAAUCUGUGCAUCAUUGAGCCUGAGACAUUUGAAGAAGCUGUUAAAGAUGAGUCAUGGCAGAAAGCAAUGGAGAAUGAAAUUGCAAUGAUAGAGAAGAACAACACUUGGGAGUUGGUUAAUAGACCAUCUGAUAAACUAGUAAGUGGUGUCAAAUGGGUCUAUAAAACCAAGUUGAAUCUUGAUGGCUCGGUUCAGAAAAAUAAAGCAAGGCUUGUUGCAAAGGGUUACUCUCAAAAGCCUGGAAUAGACUUUAAUGAAACAUUUGCACCUGUUGCUAGGCUUGAUACAAUUAGGACAUUGAUUGCUUUGGCUGCACAGAAAGGCUGGAAGCUGUUUCAACUAGAUGUGAAAUCAGCAUUUUUGAAUGGAGUAUUACAUGAGGAAGUAUAUGUUGAUCAACCCCCUGGAUUCAUUAAGAACAAAGAGGAUAGAGUUUACAGACUCAAGAAGGUAUUAUAUGGCCUUAAGCAAGCUCCAAGAGCUUGGUACAAAGAUAUCAACUCUUAUUUUAUAAAGGCUGGUUUUCAAAGAAGUCCUAGUGAAACAACAUUGUAUGUGAAAUCUGCAGAAAGUGGAAUACUCAUUGUUUCCCUAUAUGUGGAUGACAUUAUUUACACUGGAAGCUCAGGAGAAUUGAUGAUGGGUCAAAACUGAAAUGAUGAAACANNNNNNNNNNNNNNNNNNNNNNNNNNNNNNNNNNNNNNNNNNNNNNNNNNNNNNNNNNNNNNNNNNNNNNNNNNNNNNNNNNNNNNNNNNNNNNNNNNNNNNNNNNNNNNNNNNNNNNNNNNNNNNNNNNNNNNNNNNNNNNNNNNNNNNNNNNNNNNNNNNNNNNNNNNNNNNNNNNNNNNNNNNNNNNNNNNNNNNNNNNNNNNNNNNNNNNNNNNNNNNNNNNNNNNNNNNNNNNNNNNNNNNNNNNNNNNNNNNNNNNNNNNNNNNNNNNNNNNNNNNNNNNNNNNNNNNNNNNNNNNNNNNNNNNNNNNNNNNNNNNNNNNNNNNNNNNNNNNNNNNNNNNNNNNNNNNNNNNNNNNNNNNNNNNNNNNNNNNNNNNNNNNNNNNNNNNNNNNNNNNNNNNNNNNNNNNNNNNNNNNNNNNNNNNNNNNNNNNNNNNNNNNNNNNNNNNNNNNNNNNNNNNNNNNNNNNNNNNNNNNNNNNNNNNNNNNNNNNNNNNNNNNNNNNNNNNNNNNNNNNNNNNNNNNNNNNNNNAAAUGAUGAAACCAAUAUGAGAUGAUUGACCUUGGGUUAUUACAUUAUUUCUGGGUUUAGGUGUGAUACAAACAGAGUCCUACAUCUUCUUGCAUCAGAAGAAAUAUGCAAGGACAUUGCUGGACAAGUUUGGUUUCAAAGAUUACAAAUCACUUGCUACUCCUCUUGCAGUGAAUGAAAAAUUAUCUAAGGUAGAUGGGAGUGAACAAGCUGAUGAAAGUGUGUAUAGGCAGAUAGUUGGAAGUCUGUUAUAUUUGACUGUAACAAGACCGGAUCUCAUGUUUGCAACAAGCCUUUUGGCUAGAUUUAUGCAUGGUCCAACCUGAAAACAUAUGGGAACCACUAAGAGGAUACUCAGAUACAUUCAAGGCACACUUGAUUAUGGCAUAGCAUAUGGGAAAGGGAAAGAAGCAAUGCUUAUUGGCUACUGUGAUAGUGAUUGGUUAGGGAGUGAAGAUGACACGAAAAGCACAUCUGAAUAUGCAUUUAGUCUUGGAUCAAGUGUAUUUUCUUGGGCAUCUGUCAAGCAAAGCAGUGUUGCUUGACAGAUAAACACUUAGAAGGGAGUGUUGAAAUAUAAGUGUUUUAGUUGAUAUUACUUUGUAUUUAGUUUAAAUUUACAAAUUUAAAUGUGAGCCCUUGGAUUACAGUCCAAGUGGACAGCUAAGAUGUAAUCUUAGAAUAGAAGAAUGGAUGGCUAAAUUUGGAUGAUGUAAUGUGGGAAUAUUCUGUUCCCAACAGUUAAGUGUGCACAGUGUGUGCGUGAAUUAGAAUGAGAAUUCAUCUGCUUCUUCCUCAAGCUCUGAUCUCUCCAAAAUCUAACAUUUUGGUCAGUCUGCUUACAAGUUUCAAUUCUUUUUGUUGUUCUAACUAGGUACAACAACAUAAUUUCGACGGAAUCCGAAAAAGCUCCCACUGUAAGAAAGUGGAAAAACGAAGUGGGAAAAAAAGCAAUGCUCCAGAUGUGGGGAUAACAUGGGAUUGCAUCUGCAUCAUCUGGAAGAAGUUGGUGUCAUCUGAGGAGAGGCCUAAGAAUUUAUUUUAUUUUUUGCAAUUUUGAGAGAUGAGAAUGAAGCCCCCGUGGACCAAUAAAAAAUCAUGUAUUUUUCAGAGAUGGGAUUUGUACGGUUGUACAAUUCUUUUGAUUCCACUUUAUAGUGUGCAUGUGAAUGACUAUUUAAUAUACUUAUCUCAGCUUCCCUAUUUUCCGUUUAAAGUUAUUCAUAAAUCAUUUCUAUUCAAUUUCAGUUCUCUAAUCAGGUUUCGAAUUGGCUAUUUAAUACAUGUUGGUAAACAUUUGUACUGAACAAUUUCACUAAUUAGCUGGAGCCAAGUCGUGGCUCCGCUCUUUGUUAUAAUAUUAUUUUGUACUCGGUAACAAUUUCAGUAAGUUGAAGUCGUCUUUUUUGCAAUAUAAUUUGAAGUUGCUGAAGAGAGAGUCUCAACAGUCGACUAUGUAGAAGAGAAAAAAAAAGAGAGAAACUGAAGAGAGUUGCCACACCUUCAAGUACUGGAAGAUUUAUUUAUUUAUUUGAAACAAGUGAAUCGAGUUUGUAGCCCCAACUAAUAUCCAUUUUACAAACAUUUUAUUAGUGUUGACAUUCAGUAAUAGUCAAACCCAGUCUACCAAUAAGAGAUCAACAUGUGGACUCUAACCACGAGAGAUCAACUAACGGCUCGGUCAAAUGUCGACCACACCCCAUGAGAGGGGUGGCCCCUAGAAUUUUCCUCAGGCGGCCCUGUGCACCGCUUUUCAUUAGAGCAUGUUUAGCGCUGCUGGUUUGCUCGGGCAAGAGGGAGUCUAGGCCCAGCUUUUGUCUCCAACGCACAAAGGCAAGACCAGGCAAUUGAUGGGGGCCACAAGCCUGGGCAGGCCCAAAGCCAAAUCUUGCUUGAGUUUGCUAACGUCGUUGAUGACGUCAGCAACUAAAAUUUUUUUUAAAAAAAUCAAAAUUUUAAAUACCUAGUCUUAUUUUUCACUUCUUAUGCCAAAAUUAAUGGUUUAAGUGUAAAAAAUAUAAAAUAAAUUAAAAUGAAUAGUAAUUGCCCUUGCCCUUGCCAUUUGGGGUGGAACUAAAAAAGGCAAGUCUAUUAAAAUGAAUAGUGAUUGCCCUUGCCCUUGCCAUUUGGGGUGGAACUAAAAAAGGCAAAGCUGCCACUAUUCACGUGAAUAGUGGCAGCCCUUGCCUUGCCUUAGCCUUUUGGGUUGAAUUUGCUCUUAGAAGAGAGAAAAUGGGGGAGGAGAGAGCAAAACACACCCCCCCUCCCUCCCUAAAAAUCUGAAUUUUUUAAAAUUACAAAAUUGCCCUUAACUACCGUAGAUCAUAACUCCUUUGUUUUAACUCAUAUUCGAGCCCAACAUGAUAGGACCCACCCUAGAUUCUCCCUCAGAACCCAUGACGAACCCUGCUUCUUGUCCGACAUCCCACUUUAUUAAAAGUCAUUUAGCCCUAAUUUAAACUGAUCGACUAUUCGACUUCUACUAAAAUUUCGAUAGAGUCCCCACUGUAACUGGAAUAUUUCCUAAUUUAUAGUACCUGCAAACAAAUGCAAGAAUAAACCUAACUUCUAGCAUGCACAAAGUGAAGUCACGCAAAACAGUUAAGAUCAUGCCUUCUACCCAAACUCAAAACGAGCAAGCAGAGCUACUAAAAAUUAAGUUUACAACCUGGGGAAAAAUAAAAUGUACAGAGUGAUAGUAGCACACUACUAUGGAGCGGAUAACGAUGAUGCCUCGACGACGUGGUCUCAACCUCAGCUAUCUAGAACCUGGGGGGGCGCAAAACAAAAAAUGUGAGUAGACGAAAACAAGCGUUAAACAUCAUUUAUAUUCAACAUAAAUAACCCCUCCGUUUUAGAAAAUAAUGUAAACUUGUUAAUUUAUUCCUUAUUGUAAAACCAUAAAUUCAACACCACUAAAGUAAACCCAUUAGUAUAAAAUAUAAUCAUCAAAACCCAAAAUUCUUUUUCCAGCAACCAUACCCUUGUAAAAAUACAAUAAGCCAAGUAAUUUCCAAAUAUCCCAUCUCAAUUCCGAAAUUCAUUUCAAAUGUUCAUUCCUGUGCAAAGUAUUCUCAAUGCACAUGCCCAAGAAACCUCAACAUGGAAAUAAAUUCACAUAUACCCAUAUAAAUGUGUGUGUGUGUGUGUGUGUGUAUAUAUAUAUAUACACGCACAAACAUUCACCAUAACAAGAUAUGUACCAGGGGAAACAAUCCAACUCGGGGACUGUUUGUUCUCAACCACAUGUCGGGAUUCUGCAUCAUACAUGUGUAAGGAUGAGUAGUCCAACCAGGGGACUUUUGCUCCCCAACACACACAUGGGGACCUGCAUUGUACGUGUAGCUGAAUCCAAUCAUACGCGUAGACUAACAUCCUCACAUACCUCCCAAAAAGUAUAUGUGUGCCCUGAUGGGUCCCAAAGACCAACUUUAAUUCUUUUCCAUCAUCCUUUUCAUAUCGAACCAGGGGAAGGUACAACAAAUGGUGUGUAGCCACAUAAAUCCCAUAUCCCAAAAUAUAUCAAAAUCCAUAUACUUUAAUAAUAAUAAUAAAAUAAUAAUCCCUAGAAAUCCCAUAUCACAAUGUAAAAGCCAAGACUAGCCUGAUAAUAUAAUCCCAUAAUCUCAAUUAACCCAAAAUAACCAAUUUUCCAAUCAAAUCAAAUUUAUGCAAGCAAUUCCAUGUUUGAAAAACAAUGUUCAUUUAAAAAUAUAUGUCCACUCACAACAAGUCCAAUGCUGCUGAAUUCUGAGAGGACUCUUCCUCUGGAGUAUGCGAAGUGUGGUACCUAUUCGAGAGAAUACACGGACUUAAUUACCAAACGUACCUAACAAUGAACUUUAACUCAAAACUCCAGUUCCCAAGUCUCGAAGUGUGCACAACCUUUAUGAAGGUUUACAAGGUCAUUCUAGUACUUCAUGAAGGAUAAGACAGUCCUGGAAGACUCAUGGUCAACCGAGCAGUCAAACUUUCCAUAUUGGUCAAUCGGGCCAGCGAGGCUCACAAGGCCCACGACCUCCGAUUUCUGAUCCGAAAGUUUCUACACAGUCCUAGAGGUACCAGGAACAACAUAGUUAAAAUUGGAACCGAUCGAACGGUCCGAACCUAUCGAAUCUGGAUAUCGCAUAAUAGGUGCAAUAUCCAUUCAAUAGUCAAACGACAACCAAUUCCAAUUUCGAGCAUAGAGUCGUGCUCAGGACGACAUGGGGAGUAUUUUAGGACAUAAUGGGCCGACACACAGUGGCCCACGCAUCGCCAACCACUGCGGGCAGCGUGUGGGUGUCUUGAGAAUUUCACGUUUCAAUAAUUAAUAAAAGUAAAAGAAAAUUGAACCAAACAAAUUAAGAAAGUCCCAUCUUCUAUUUCUUCACUUUCUCCGUCUAAACAACUCAGGUCUCAUAGAAAACCUUUUUUCUUUUUUUCUUUUUUUAUCAUUAUCAAAGCUGCACCGGUUUGUUGGGUCACAAUCUCUAGAUCCUCUCAAUUCUCUGAUAAAUUUUCUGGUCUUUUUCGGCAAGGCUUAUGGUCUCUACGGAGGUUGAAGACAAAAAUUUCAGGGAGGCAAAAACAAAGCAUUGAAAUAGAGGGACAAAAAGUUCUCAAUCUACAUGUGAAAUCUGCUAUUCCACCAAAGAAUUGUGAUGAUGUGGAAAGAGAAAGUGAAAAGAGUUCGUGUUGGUUUUGAUCGAAGUUGGUCCUAAUUUUUUCUGAGUCCGAGGAGAUGGGUGUUGUUCAUGGUGAUUUUCUCGGUUGUGAAGAGGGAGAGCUAGCGUAGCUGGGACGCAUUUCAGUGUGUUUAGAAAACACUGAAAUCAGGGGCGGAGCUAAAAUUGUAAAAGUGGAGGGGCCGAAGUAGAAAAUACAAGUAUAUAAAACACCUAAGUAUUCAAUACUUACAUGUUUAGAAUUAAAUAUUUCUAAUUGUGCCAUGUCUAAUUUGUUUUAGAGGAAAUUUUAACUUAAAUUUUAAGUUGUUUAUUACAAAUUCUAUAUAUCAUAUAUAAUAUAAUAAAGGUGUGAUAAAAAUAUAAGGGGGCCAGGGCCACUCCAGGUCUAGGAGUGGCUCCGCCACUGACUGAAAUAAGACUAGGUAUUUUAGGAAUAAUGGUGGGUGGAAAAAUAAGAUUGUAUUUUUUAAAAUUUAUAUUGUGGGUGAAAAUAUAAAGUGGAUGGAAAAAUAAAGCAGGUUGGUGGAAAUAGCAGCCCUCAUAAUUAAUAAUUCAAGUUACAAAAAUAAAUCAUAUAUCAAUAAUCCCCAAGAGUUUUCACCCAAACUCUAAAUCAUAAAAACUUAACAACAACAAUUAAAAUUAGAAAUUGAAUAAAAAAAGAGAAAAACCUACCAAGAUUGAAGAACCCACUGAAGAUAGGUUGGUACAAUUUUUUUGAGGGAGAGAGCUAUUUCUUCUUAGGCUCUCAAGGUUCAAAUAUAGUGUUUUGGGUGGCUAAAAGAAAAAUUCUAAUAUUUGCUUCUAAUCAAAUUUAUAUAGAUUAUGAAUUGCAUGUUUAAUAUUUCUUAUAUGCUUCAAGAAUGGGCUUAUUUCUACAUAGAGGACUAGGCUUAUUUUAAAUAGAGGGCUGACUAUUAUUUACUUUACCUAGAUUUCGCUUAUACCACUAAGCCUUAAAAAAAAAAAAACAAAACAAAAACAAAAACAAAAACCAAAACAAAAUCUCCGAGAGAUGUAAGUUGGGGAAGCAAAUAGUGUUGGGGAAAAGUAUUUUUGACUCUUAAUUUCUUUUGUAUAUUUAAUAGCCAAAAUGUUAGUUAACUUAGAAAUUUGACUCUCUUAAUUUCUUUAUUUUCUUCAAAGAAUUGACUAAACAAAGAAUCAUACAUUUGAGUUUGCUUUUGGGGCUUCCGCAUUAAAAGCUUAAAGAGUACGAUCCUACUAAUGGUUUAGAAUUAAAUGAAUUAGCUUACCUAAGCCGACUCCCUAAUACUUGUCAAAUCACACCCCAACCUUGAGUUUUGAUUGAGCUUGACUAUAAAGUAUUUUACCCGAGCAACAUAUAAGAAAGGGUAUCGUGUAUUGAUGGGGUCGACUUCUAUUAGAGAGGUGGUACACUAUAAAAAUGUGAUAUGCCUAGUAUUUUUCUAUAAGAAGGGACACUACAUGUUGGAGGCCACAUAAGUCCUUGUGAUUAUUCAGGCUGGAGAUUAUCAAAGAUAAACCUCUAAUAUUACCUUCAACUGGAUUACAGAGGUAUAUAGUUUGAUAUAUAAAUUAUUCUAAUCAAAUAUCACAAAAACAAAAUGCAAGAACAAUUUUAUUCGUUAAACAAUUAUACAUUACGGAUAAACCUCAAUGGGCUUAAACAUGAAUAUUACAAGCGUAUAUGUAAAUUAUUCCAAACCAAUACAAGCCGGAGAGGAGAAUAUCAAGGAUAAACCUCAAUUAGAUAUCUUAAACCGCAAAUGGGAGUUAUCUUAUAGUCACUGAAACCUGCAUCAGAAAAUAGCUUAGCCCAUUCUUUCUCAGUCCUUUCUUUUCCUGUAACCAACACCAUCAUCAACAUAUCGAAGAAGAGCUGCGUCUCAAUUGAUUGGUCAUCUCCCUUCUGCUUCAUUACCAUGUCAAUGAUAAUCACCUUGCCUUUCUUUUCCUUCCUUGUAAUUGCCUCUUUAGAUCGCUGAAGUAUUUUUAUACAUUCUUCAUCGGACCAGUCAUGCAAUAUCCACUGCUAGUCAUGAGCAGUCACCAUUCAUAAGAGACGGAUAUACAAAUAGAGAAUUUCGAUCUUAAACAAUUAUUAAGAUAUAUAAUAAACAGUCCCGAUCUCUUGGACCACAAGAGUCCAAGAGAUUGUGGUCACCCACCGUUGGAUAUUAAUCCAAUGGUUCAAAAUGAUAUAUAUAAAUGCAAUAUGACAUAAAUGAUUAUUACCCGAUUCAAGUCAACCGUUGAAUUUACAUCCAACGGUGGGUGACCAUAAAUCUCUUGGACUACAGGGGUCCAAGAGAUCAGGACUGAUAUAAUAAAAAUGAUACUAGUCGGUGCUAUAAUAAAAAUGGAAUAUGUACAUAAAAUUUGAAGAUAAGAACGAAAACAAAGCAAAAGGAAAGGGUAUAAACAAAAAACAUGUAGUUAAGGGAAAUAGCAUACGUGUUAAAAAUAAGGCCAAUCGUAUGUUUGUUGGGAAACAUUAUCUAUGCUAUGUGUUCAAUUUCUUUGCUUCUUCAAAUAAUUCAAAUUAUUAGCUUCACAAGUUUGAAGGGGAAAUGUCCCAAUGUUAACUAAUUUCUUAGCUUAAAAUAUCUGCAGCAGGAGGGUAAAAUUUAAAAGGUUUAAUGAGUGGUCCUUGUUACUUGCAUGCAUGUAAUUAUCUAAAGCAACCUUAAAAUCACAUAGCACCGACUAGUAUCACAUAGCACCGACUAGUAACAUAAUCUCCGAGAUGUACGUACCUUCAUUAAAAUUGCAUCUGUGUGAGGAAUGGCCUCAAACAUGUCCCCUCCAAAAAAUUUCAAGUUCUUACUCCCUUUUAGGUCAGCGACCACAUGUGGGAGAUCAAAUACAAUGCAUUCCACAUGGGGAAAUACAUCAGCAAUGGCCUUGGCCAUGGUUCCUAUACCACCCCCAACAUCAACCAAGGACUCCAAUCCCUCAAACACCCCCUUGUACUCAUUACUCACCACCUUCGAGAUUAGUCGAGCAUCACUAGCCAUGGAAUCAUUGAAAAUGUGGGAAAGACUUGGCUCGAGGUACCCGAAAUCCCAAAAUGUUGUCCCAUGCGCCGUGAAACAUGCUGUAGGGUCAUUAUUUUGGAACCAAGUGCUAAAGUAAUGCCAUGGUUUGGUCAUAAAAGGAUCAAGCUGGCCAAGUAAGAAGGGUCUUGCGCUUAAGGGAUCGUCCUUAAGAAGGAGCCUGGAAGCAUCCGUCAGCACAUAACCUUCUUCCUCAUCAAGUUCACUAAGCUUUUGGCGACCGAAGAAGCCCGAGUGCACUAAGAUUCGCAUGAGCCGGUAGACACAAUUGGAUUUUGUUGGGUGGAUUGGCAAUGCAGAUAUAAGCUCAGAAAGGCUCAUGGGAUUGCCAUGUUUCUUUAUGAUGUCUGGUAUACCUAGUUGAACUGCACAUUUGAGAGACAAAGGGUUUAUGAAACUGAAAAUGCAAUUCCAAAUGUGGGCUUGAGCUUGGAGUAGGUUGGCAGAACUCAUUUCGUUACUCAAAUCCAUGUAUUUGGCUCCAGAUUAACUAGUGCGGGAUAGCAUGGCUAGUUAGGAAUAAUAUAUCCAAGUGUUUAUGGGUCGAAUGUACAUGAAUAAUAUAACAAAUAUUAGGCUAGUUAGGAAGAGGUUUGUAGUUUAAAUGAUUAAGAAUAUUUACUAGCACCUGAGUUCCUAGGUUCGAUUCGCCCCAUCCUCACAACAUCUUCUAUAAAAAUAAAAAAAAUUGUUAGCCUGGUUAGAACUUCACAAUAUUAUGGGUCAGAAAUUGAGGGAUGGCGACAUGUCCCAAACUGGAAGAACGACAUGAUGUAGCACGAUCUUAGUCAUGCAAACCAAUAUUGGCAAUCGAGCAGAAAUGGCAAUGGAAGCCAUGUGCCUUAUCUCUUUCUAGGCCUACCAUUUGGUUUUGGUCAGAAAUUGAACCGACUAAUCACUCCAAUUGUUUUGGUAUUGGGAACCAAUUUUAGUGAUGCACACUGGCUAUUUGCAAUGGAGCAUUAAAAUGACAAUGGAAGUCAUGUGCCUUAUAUCUUUCUAGGCCUACUAUAUAUUUUCUUUUGAACAGAAAUUGAACAGACUAAUAACUCCAAUUGUUUUGGUUUUGGGAUGUCGACAUGUUCCGAACCCAAAGAGCGAUGUAGCACAAUCUUAUUGAUGCACACUAGCUAUUUGCAAUGGAGCAUAAAUGCAGAUGGAAGACAUGUGACUUGUCUCUUUCUAGGCCUACUAUUUGGUUUUGCUCAGAAAUUGAACUGACUAAUAACUCAAAUUGUUUUGGCUUCACAUGUGGACCAUUAUGUGGUGUUUCCACAUGAGGGGUCGUGUUGAACAAUAUAAAGUCUCACAUCAAAAUGUUCACACAACAUAUAAGUGGUUCCACUACUAAUACACCUACUGAAUAUGAAGGUGAUUAAGUUGGGGACAAUACUGAUAUAUGUUGCUAGUAGUGGACCACUAGCAUGCCGCUCUUAAAUUUAUCAUAUAUUAUUUAUAUAUUAUAUAAUAUAUAUCUAGAAAAUGUCCUCAUGUGAAAUAAAAAUAAGUUACCCAUCCCUUUUUACAUAUCUGAUACGUAAAUUAUAUGCACAAUAUUCAAAUAAGUACAAAGUCUAUAAAAAAAGGGAGAUAUUUAGUCAUACACCCAUUCUUAGCACUAAUGAUAUAGAUAAAUCCUAUACCAUUUAAUUACUAUAAACAAACGAAAAAAAACCCAAAAAUGACACAUUUGAUUAUUAAAUUACUUUGAUGCCUUAUUGAGUGUUUUGAGUUUUUUUAUGAAAUUUUUGGUUAGUCUUGUUUUAAGAAAUUGAUGGCAAUUUUGUAAUUUAUAAUAAGUUAAAAGCCUCUUUGUUAUGUUGUAAAUGAGCUUUGAGUGUGUUUCUAAAGUCUAUUUCAUAUUCGGAUUUUUUUUAUAAUUUAGGCCAUAUUUUAAGUAUAAUAAUGAAAUCCCCGAAAAAAAUUUGGUACACCAACGUAUAGAUUGAAAAAUUAGUUUCACAAACAUAUAUAACUACAAUUUGGGGGUAGUGCUCGAGCUUUGUGCAUUAUACAUGCACGAAACUCCAAAUGAAAAUAACAUUUUUAUUUCUUUGCUAAGUAGGUUUUUAUUUCGUGAAAAAAAGGUAAAUGAUUUUUUAUACUUAUAGUGCUCUCAACCCUAAGAGAAAUAUCACUAAAUUAAUUAUUAGUUGGUAUCUGUAUAUUUUACGUAGGUACACUAACUUGUAUAUAGAUACCACCCAAAAAAUAUAUAUAUUAUAUAGAUAGAUAAUAAUUUUUGACACUAUAGAUAAGUACAGGGUGUGGCGCUCAAGCCAUUAUACAUGUCUGCAUUUCCAAAUAAAAAAAUAAUCACUACUACAAAAAUUGAAAUAGACGACGGGAAACCACCGUCAUCUAGAAGGUUUUUCAACCGUAGUGAAAUCGAUCACCAUCUUUUGUACAAAAAACGACGAUGGUUAAUACUCGAUGUCGUUAAGGCAUUCAACGUUCAGAUUUAUUACGAACCGAUGUGUAAUUACUAUAUAAUUAGCCUAAAAUGAAAUCUUCGACAACAUUAGAUGACCGUUUUAUGAAAAUUGAGACGUCUAAAGAGUGUUACAUGUUAAGAUCAAAAGAAGAACCGACGUACAGAUAAUUAUCCAUGUCCCAAAAUGAAGGAAAAAAGACUUGGAUAAGAUAGAAACCGUCGUGGUUAAUUUAUACUACGUUAAACAAACAAAGAAACCAACGUCUACAACAUAAACAAUGACGUGCACACAAACCAAUAGACAUUUAAAGAGUAUUACAUGUCAUUUGUCUCUCAAUAACUGUCGUAACAUGCCAUAACCACAUCCUGCACCUGGCAUCACCGACGCUUAUGUAAUUAUCCAUGUUGCGAAAUAUAAUAAAAACCGACGUGUUAAGUUUAUCCCACGUUUGUGUCUUGCGAGAAUCGUUGUUUAAAUUGUACAAAGAAGGCCCUUUGACAGAGUUAGACGUCACUUUUUCUGAAUAACCGACGUUUAAAAGAUUUAAAAUUACAUAAUAUUACUCAAUAUCGACGUGCAAAAUUGUAACCAUGUCAGUUUUUGUCAAAGGAUGACGUUAUAAAUAAUAUUGAAGGUGUGGAUUGGAAAACAACCAACGUAGAUUAUGUAUUCAAUGACCGUGGCAUUAAAAUAAAGAAAGUGGUUUAUUAUUUCACUACGUCUAGAGAUCCACCUGCUUGACGUUGUAAUUGCUUACCACGUCGGUUUUGAUUACAUAAUGUCGUGGUUAUCCUUUCGAAAGUCGCUCAUUUGACCUUCCUUGACGUAUGUAUGCUCGGAGACGUCAGUUGUUUUAGACUAGCCGACGUGCAGAACAUCUGUCACGAUAGUUAAUGGAACUGCAUGGCCUUUAUUUCGGGCUUUAGACGACGGUUUAUUUUAAGCAAACCGACUUCAUUUCUUUUUCAGAUGUAUGUUUUUUUGUUUUACGGUCUUUUGCCUUUUUAAAAUCUGACUUUGUUUUUAUUUUAGACGUCUGUGUUUCCAAUUUUUUUACUGGACCGUCGUACUUUGCAGCUUUAACCCAGCUUUUUUAAUUUUUGAUUUGUCGUGCCCAAAGCCUGCAUAAUCAAAAUGUGAUCAGAAUUAAAAUGAUGUACAGAAUUAUUAAUUAAUAUCAUAAAAUUAACUGAAUAAUUAAUGUCAUACAUUACAACAAUCAAUCAAUCCAUAUAUCUUCACACCCAUCUCUAAUAUUUUCAUUCCCAAACUCACCCACUAGGUCAUCAAAUAUGUCAACAUUUGGUAUCCCCUCUAGUAACUGGCUCACACUCAAUUCUAGUAUCACCUAGCACAUCAUCACCAAUAACAUCAUUAUAUUCUGUAUUAGGCAUUAAUAACACUACCGACAAACCACGAUGCAUUGGGUUGUCAACAUAAAAUACUUGUUUGACUUGAGAAGCCAUAACAAAUUGGUCAUUCCUAUGUCCAAUGUUACUCAGAUCUACAAGGGUAAAUCCAAGUUCGUCAACUACAAGGCCCGAAGUGUUAUCACUACUACAAAAAGUGAAAAAGACGACCAGAAAACAACGACGGUCUAAGUGAAAACCGUCGUGGUUUUUAAAAAGACGACGGUUCUAAAAACACCGUCGUGUAAUACCACCUUAGACAACUAAAAAUGGAGAUUCAAAUGGCUGUUCAAAAACAACGACGUACCUAAUUAAAAAACCGACGUCUAUUUGAAACAGAUUUCCGCAGUGUAAAAUCAAAGCCAACAAAGAACGGCAGAAGUUAUGAAUCGACCGACGUAGAAAGUAAAGACGACGAUUUCAAUAAAAGCCGCCGUUUUUACUCAUAAAAUAACACGACGAAAUUUUCGUAUAAGACGCCGUAUAAUUACAAACAAAUCGACGGCUUUAAAAUACAAAAUGUCGCCGUAUUAAAUUAAUGUACAACGACGGAAAAUAUAAAUAUAUCGACGUCAUUCUCGUAUAGUUCUACGACGUUAUCUUUAAAUCGUACUAUAAAAUUUAACGUCGUAUUUAUUAAUUUUAUACGUCGUACCUUUAAUUUAAACCGUCGUCUUAAUAAGAAUUUUUGUUAACAAUUUUUUCCUUUAUUUUCUUAUCCUACGUCGGUAGAUCUACUUAAUGACAAGAAUUGAAAUCUGUCAUCCAAAAAAGAAACUUUACAUAAUCUAGAACAUUAAUUUCCUUCAUUUUAAAUUUCCUUAGGAAAAAAAACUCUAUUUAUAAAGCACUGUAAUUGAAAAAUAAACUGAAAGGUCACGGGAAAAAAAUUUCUAUUCAUAAUUUAACAAUUCAAAUCCACGUCGGUUAUAUUAAACCUAACGACGUAAAUGAAAAGAUUCCACGUCGCAAAACAAAUAUUGCGUCGUGUUAGUUUAUGGUUUCUUUAAUAGUUUCAGUUUCUUUAACAGUUUGGUCCUUUAUCUUUCUGCAGGACUUGUAUAGUUCAAAGCAUUGACUUGUAUAGUUCAGAGUAUAGUUCAAAGCACUGAUUCGAUUGCUCAUGCUUUAUCGCAUUCAUGAAACCCAUCUUCUUCUUCUGAAGCUCUACGGAUAAAGGAAGAGGCUAUCACAAAUCUGACGGAUCUUCUUAGCCAAGAAAAUCAAGCAGAGGAUCAGGCACAUCUGAUCUUCAGAUUUCCCUGAGAAGCGAACUUUCCUUCGACAGCGAGUGGAGGCCAGGCUUGCAUCUCUUUUAAUGGAAAGCAAGGAGUAUUCAGAAGCACUAAAUGUCCUAUCAGGCUUGAUCAAGGAAGUGAGAAGGCUAGUUGACAAGCUUCUUCUUGUGAACAUAGAUUUGAUGCGAGUAAGCUCAAUUUCUCUUUGAGAAAGACAUCCAAAUUACUGUCUUUGAGAUGUGAGAGACAGUGUCUCUGAGAGAGGAAGAACUUGGAACCCUAAAUGUAAACCGAAAAUGAAUGAAAGCGACAAAUUUAUAGAAUAAAUUUUUAAAACCAACGGCAGUCCUUACAAAAAAACCGCCGUUUAAAUUGCAAAAUCAACGUCGUUAUUACCGACGUAUAUUACAUAAAUCCACGUCGGUAAAUUAAUAAAACCGACGUGUUAAAUGAUCUACCAUGACGCGAGUUAUUACUUAUGUACUUUAAUUUUUGAGUUUACUACGACGGUACCUACAACACUACUGUCGUACUUAUUUACCACGUCCGAAGUUAAACGUACUGUCGUAUUUUGUAAUUUAUACGUCGUAAUUAUAUGUAACCGCCGUAUUAUUUUUUGAAAUGGUUUUAUAUGUAAGCAACUUUUCGUGUACCUGACUUACACAUGCACUGUUUCCAAACCCGAUUAAAAAUUUCAAUCUCCCAGAGAAAACUUUUAGACUUUUUUCCUUGUCAGAGCACUUUCAGAGUAUCUCAUCGUCUUCCUCUCGUCUUCUUCGUCGUCUCUGAACUUAAACAUCGAUCGUCUUUCUCUUGCUUUCAUUGCACGCAAAAGGUAAGCUUUCAUUUUCACUAUUUUGGUUGCUGUUUUGCAUGCUCAUACGUUUUUUGUUUGAAAAAUCUUUUUACCUUUUUUCUGGCCAAAAUCAUUUUACUUCUUUCCAAGUUCGAAAAAAUAUACAGACAAAGAGGGAAAGUUUCCAACUUUGAAGACAACUACCUCAACUAAAUAAGACGACGGUAGCUUCUUAUUUACGUGGUUAAAUAUGUAGACCACGACGGUUCGUCAGUCGUUCUAGCGUCGUCUGAAAAUUGACAAAGUUGUUUUUAAAAUUAUAGUCUUUUUUUUAUUUGCUUGUUUAAUUGCAGGUUUGAUUUCUCUGAACAAUGGUUUUUGUUUUUCCCUAAUUUGAUAAAAUAUAAAGAAAAAGAAAUUAGGGUUGGUAUCUAAUAUAGACGACAGUAUCUUAUUGUUUUACGUCGUGUGAAUGUUAAUACCACGACGUCAUAUUAAAAUACCGUCGUCUAUAUAAGAUUCCAAAAAUUUCUUUCUUGGCCUUGUAUUUUAUCAAAUUAGAAAACAAAAACCAUGGUUCAGAAAAAUCAAAUCUGCAAUCAAACAUUCACAGAGAAAGAAAGAAGGGUUUUGGAUCCUUAUAUAGACGACGGUAUAUUACUACUGACGUCGUGUGAACAUCAAUACCACGACGUUAUAUAAAUAUUCCGUCGUUUAUAGUUUAUUAUUACGUCGUUUGUAGUUAAUUAUUUCGUCGUUGUUUAAUUACCUUGGUUUUAAACAUUUAUUACGUCUGAUAUUAUUUCAUUGCGUCGUUUAAAAUCAUAUCAUACGUCGUCUUUUAUUAAUAACCGUCGUUUGUGUUCUUAAUCUUUUCUUGAAAUAUUUUCACUUGCAGUUUUGUCUGUAAAAAUGGUUUCUCACCAAGACCAAAGUAAGGAUUCUGGCUCCAACAAAAAUGGAGGUAAGGAGCAAGUACCUCCUCAAGAGAAGUCUUCGAAGAUAAUGAAGUCUUCGAAGAAGAUGAAGUUUGCUUCAUCAUCUGCUGAUACAGAACCAACCAGCGCGACAACAAUCUCUAAUGAUUCAAAGGCUGGUCGAGGUAUGAGCACAAUGCCUCGUGUUGUGAAGAGAAAACUUCAGAAACUGAGGCCAAUUGUUGAGUACAAUAAAAGGGGGAAAGGAAUUGGCCAAGCACACAGUGAGAUGCAGUCCUAUAUUGGUGUGUUGGCACGCUCCAGAGUCCCACUUGUGGACUUGAAAUGGGCUCAAAAACCCAAGGAUAUAAAGGAGCAGAUUUGGGAAGCAGUUGACAUUGCUUUUGUAGUAGGUCAAGGGGGCAAGAGCUCUGUCUUAGCUUCUGCUGCCAAGAAAUGGAAGGAUUUCAAGUCUACACUAACGAGGCAUUAUAUCCUUCCAUACACCAAUGACAGGGAGAGAUUAAGCCAACCCCCUGAAACAUAUAAAUUCAUAGAGAAAGCACAAUGGGAUGCCUUUGUAGCUUCAAGGCUAUCCAAAGAUUUUGAGUCUGUGCAUUCUCAACAUGCACAGAUUAGGGAGAAACUCGAGUACAAUCAUCGAUUGUCUCGAAAAGGAUAUGCUGGUUUGGAGGAUCAAUUAGAGGAAACCAUGCCUGGGGUAGAAAUUGAUCGAUCUACCUUAUGGAAGAGAGCUAGACAGGACAAACAUGGUAACAUCCCUGAUCCAAAGGUGGCAGAGAAAGCAAAAAUUAAUUGUAAGCCUACUCACUCUGUUUUAAAUUUUUAUUAAACUGUGAAUAAUUCUUAUUACGUCUUAUGUUAUAUUUUGCGUCGUGUGAAUGAUAUUACCACGUCGACAUUUUUUAAAACACGUCGUUAAAGGUCUAAAUAGGAAUCACAACUCUGUUUUCUGUAAUUAUAGCAUAAGAUGUCGGUGGUUCAAUUUCGCGUCGUCUGUAUUAAAUUACUACGUCGAAAUGUUUUAAACAACGUCGUUAAAGGUUUGAAUAUUGAAUCAUCCCUCUGUUACAUAAGACGUCGGUGGUUUAUUAAUUUCGUCGUUUUAAAAAACUAACCACGUCGGUAUAACUACCGUCGUGAUAAAUUAUAAUAACGUCGAUUUAUAUGUUAUUGCGUCGUGUGAAAUUAUAUAAUACGUCGUUUGUAUAUAAAUAACCGUCGUGUGUUUUUGUUCUUACUUUUUUAUAUAUCUUUGUUUCAGGAUGAUUUGCAAAAACAAGUCUUGGAAGGCAAAGUCACCGUCUCUGGCAGCAAUGAUGUGCUGACCAUGGCUUUGGGCCCCGAGCAUCCAGGCAGAGUCAGAGGAGUAGGUGCUGGGAUCUCACCAAAGCAAUAUUUCAAUUUACCCAAACCACAGAGAGUGAGCUUUGACGACCGUUUGAAGGACAGUUUAAGAGUUCUCCUUCAAGAAGAGACUAGAAAGAUGGAGGCUAAGGCAAGGGAAGAGGCUUUAAGGAUGGAGGCUAGAACGAAACAAUUGGUAGAGGCUGAGAGGGAGCAUUUCCUGAGUCAGCUUUCCCAAUUAAUUCCCAAUUUUGAUCCAAGCAUGCUUAAACCCAGAAUUAGCCAAAGUCCCAAAAAUCCAAUGUCUGACAAAGCAAGCUGCUCUGGAGGUGAUGUGAGAUCCCAGCAUUUUGAGGAUGAUACUGCCAAAAAUGGGAAACAUCAGGAAGAAAAGGUAACAUAUCUGAACUUUGAAUUCUCUGUUUUUUUAAAAACCAUUAGACGUCGUUAUUAUUAAUAAAACCAUCGUUUGAAAUACAUACCACGACGAUGUUAAAAAUAAACCGUCGUUUGUAUUUCAAUACCACGUCGUAUUUAGUUUACUUGUUUUACACGCCAUUAGACGUCGUUAUUUUUAAAACUUUGUGGUUUUUAGACGACGGAGUUAAUCAUUCCCGACGUCAUAGAUGAAGAGAAUAAAGAAGAAAAACAAGAUGAAAAGCAGAAAGAAGAUAACGACCAGGUAUGUUCACAUAAGUUUGCCUUUUUUAUUUGUUUUUCAAAAUUCCAGACGUCGAUAUUUUUCUUUAGACUGUCGUUUGUUUACAACUUAGACGGCUGAAUUGUUUUCUAAGACAUAAUAAAUAAUUCACCACGACGGUUUUUUCACCAUCGUUUAAAUUGUUUUCAGACGACGUUUUAUUCCUUAAACCGUCGUUUUUAUUGAAUUACCACGUCAUUUUUUUUAUUUCUUUAAACAGGUUAAUAAAGUUGUUGAUUAUUCAAAUAUGGAGGCGCCAUCUUNNNNNNNNNNNNNNNNNNNNNNNNNNNNNNNNNNNNNNNNNNNNNNNNNNNNNNNNNNNNNNNNNNNNNNNNNNNNNNNNNNNNNNNNNNNNNNNNNNNNAGUUGAUUUAAAAUGGAGGCGAUUCUUCUUUAAAAACCCUUUGUCGUUUUGUGGAAACGACACUCCUGCCUGAGGAUAAGACAGUCCAAUUUACAAUUGAUAAGGAGGUGUUUGGUGGUGAGCGCGAUACCUUCCUCCUGCCUGAAGAUAUUACACAAUUUGCAGGCAUGGAAGAAAUUGGAGCUACUGUAUUGGCUGUAUAUAUGAGGUUUGUACUUCUAAAAUAAUAACUCGUUGGUUUAUAUAUUGCGUCGUCUUAACUAACUAACCACGUCGUCUUAACUAACAACCGUCGUGAUAAAUAUAUUAUAACGUCCUCAUCUAUUUCAGUACGUCGUUUGAAAUAUUAUAAUACGUCGUUGUUUUAUACAUAACCGUCGUGUUUUGUGUGCUGACUUGUUUAUAUUAUUUUAUUUGUUUAGGUACUUACACGAUGUUUUGAAAAAAGCCAAUAUGUGCAGUAUGGUUGGCUUUAUCGACCCUGCUACAGUUAGUGCCAACUCUGGCACAAUAACUGCCAGAUCACGACUGGUAGCAGCUCGACUUCAGAAGACAGACGGUGAACAGAUUUUCAUAAUGCCUUACAAUCCAGGGUUAGUCUCCUUAGGAUUUUGUUUUUAUGAUUUUCAAUAAAUGACAGCUUAUAAACUAACCACGUCGGUGUUUUAUUUUAUUUAGUCGUUUGAAACUACUAACCACGUCGGUAUUUAUUUAUCGUCGUGAUAAAUAUAUAAUGUCGUCGUUAGCUACUUUACUUCGUCGUGUGAAAUACUAUAAUACGUCGUUUUUGUAAAUAACCGUCGUUUUUAUAUUAAUUUUGUGCAGCCGUCAUUGGAUUUUGCUGAUUGUAAGAGCAAAGAGAGAAACCGUCUAUUUUCUGGAUCCUCUGCCAGGAAAUCGUGUGGUCGAUGAAGAGGCCAAAAACAUCGUGAACAGUGCUUUAAAAUUAUAUAAUACCCACAUAGCCCGAGCAGGACGUAAAAAUGUAAUUUGGAAAACUCUCUCAGGCACACCAAAGCAACCCAGCAAUGUCGAAUGCGGGUAUUAUGUAAUGCGCUUCAUGAGGGACAUCAUCAUGGAUCCUUCCUUGGGGUUUGAGAAUAAGGUAAGAAGAAAUUACCUUCAUACAUUUCACGUCGUUUUUUGUAUUAUCAACGACGGUCGUGUAAAAUUAACGUCGUUGAAUGGAUAUACUACGUCGGUUAUGAAAAAUAUCGUCGUCUGUGAUUGAAUUUCUUUUUAUUAUAAACCCUAAUAGUCAUUGUUUAUGCAGUAUGCCAAGGGAAACCAGGAAGCUUCAUACCCCNNNNNNNNNNNNNNNNNNNNNNNNNNNNNNNNNNNNNNNNNNNNNNNNNNNNNNNNNNNNNNNNNNNNNNNNNNNNNNNNNNNNNNNNNNNNNNNNNNNNNNNNNNNNNNNNNNNNNNNNNNNNNNNNNNNNNNNNNNNNNNNNNNNNNNNNNNNNNNNNNNNNNNNNNNNNNNNNNNNNNNNNNNNNNNNNNNNNNNNNNNNNNNNNNNNNNNNNNNNNNNNNNNNNNNNNNNNNNNNNNNNNNNNNNNNNNNNNNNNNNNNNNNNNNNNNNNNNNNNNNNNNNNNNNNNNNNNNNNNNNNNNNNNNNNNNNNNNNNNNNNNNNNNNNNNNNNNNNNNNNNNNNNNNNNNNNNNNNNNNNNNNNNNNNNNNNNNNNNNNNNNNNNNNNNNNNNNNNNNNNNNNNNNNNNNNNNNNNNNNNNNNNNNNNNNNNNNNNNNNNNNNNNNNNNNNNNNNNNNNNNNNNNNNNNNNNNNNNNNNNNNNNNNNNNNNNNNNNNNNNNNNNNNNNNNNNNNNNNNNNNNNNNNNNNNNNNNNNNNNNNNNNNNNNNNNNNNNNNNNNNNNNNNNNNNNNNNNNNNNNNNNNNNNNNNNNNNNNNNNNNNNNNNNNNNNNNNNNNNNNNNNNNNNNNNNNNNNNNNNNNNNNNNNNNNNNNNNNNNNNNNNNNNNNNNNNNNNNNNNNNNNNNNNNNNNNNNNNNNNNNNNNNNNNNNNNNNNNNNNNNNNNNNNNNNNNNNNNNNNNNNNNNNNNNNNNNNNNNNNNNNNNNNNNNNNNNNNNNNNNNNNNNNNNNNNNNNNNNNNNNNNNNNNNNNNNNNNNNNNNNNNNNNNNNNNNNNNNNNNNNNNNNNNNNNNNNNNNNNNNNNNNNNNNNNNNNNNNNNNNNNNNNNNNNNNNNNNNNNNNNNNNNNNNNNNNNNNNNNNNNNNNNNNNNNNNNNNNNNNNNNNNNNACGUCGUACAGUAAAACAUACGACAUGGUUUACGCUUUAAACGACGUCAUUUUAAUAUGUAAGUCGGUUUAUAUAAUUUACAACGUUUUUAAUUUCUUAACACCGACGUGGUUUCUCAUUUUAACGACGUCAUUUUAACGACUUAGUAGUCUAUUACAAUUUACAACGUCUACAAUUUAUUUAACACCGACGUGGUUUGUUGUAUGGUAAGAAUAUUUUAUUAUUUUUAUAUCAAAAUAUUCAAAAUAAAUAUAAAAUAAAUCAGAAAAUUGAAAAGUCAACUCCUAUGAAGUCAUUGAUAUAUUUUCUUCCACAUAAACCUUGAAAAAAUUCAUUUUGAAUAACAAAAAUUUAAAAUGACCAUCCAAAACAAAAUUGUUUUGAUGAGUCAUAAAAUCACUUCUAGUUUAAUGGUUUAGGGUUUAGAGUCUAGGGUUUAGAGAUUAGUGUUGUUAUUUAUUGGGGUUUAUUUUUAAAGUAUAAUUUUUGGGUAGUCUAUGUUAUAUGUUAGGCUUUAAAACCAUAAAACCUUUUAUAAACUUAAUUUUUUAAAUUGUAUAAUUUAAUUUUAUGGGUUUAGUGUAUUAAUUUUUAACGACGGUGGUUGGGUCGUGGAAUACAUAUUUUACGUCGUACAGUAAAACAUACGACAUGGUUUACGCUUUAAACGACGUUAUUUUAAUAUGUAAGUCGGUUUAUAUAAUUUACAACGUCUUUAAUUUCUUAACACCGACGUGGUUUUUCAGUCGUCGUUAUAUAAAAAAUUCAAAAUAAAUUUAAAAUUAAUCCGAAAAAUGAACGGCCUUACGUUCUUAAUCCGAAAAAUGAAGUUUCCGUCGUGGAAUAUUAAAUUUACGUCGGUACUUGUAGAACUUUCGCCUUGAUUUUUCUUUCGACGUUUUAAAGAGCGCGCGCUCUCAAAAUUUUCGCGCGUCCUAAAUUUUUUUAUAUUUGGCUCUUAAUCUUAUUUUUCUAACCCUGAACCUAAAAUUUCAGAUUUCACGCGACAUAACAUUUCGCUCUCUCACUUCUGCUCUAAUUAAAAGUUGCACUCUCCAGGCUCGUCGAAUCUGUGAGCUCGUCCAACCUGUAAGUACAAACCCUAUCUUCCCCUUGUAAAUUCAUUGAAUGAUAUUAGGUUGUUUUGUUAAAGGGUUUUAGGUAUAUGCUUUGCGAUCUGUUAAUAAUGUGCUUAUAAGUAUGGGUUCAUGGAUUUUCUGUUUAAUGGGUUCAUGGAUUACAUUAUCUGUUAUGUUGAAUUGGGAAUGGAUUUAAUUUUGUCGGAUCUUUUAAUCACCCUAUGUUAUGUUGAAUUGGGAAUGGAUUUAUUGUUUUCAUGCUUGGUUUCAUGUAUAUGUUGUUUUCUUGCUUGGUUUCAUAUAUAUGUUGUGUUCUUAAUGGGUUUUGGGUUCUUGAAAAUAAACUGAGACACGACGCCUUUUUAGGCAUACGACGACGAUUACACGACGGUUUAUGAAAAAACCGUCGUUGUAUUACUUAUACACGACGGUGUUUUCAUAUACCGUCGUUUGUAUUACUUAUAUUAGACGAUGUCUGUUGAAAAUCCGUCGUCUAUAUAUGCCAAAUACGUCUGUUUUUGUUUAAAACCCGUCGUCUCUGUUGUGUAUUACUUGCUAUUAGAUCUUUGUAUAAUCUGCUAUAGUGAUGGUCAUUGCCUGUAUUUUCACUUUAUUAUAGAUAAUAGGUUAUAGUGUCGGAGAUGGAUAAGUCAUGGAUGCACUCGGAUAGAAGAUCGAAGGCAUAUGAGUUUGGGUUGGAAGCAUUUUUGAACUUUGCUGUAGAAAAUCUUCUAACUACAACACAUAUCCGUUGUCCAUGUGUUAAAUGUGUUAAUUUGAAGUUGUUUGGGGUUGGAAUUAUAAGGGAUCACUUAUACUUUAAUGGAAUUGACCAAAGCUAUAAGAAUUGGACAUUUCACGGAGAACCUUGGGAAGCAACUACUAAUGCUAGUAGAAAUGUUGAAGAAGAUGAUGGCCAUAGUAGGUACAGUUUUGUGUCUGAAGAAAUUGAUAUGGAUGAUAAUGAUUUUGGUUCCGAUCCGUAUGAGUUUGCCAAUGUGAUUGGGGAUGGAGAUCAACCAGUGUACCCUGGUUAUAGAAAGUACACGAAGUUAUCGGCAUUAGUGAAGUUGUAUAAUUUGAAGGCAAAACAUGGGAUGAGUGAUGUCUGUUUUACUGAAUUAUUGAUACUUCAAGGCGAUUUGCUUCCAGAAGGAAAUACAAUACCAACCUCUACGUAUGAGGCUAAAAAGACUUUGUGUGCAUUGGGGCUGAGUUAUGAGAAAAUGCACGCAUGCCCCAAUGAUUGCAUCUUGUAUAGGAAGGAGUAUGAGGAUUCAACUAAUUGUCCUACUUGUGGUAUCUCAAGGUGGAAGGAAGGCAAAGAUUCAAUCUUGAAAGAGGGUGUGCCAGCGAAGGUGGUGUGGUAUUUUCCUCCAAUUCCAAGGUUUAAAAGGAUGUUUCAAUCACAUGAGACAGCUAAGAGUUUGACUUGGCAUGCUGCUAGAAAAUCAAUUGACGGUCAGAUGUCUCAUCCGGCGGAUUCCCCGUCUUGGAAACUUCUUGAUGAUAAAUGGCCUGAGUUUGGUAAUGAGCCGAGAAACUUGAGAUUGGCUCUUUCAUCUGAGGGAUUCAAUCCCCACAGUUCUCUAAGUAGCAGAUAUAGUUGUUGGCCGGUUAUCUUAGUUACAUAUAAUCUCCCUCCAUGGCUGUGCAUGAAACGAAAGUUCAUGAUGUUAACCUUAUUGAUUUCCGGUCCUAAACAACCCGGAAAUGAUAUAGACGUCUACUUGGAGCCUUUGAUUGAUGAUUUAAAAUCUUUGUGGGAUGGGAUUAGAGGAGUGUAUGAUGCACAUAAUGGAGAAUACUUUACACUCAGAGCUGCAUUAAUGUGGACAAUUAAUGAUUUCCCCGCCUAUGGAAACUUAUCUGGUUGUGUUGUUAAAGGAUAUAAAGCUUGUCCAAUAUGCGGCGAUGAUACACCUAGUCACAGGUUGAAAAAUGGCCACAAAAUUUGUUACGUUGGGCAUAGAAAAUGGUUACCAAUCAAUCAUCCAUAUAGAAGGCAACGUGCAGCUUUUAAUGGGAAACCUGAAUAUGGCAUACCUCCCGAGCCAUUAACCGGAGAAGAAGUGCUGCAUAUGGUUGAAAAUGGUGACAGAGUUUGUUGGAAGAAGAAGUCAAUAUUCUUUGAUCUCGAGUAUUGGAAAUACCUUCCUGUGAGGCAUGCCCUAGAUGUUAUGCACAUUGAGAAGAAUGUUUGUGAUAGUAUCAUUGGUACAUUGCUGGAAAUCCCUGGAAAAAAUAAAGAUGGGAUUGCUGCUCGAUUAGAUUUAUUGAACAUGGGGGUCAAACCUGAUUUGCAACCCGAGUAUGGAGAAAGACGUACUCGUUUGCCUCCUGGGCCUUGGAAUUUGUCAAGAGCAGAGAAGAGAGAGGUUUGCAAUUCUUUCUAUGGUAUGAAGGUCCCUGAAGGUUAUUCUUCAAAUAUUAAAAAUCUUGUAUCUUUACAAGAUUCAAUACUUCUUGGCCUUAAAUCACAUGAUUGUCAUACCUUAAUGCAACAAUUGCUCCCUGUGGCAAUUCGUUCUGUUUUGGAGAAGCCUGCAAGGUAUGCAAUAACUCGUUUGUGCUUCUUCUUCAAUGCUAUAUGUGCAAAGACUGUUGAUGUUUCCAAGCUAGAUAAGUUGGAAGAAGAUGUAGUAGUUACUCUGUGUUUGCUUGAGAAGUACUUUCCCCCUUCAUUCUUUGAUAUCAUGGUUCAUCUAGUAGUACAUCUUGUCAGAGAAGUUCGUCUAUGUGGGCCAGUAUAUUUUAGGUGGAUGUAUCCGUUUGAAAGAUAUAUGAAAGUGCUGAAGGGGUAUGUUCAGAAUCGUACUCGUCCCGAAGGUUGCAUUGCUGAGCGGUAUAUAGCUGAAGAAGCGGUAGAGUGUUGUACUCAGCAUUUAUCUGAUGUUAGUACAGUUGGAGUGCCUUCAAGCCAAAAGAUGAGACUUUCAAAGCCAUUAUCAGGUUGCACAGUCAGCGUAGUUGAUCAGGACCUGUUGAAUCAAGCACAUCUAUAUGUCUUGGAGAAUACGGAGGAAGUCCUACCUUAUAUCGAGUACGUAUGAGCUUUAUUCUUUAAGUUUCCAUUUUAAAUUAUUUCUUAUGUUUAUCUUCUAUAUUUAGGACCGUAAUGCUUGAAUUUUUCGUGUCAUGUAGGCAACAUAUGAUUCACAUCAAGACUGCUUAUCCAAAAUUUAGAAAGGGAACAAAGUGGCUGCAGGAUAAGCACAAUAGCACUUUCAUUCAAUGGCUACGCUUCAAGGUAUAUGUUGUUGAAUAACAUAUUUCUCUUUUAAUUUUCUUCUUAUUUAUAUGUUAGAUUGAAUUAAGAUAUGAUUAAUUUGCAGGUUCAAAGUGAACUUGAGGAAGACAAUCAUGGCGUAUCAGAAAAUUUAAGGUGGCUAGCAACUGGUCCAAACAUGUCAGUGCCAUUAUAUAGGAGCUAUCUUAUUAAAGGUAUUAAAUUCAAUAUCAAGGCACAAGAUGAUGUGCGGACAACUCAAAAUAGUGGAGUUUAUUUACUUGCACAUACCAUGCAAGUUGCUAGUGCCAAGGAUAAAAACCCAAUUCUCUCAAAUAUGGGUUUCUAUGGUGUCAUUCAAGAAAUUUGGGACCUUGACUACCAAAAGUUUACAAUCCCAGUCUUUAGGUGUGAUUGGAUAGAUAGUUCUGGUCUUGUAGUCGACGAACUUGGAUUUACCCUUGUAGAUUUGAGUAAAAUUGGACAUAGGAAUGACCAAUUUGUUUUGGCUUCUCAAGUCAAACAAAUAUUUUUUGUUGACGACCCGAUGCAUCGUGGUUGGUCGGUAGUGUUAUCAAUGCCUAAUAGAGAAUAUAAUGAUGUUAUUGGUGAUGAAGUCUUAGGUGAUGUGAUAAUUGAGUGUGAGCCAUUUACUAGAGGGAUGCCAAAUGUUGACACAUUUGAUGAACUGGUAGGUGAGUUAGGCGGUCAAAAUAUUCGAGAUGGGUGUGAAGAUAUAUGGAUUGAAUGAUGCUUAUGUAAUUGGCAGUGUAUGACAUUAAUUUUGUAAUAUAUUGUAAUGCGAUUUCUUCACUUUCUACGUUCAAAUAAAACACGACGUUAUUGUGAAUCAGUUAUUCAGCAUAUUUACCGACGUCUUAAAGCAACGUAACAAUGAAGAACCACGACGCUAUUGUGAAGCAAUUAUUCAGGAUAUCACGUCGGUGAAGGAUUAAGAACCGCCAUGUAAUUCAGAAUAACAUGACUCCAAUCCCAUAAUACCGACGUCUUAAAAAUGAGAUAUAUAAUCUGAACAUUAAAAAAUACGACGUCAUCAUACAUUUUCCACGUCGCAAGUUCUUUUAUAAACGAAGAGGAACGAAAUGAAUUCCGACGGAAAUUCAUUAUAACCGCCGUCUAAUAACAAUUAAACGACGUUAUUUGUAAUACGGCUCUCAUCAUAAUCUACGCCGUCUAUAUGUUCUGUAAUACGGCUCUCAUUUAUUUGGAACCGACGUUGUUUAGAAGUUCAACGUCGUCUAUAUAUUAAGUGCGUCGUGAGUAAUGAAUACAUAUACAUACAACGUCGACUAUAUAAAUGUAUACGUCGUAAUAAUGACACUGACAACUAUUCCACGUCAUUUUAGAAAAUCGAAGUGAAAAAUUUAUUUCACGACAGUUUUUGUAAAUAAGAGACGUAGUAGAUUUCAAUAACGUCGUCUUCUCAUGUAUUUAAAGACGUCAUAUUUUUUCUUGUUGUGUAAAUUAUAUUUAACGGCGUAGUAUUUUAGUUGUCGUCGUUGUAUGUAUAUCUUGCGGCCUUGUUCUUUUAAUAUGUGUCAUAUUUUUCCUUUUUAAAGACGGUGAUUUUUUUGAGUUGGUCGUCUAUUCUCAUCCUCGACUAUUUUCUAGAACUUUAGCAGACUAAACACGUCUGUUUUUAUUUUUUCCGACGUUGUUUUAUUUAACAACGUCUAAUAUUUAUCGUCGUUGUUUGUUUCUGAAAAUAGGACGUAUAAAUUUUGUAAUACGACUCUCAUAUAUUUGUAACCGACGUUGUUUAGUUUUUCAACGUCUACUCUAUAAACAUAUACGUCCUAAAUAAUGACACUGACAACUAUUUCCACGUCAUCUUUUAUCGAAAAAUCGAAGUGGAAAAUUAAUUUUACGACGGUUUUUUUUAUAUAUGCGACGUAGUAGGUAUCAAUAACGUCGUCGUCUAAUGUAUUUAAAGACGUCAUAUUUUUUAUUAUCGUGAAAAUUAUAUUUAACGUUGUCGUAUUUGUAUUUUGGUCGUUGUAUGUCUAUCUUGCGGCCUUGUUCUGUGUCAUAUUUUUCCUUUUUAACGACGGUGGUUUUAGAGAGUUGGUCGUCUAUUAUCAUCCUCGAUUGCUUUUUUUAGAUCUUUUUGCAGUACAAAGACGUCGUUUUGUAUUUGUUGAUGACGUUGUAUAUUUUAACAACGACGGUUAUUUAGCGUCGUGGUUUAUGAGGGAAAAGAUGACGGUGGAUUCCACGACCAUUGAAAAACCCAAUACACGACGGUGAUUUACCGUCGUCUUUUUGCUUUUUUGUAGUAGUGGAGACUCAAGAUAUGAUUGCUUGUUUAUAACUAGCUUAAUUUUUGUUAUGACCAUAUUAUUGACAAUAUAUUUAUUUUUAAUGGAAUACUUUAUUUAUUUUAUAAUUAAAAUAAUCUUUAGCUAAGGUAAUGACCUCUCAAAGCAUGGCAUGUGGAUGAUCUAGUCUAACUAAUUGCUCGGUCAGUUACGGUACUAACAAGUUUUGAUAUGGUACGAUCUUAUUUGUAAUUAGCAGUUCCAUUAUCAAGCUAGAGACCAUGUGACGGGCAGACAACAAACCUGCAAAGCUUGGAGUGCAAUAAAUAUUCCAUUCUCACUUCACUUGUGCAGUGUGUUGAACUCCAAUUUUACUAGUAGCCAAGCUCACGAGAAGGGACUAGGGAUGAUAAUGGGUCGGGUAGGGGCCGUGUAUGACAAUACCAUCCUCAUCUCUGGCCUCAUUCCCGAACCCAUCCCCAUUUAAUAGGUUUUGGGGAAUCUUCGUCCCCGUCUCCGUUGGGGGACUAUCUCCCAUACCCGCCCCGAAUCCCCUUUUUUUUUUCUUUUUUUUUUUUUGCAUAAAUUUUUUUUAUCAUACAUUUUAACAUUAAGUUUCAUAUUAAUUUAUCAUUCAACACAUCCAAAUUAACUAUAAAGUUCAACUCAACUAUUCAAAAUCACUUCAAUAUGAAAUUCCAAAGAAGAUUAGGAAGAAUUAGGAGAGGGAGGUAAACUUAGGGUUAAACAUAAAUAUUAUAAUUAUUUAUUUAUUUAAAUAUAAACAUAUCUAUUUUCAGGUCGGGUUCGAGGAUGGGCACCCCAAUAUCAUCCCCUUCCCAUACUCGUCGGGGAUUUUUCAUGUUCAGGGAUUCCCAUACCCGAUACCAAUUUGGCCCCGAAAUAUCCCCCUGUUAGGGUCGGGGACCCGCACCCAUGGGGAUAUUUGUGUUUGGGGGCUGUUGAAAAUCACGGCCGGAUUUGAAGUUUGCAAAGAGAUAGCGGCCGGGCAGUUCGAGUGGAGCUAGAAAUCUCGGCUGGGAUUGGAGAAGUUCGCGGGCAGAGGUGUUGGAGAUCUCGGCCGGGAGUCGUUUGAAGUGCGGCUGGUUGGGCUGUGCUCGAAAGUGGCUAGGCACGGCCGAGACUUGGGAUAUCUAGGCCGGGUUUCGAAGGAGUAUUGCAAUCGAGAUCUGGAGCGGCCAGAGAUGCCCAAGAGAUGCUCAAGAUAGAUUUUUCGGGCAGAAAAAUAUGCGGUUGGGUUUUGUUAGUAAUUGCGAAUUGGCUGAAGGAUUCAUAGGUCAAAAAACUAAUUGUUAUAUAUAUAAGCAAAGAUUUGAGAGGUUUUUAUUUGCAAGCUGCCCACUUAUAUAUAUAUAUUAACUUGGGAGUUCUAGGAAUUCAAAGGUUAGGAGGGGCAUCCCUAUAUUAUUUCAAAGGUUCGGAGGUCCAAGUCCAAGCCAUGAAUUCGAGUCCAAGAUCUCCAGAAGGAUUAUGGGCACGUGACGGAGGCUUCACAAAGAAGGAAAUCAAGGAUGACGAUAAUGACUCCGAAAGUUCCAAAGCAGGAAAGAAUCAAGCAUGUCAGAAUAUUUCCAUCAAUGCAUUCCUAUGGAUUUAGGGGGGCCUUGGAAGGAAAGAAGUUUUAAAAGAGUUGAAUGCAACAACUGUACAGCAAGCUUCAACCGAUGAAAGGGCAUGGCGUCAUGGAAAAUCUUGGCCAGGUCUACAUUCGAGGUUAGAAACUCACAGUAUUUUGAGGAUGUACAUUCCACAGUCGCCCCUGAAACAUAGCGAAGAAGUUGUGAUUCAUUGUACAACAAAUCCAUUUCAUAAGACAAUGUGGUUAGGUGGAAUAUUACUCACCCGCCUACUUGUUGGGGUGCAUCCAUGACGCGAAUAACUGGCCACUCACUUUUCAGAAGUAGACUGUCGCCAAUAUAUCCAGAUUCCUUUAACAACCGGGGCAGAAUUUUCACCACCGGCUGCACGGCCCGUUGGAUGGCUUGAGUUCUGCACAGAUCUACUUUUGAAUCAUAUGCCCUUACCUCACACUCUUUUAAAUCGACAACAAAUAAGAUCCAGUGCUUCUGCCUUUGUAGGUUGAAGGGAAAACAAACGCGAUUCACACAAAACCAUGAUUUAGCCAACUUAGGCCCUUCGCCCUUGACCAUUCCUAGUAGACCCUUGCUGUGCUGCCUAUCCUCCUUUCCCACAUACACCUUCAUUUGCUUGUAAUCCAAGGCAGCACAUUUCUGCAUAGUGGCACACGAGUUAUGCAUCAUAAUGGAUACCGAAUUUGAAAAUAAACAAUGCUUAAGAAAUAAUACAGACCUGAAAAGUGGUGUCCAGUAUCGUCCAGUCAUAACCUACCCAGUUGCUAGAGCUCUUGUGCCGCUCCCAUAGGAAAAGCAAGGCCAUGUCUAUGUUCUACAUAACAGGGUUGUUUCCAUUAUUAAAUCAAUAAAUCACUACAUAGCAUGGACAUUUCAAAAAAUCCCCAAAUCAAUAAAUGCUUACCGAGUUAUCCAACCAACCAUCCUUGGUCAGCAAUCGAACAAAGAAGUUAUGCGAACCUUCCAUACCGUCUCCUCCACAUAACACACAUGUGAACUACAUUUGUGAAUCAUUAUUAUUAUUAAUUCCAUUUCACCAUUCACUCAAUAACUAAUCAUAAUAAACCAUUUACAUUUCACUAAGCAGGGGUAGUGGGAACUUACUUUUCUUCUUGUCCCCAUUCCAAGCAAACCAAAAGGGAAUCACGAGGAACAUGCCUUAGGGGGUCAGCAAUGGUGUCCUAUGAAAUGUUAGGAAUCUCCCGACCUGUCCAUGGAGUUUCCCUCACCACUGCCCUUUGCCUCUUCAUUGCAGGGCCAAGAAUCUCACUCUUUCCCCGACCCCUCUUUUGUCGAACCCCAACUAUAACAUCUUCGCCACAUUCACCCUCAACAGUGGACAUGUCAAUCUUUCGAGGAGGAUUCGUAAGAAAUUUAACAAGGGUGACACACACCACACCCGGGUCUCCCAAUUUAUAUAAUGUAAAAAACAUCUCCAAAGCAGUCGAAUUUGCAGCAUCUACUGUUGCAACCAUUCCUCGUUUUUCAGAACUAUUGCCACUCGAGGAAUUCAUAGCUUCUUUACGGGAUUUCAAAACCAAAGGAAAACCUACAGAAUAGAAAUGGAAAGUACAUAAAGUUCCAAGAGAUCAAUUACUACCAACUAUGAUGUGUAUAUUCUAUCAAGGGCACAACCAACGUUAGUGUAAUGUCCAUAUAUCAACUUUGUAUUAAAGAAAUAUUCACCAUUCACCCAUCUCUGUUCUGUGUCAUCGACAUAACCCGACCAUUUUUUUGGUGAUGAAAUAUAGUAGCAUUACUUACAGUAACUUCUUGGUUUUUGAUCAGAGAAAUGUACUUCAUAGAAACAUGACAAUCAAUGCAAACAAUUAUAUUCUUCAUCACCCUUACUAGUGCACUCUCAGGAGUGUUCAAAAAGCCAAAAGCAAUGAAACCGAUACAGAACUGGUGAGCUAUGAAACCUAUUUCAAAAUUCAAAACAAAAUGAACUACAUAAAAAACUGUCCUUUUACUCUCAUAUUGCAAAUUAUUUGCUCGUGAAAUUUUUUCCAGAAACUUAUUUCCUUUCCUUUCAAACAUCUAUUAUCUCUUGAAAACGUCAAAAGAGUUUUUUUCAUUUUUUAUUUUAUUAUUUUUAAAAUAAUUAAACAAAAAACAAAAAAACGCCAUGAAGACAUGCAUGCAUAUUGGAAGAAAACAUUAUAACCGCUGAAAGAAAAGUAAACAAAAGUGUCUUACUGCAUGCAUAUCUGCAUGAAAGAAAAACAUGCAGAAUAAAGUAGUGCCUUCCACUGUUCCACAUACAAUUCUCACUACAAUUUUCUUUCUGUUUACCCUAAAAUAAACAUGCAGAUUUGAACUUUUGUUUACCCUUCUUUCCGUUGACUUUUAUUUACGCUUUCUUCCCGUAAAAAAAUAUUUAUCCAAUAAGCCCCUAAUUAAUUUCUGUAUGAUAUUCCAAAAUCCUUUUAUAGGUACAAAGUGUUUCAAUAUUACAUAGUCUCUAAUUUCUUGUAGAUGGAAUUAUGAGGUAGGAAUCAAAUAAAGCUAAAAAUCCUACAGAGUUGCGCCCUCAACACCCUUCUAAUUGCACGUGUGUUUUGCAAAGAAAUUUAUUUCAUCAUUGCUUACUAUUCUCAUGCGCAGUACGUAUACUUCUUCUAUAUGAAGCCCAUGCAGCAUGCCAGCCAGUGCCAACUUAUAUUUCCAUCAUUUCAUCACUGCUUUUAUUGAUCAUGGUAUUUAUAGGUUUAACAUCUUAUGUCUUCGUUGAAAACAUAAUACCACAAAUUACAUGAACAUGGUAUUAAUAAUCGAUUCAUGAAUUAAUGCUGGUGGAAUAUUAAAGCACGCCAGAACCCCAUUUUUUUGUUUUUGUUUUUUUUGUUUUUUGUUUUUAAAUUUGAGAAACAGUAGAGAUUCAAUUGAAGUACAGGACACAAACCCAAAAUACAACAGUAAGAACACAGCCCCAAAAGGAGGUUCUUGCUAUUCAGAGACGGUAACAACAUCACCAACUACUCACAAGUAUUACAAGAUAGUUAGAAAACAAAUAUACAACUUGGAACCCAACUAACAAGGAGUUACAGAUGAGAAGUACCCAAAUCCCUACAGCAACCAAUGCUCUUACUCAGUUAAUGUGUAAUUGCUCUAUUAUUAUUAAUAAAAGUAAAAUUAAUUAGAAGUUAGAAAGAAAAUAAAUGAACACCUGCAUUUCAAUACAGUUUUGUAACUUAAACCGUAAGCAUGACUUUACAACAGGCUAUGUAGUACAUAAUUCUUGUAUGCAACAGAUUCCUUGUACAAAACCAUAUGAUACAACAAACAUAACAAUAAUUCAUCCAUUUUGUCCAGCCCAGUCAUUUAACUCCCGGCUUUGUCAUCGAGAGAACUGGCUGAAACUGCAAGAGACUCAACAAGAUAUGAUUGCUUGUUUACGACUAGCUUAAGGCCCCAAUUGGGAUUACUUUUUUUGGCCAAAAACAUGCUUCACUUUAAAGUUAAGCAGUUUAAGGUGUUUGGUAAAAAUAAAAUAUCCUGAUUAUUUCAAAAAUAGUGGCAUUUUGACAGCAGCUUUUAAAAGCAGACUCUGAGUUGCUUUUCAAAGCUGCUUUCAAAAGAAGCAGAGAUGAACUUUUAAUGAAUUUUUUUAAUUCCCAAAAAACCAUCAUUCAUUUUAAAAAAUGACACCACCGCCACUUCCACAUCCAACUCCACCACUUGCACCACCACAUUCACUACCUCCACAACCACCGCCACCACAACCAUAACCACCACCUCCUCCACCACCUUCACCACCACCUCCUCCACCUCCACCACCACCACCACAACCACCUACUCCUCCAAAACCUCCACAUCCACUACCACCUCCACAACCACCACCAUGCUGCCACUACCACUGUAAUAACCCAAACAAAAUAUCCUAAAAUUAGUAUUAAUUUAUUCUAGCGAAAAGACGACUUUGUCCUCACCUCUUUUAAGAGGGGGAAAAGUUGACUUUUUGACCGAGAAGGAAUUUGGGAAUUUCGUUUACGCCGUUGCGUAGAGCACGGCGAAACGAGUUCGUAGACACGGAGUAGACCCGAAUCAGAGUUGUAACGAAGGAGUUAUAGUCAAAAGAGUCUCAGUGGCAGAACCGUAAAUAUUUCGAAGUUCAGUUUUAUAAACCCAGUUUUUCUUCCUUGCGACCAUUUGGACGAGCCAACUUCAGACAGCGGUUUCUCCCAACACGGGCCGCUGUUUCAGGCGAUACCGGUCCCAAACGAACCACCUCACUUCCCUCUAUCAGUUCUGCCCCACCUCAGCCUCCAUCCGCUACUGCAGUAGCCGGAAACAGCCACGAAACAGGCCGGUUUCAACAGUUUUUCUGGAAUUUUUGGGAGCUCGUUCUCCCUUAAUUCUUUUCCGAAUUGGACGAGUAAGGUAUGGUUUUCUACCUAUUUUCCAUGCUCUAGCUGUUGGUUGAGUAGGAUUUCGUUAAUUUUGAGCGUAGUUCAACUGAAUUCCAACUUAGGUUUUUGCCGGUUUUGGGUCUCCGAUUCCGGCCACCUCCGGCCAUUUUUUGGGGGUUGUCCAAGAAUAAAAGUGACUCCAAAUGGGGUGUUUUACCUAGGGUAGGAUUUUGGAGUCUCGGUUCCAAGAUUUUUUCCGGCACACCCGAUCGCUUUGGACACCCGAUCGGUCCGCGCGUGUGGCGGCGCGUGGGCCAGGGUGGUGGCACGGCUCUGGUCCGUUUUGAGACCCUCGUGCCAUCACGAGCGCGUAGGAUUUUGCGGAUCUCAAUUCGGAGUCCGUUUGAGCCCCGAACGGAUUUUCCAUAUUAUGCGAUCCCCGGUUGCAGCGUCGUCUAGCCGUUGGAUCGCACCCCAUUUCGGAUAUGUUGUUCUACAUUGUUUCAGGAUAGCGUAGGAUUCGACGGAUUGCAAAUCGGAGUCCCGGAUACUCCGGAAUCACGAACCCUGGGGCUAGGGUUAGGGUUUUAAGCGAUAGCGCGAUUUUGGCCAAUCCGACCGUCCAUUUCGGACCAAACUCGCAGGACAUGGGUUUUACACAGUGAGGAACCUCUAGAGAAUCCCAGAUCGGCCAUCGGAGAUCGUGGACCCCACGGGGUUCCGGAUCGGCCGGUCUAACAGUUUAUCGCUCGGUAAGGUUUCCGGUCUUUUAAGGCCAUUCUAAUUAUCUGAAAUGCUACAGUGGUCAUAGAGUUGACUUUACAAUGAGAGCACGCAUUUCUAGGAGCCGGGGGUCAGGGUAUUUAAUUUAAUGUUUUUAUUGAGCAGUUUAGUAAUUGAAUAUUCAUGGUUAAACAGGCAUCAGAGGCCAAACUGAACCACAGGAGGGACCUUCAAGAGGUCCAGCUAGCUCGGACCAGCAGUGAGUGGACCUUUCUUUUUUAAAUAAUUUUCUGAAUCAGUUUUAUUCAGUGUGAUUUAUUCCUAUGAAUUUAAAGGUUCCUUCUAUACAUUGCUUAGCUGAUUUUGCUAAAGUUAUUUGGACAACAGACUUUGAGAUUUAUGAUUCAGAAAUAUCUAGCUCAGAUUUUAUCAGAAUACAGAGGAUGUCAGAUUUUAUCCAAGAUAAUUAUUUUAGACCACCAUGAAUUAUAGAAAGCAGAGUUUGAGUUUUCUAUCAGAUAAAAAGGGCAGCACAGUUAUAGAUUGAAUAAAGAUUCAGUUAUUCAUCAGAUCUUUCAGAAAUAUUAUGAUAUUUAUAUUUGAUAUUUUCUCAGCAGUUAAUAUUUUCUUAAACCACUGUGGAUACCCGGUUAUAGAAACAGGUUGCCGUCAAAUAAGACGAUGUCUACGGACAUCCAGAUUGCCUUUGGUUUAUGUUGCCUUCGGAUAUGAUGAUGUCUACAGACAUCCAGUUUACUUUCAGUUACGUCAGUGCACUUGACAUUUGCCUCACGAGUUUUGGGGACGCCCGGACAGUGAGUGCCAGGAUUGCGAAUCAGGCUGACUACGGUCUCCUGAAUCCUGCCAGGAUUGCGAAUCAGGCUGACUACGGUCUCCUGAAUCCUGCCAGGAAUUGCGGAUCAGGCUGACUACGGUUUCCUGAAUCCUGCCAGGAAUUGCGGAUCAAGCUGACUACGGUCUCCUGAAUCCUGCCAGUUUGCGGCUCGGAUACACUAUGUGUCGCCGAGACCUGCCAGGGGAAUUGACGAAUUUACAGAAAAAUUGACGGAUACCAGGAAUUGACGGAAAUUAAAUGGGUACACCCAGUUGGUAACUUUAGAGGAAUGUCAGUGCAAUUAUGCAAAUAUUGAUUUCAGUGAUUUUACUUGAGUUUCUUAAUAUCGAGCAGUAACGGUAUAUAUAUGUUUACCUAAAUGCUUUGGACUUAUCAUAAUUCAAGUGCAGUUUAAAUAUUCAGUCGUAUGAUUAUCAUUAUUUUUACAGUGGGGGUUAUUAUGUUCAUAUACUGUUUUCUAGAACUUUAUUUUGGUCCACUCACACUUUGAAAUGUUUUGCGCCCCCCAGGCAGUCGAGUGUGCAGGAAUCCACCACCAGGCCUUCUCCUAGCUCCCACGCUACUUCCAAGCUGUAGGAUUUCUUGUAACCUACUUAAAUUCUUGUAAACAAUUAGUAACUGCUCUGAUAUCUGGUUGGAUUAGAUAACCAGAACUGGUGAAUAUUUAAUUACCCUAUUCUGGUAGUUGGUGUGGAUUUAUCAGUUUGUUUGACAGGUGGAAAAUUUGGGUUUAGUCAAAUUACAGGGGAGUCUCUGCCGAAAUUAAAGCAGGAGUCCAGAGAAGGUUUUAACCAUAUUUAUCUCCAGGAAGGGUAAAGAGGUCAUUGUGCCCGACAAUUGCCAGGUGUCGGACACGCACAGGGCUUGGCUCGAAUUCCAAAGCGGAAAUUGGGUCGGGUCCUGUCAACCACCCCCACCACCACCACCACCACCACUACCACAACGACCAACUCCACCUUCAUCACCACCACUACCUCCACUCCAUCACUACCACUACCACCACAUGAUUAGUACAUAACACUUUUAACAUCAUGUCCAUUUUAGUCAUUAUUCACAGUUACAAUAAAUUUAUGUUAAAAUUUACCAAACGGUUUUUACACUGCUUUUUGUACUAACAACACUUUAAAAUAUUGUUUACCAGACAUGGAGCUGCUUUACUUUACAGCUAAUUAUUUUCAAAGCACAGCAGAAGCAACUUUUUUUUUUUAAAAGUGACACCAAUUCCAAACUAGGCCUAAUUUUUGUUAUGACCAUAUUAUUGACAAUAUAUCUAUUUUUAAUGGAAUACUUUAUUUAUUUUAUAAUUAAAAUAAUUUUUAGGGUGUGAUGGAAACAUAUUUAAUACAAAAAAAAUAUAUAAGAUAAAGUGAAAGUGCUUUUCCUUUUACCAAACACUUGAACAGAAAAGUCAUUUCAACAUAAUGCCCUUUUUAUUCAUUAUACACAACCCACAAUACUUUCACACAAAAAUUUACCAGACACUUACAAACUGAUUAUUGUACAAACAACACUUAUAACGAAAAUUUUACCAAACACCAAACAGCUUUCUCUCAUAGCAAAUCUGAAAGCGAUUAUUUUCACACCACAGCAAUACCAAACUGGCACUUAGGCACUUAAUUAAGGACUUAAUUAGCGGGCAGCAAUGCGGACACUACGCAGUACAACAGUCUCCACGGUUAGCCCUGGCCCGAUCCCAAUCAGAACACCCCAUUCCAGCCCUUCACCAGUCGUGGCUUUUCCUUCCUCCAUUGACUUCUUCCUCAUCUCAUCGAGAAUAAACAAAACUGAUGGAGCUCCCAUGUUCCCAUACUCCCUCAAUACGUGCCUGGUUGCUCUCAGCUUCCCCUCAUUCAGACCCAGUUUUUCUUCAACCUUGUCUAAAAUGGCCGGUCCACCUGGGUGAAUGCUAUAGAACAGCGAGUUCCAAUCAUUAUUUAUCCCAUCAAUUUCGCUAAACCCUUUUACCAAAAGCUCCUCAAUGUUUGCACCAACCAACUUUGGCACAUCUGGUGAAAGAUAAUACUCAAAACCCAUUUCACGCAAGUGUGCCACCACGCCAUGCUCCGAGUAUGGGACAAUAGUCCCUCUCGUUGACAUAAUCUCAAACACCUGGCGUUCGUUAAUUUUGGGGUCAGGAUUAGCACCAACAAUUAAAGCGGACGCACCAUCUGAAAACAAAGCCUGUCCUACCAAAACAUCCACAUGGCUCUCAGUGGGUGCUUGAAAAAACAUAGUUGUGAUCUCACAGCACACCACCAGAACGCGUGCGCCGGGGUUGUUUUCUGCGACGUCCUUGGCAAGACGUAGGACAGUCCCACCAGCGAAGCAGCCUUGUUGGUAGAUCAUGAAUCUGUUGACAGAGGGGUCAAGGCCGAGGAGCUUGACGAGUUGAAAGUCGGCGCCAGGCAUGUCCACGCAGGAAGCUGUGCAGAAGAUGAGAUGGGUGAUGUUUGAAAUGGGCUGGCCCCACUCUUCGAUGGCCUUCAAUGCCGCUUCCUUGCCAAGCUUGGGUACCGCUGGAAUCAACAUGUCCUGACGUGGAUCCAGUGAGGGUGCCUUGUAGCUACAUAUGUUUGGGUUUGCCUUUAGGAUCUCUUCCGUGAUGUGUAGAUAACGCUUCUUUGUCUUUGAUUUUUCACCUGUUAAUUACCAAAUUUCAUAAAAGUAUCCACAGUUCUCCUCCCGCUUAAUUUUACUGACUUGGCUCUUUUCGUCAAAUUGAUUACCCUACUCUAGUGACCCCCCCUUUUUCAAAAAUGAAAGAAAGAAAAAUCUGUACCGUAAUGCCACUUGUGAUAUUUUGUGAUUGCCUUUUCACGGUGUUAUUCACUCAUGUUAUAACAUGUGUAUUUAAUCUAUUCAUCAAUAAUAAUAAUGUAUCAUGUGUUCAUGAAAUAUUAACUUUGUCAUCAACUCAUAGUUUAACAAAUGAAUUAGCCGCACCACGCGAUUGUAUAGAAAUCAUAACUAAAUAUAUUUCUCCCAACUUUAUCAUUUUCAGAUGGGUUAACUUAUUGCAUGAUAUUUGGAAGAGGUCCCAAAUCUAAAUGCCCUGCGAAUUAAUAAUUCAUAAACCACUUAGUGCAUGAUAUAAUUUUAUUAAGUAGUAUGAAUUAAUACAUUAAUUUUAUGCAUGCAUGUAUGUGUUGUAUAAAGAGUACCACUUACAUAUGCGCUUGAAUCUGUCUUUCAAUUCUGUCAUAUGAUCGCUAUUGGUAACUCGGAAUAGAAAAUCAGGAUAAUCUUGUUGGUAGUAACAGUUGGCUGGGUUUGCCGUCCCAAUGGCUAGUAUUGCCGCCGGACUCUUGGCUUCAAUCUUACUCAUAGACAUCUCUGUCCGUAUAUAGGGUUGGUUGGAUUGGAUGGGUUCAAAACUGGAAACAAAAAGGCUAAGGGUCGUUUGAAGGUUGCAAAAUAAGAUGAAAGCAGUAGCUCAUUCCUCGUAAGUUAUAUAGAUAAUAGAUGAUAGAUCUGAAAUUUGAUAUUUCAAGUGGGGCCGCUAGGGCAGACCCGAAUGGUAGAUACACAAUUAUUUCAACCUAACAUUUGGAUUCGUAUAAUUAGGAGGAACAACAUUUAAUGGAUACCAAUAGAUUUUAUAUUACCUUAAAUGCUUGUCAUAAAACAUGUGGUAGUGUUUUUUGGGGUGGUAAAAAUUGACCGAAUCCGCCAAGAGUUGAAUUAAUGCUAGCGGCCGCUAGAAGAACAACAUAAGAUAUCUUGUGCUUAAAAGAGAGAGAGAGACCGAAAGGCCAUUAAAGAAUUCUUAAGAUAUCUAAUAUAUGGUGUGAUAUAUUAUAUAUUGUUGUAAAAUAACUAGGAUAUGUGCGAAUAUUGAGCUGCACAUAAAGUAAAUGAGACACAGUAUUUAACGAGGUUCGGC
rnacentral:lncRNA from 1 species